rnacentral:lncRNA from 1 species
UACCGGCCUUCUUCUUGGUGGAUAAGUGUGGAUGCGAAAGCAUUGUUCCACGAGGUUUCAGGUUCGAAGGCUGGUAUCCGUUAGGAUGGCGACUUUGAUGAAUCAUGCAUGUAUGUGUAUGUGUAUGUGUUGUGUGUGUAUAUAUAUAUGUAUGUAUGUUUCAACGAUAUGAGGUAUUUCAAAAUACCUCUGUUUUUUAUAUUUUUAUACAUAUUUAUUUUUCCCGUCUGUUUUAUGGACAUAAUUCCAUAUCUAUAAAACCUAGCUUCUUAAGUCCAAAACUUGACCUCUAGUUAUACGGCUUUGACUUAUCACUUAUGUAAACUUUUUUAUUCUCCUUAAAUUUUUUGUUCAUUGCCACCGUACCACGCAGCUUCUUAAUCCAAUCAUACAUUGUCAUCUUGAGAAAAAUUUGUACAAAAUAAUACAUUAUUGAACAAGAAAUGCGAUAUGAUAGUAAACUCGUUAAGGGUUGGAUAAUAUCUUUUAGAGAGAACCCAAAUCCAAAUAGUCGAAGGCCAUUCAUAGAAAAUGUUUUUGCAACCGGCCUUCCUCCUAACCUUAAUGCAAAGUGCACAAGCAUGAUCCCUGUAGGGUCUUCAUGGCCCCUCAGAGGAAACAUAUUAAUCAACAAUAUGAGGUAUUGCGAAAUACCUUUGUUUUUUUAUGUGCCUACUAUUUUCUCUCCUCUAUAUAUUUAAUUAACUCUAUAAAUGUUUAUAUAUUUGUUCAUUAUUAGAGAUUUUUUAAUUUUUUAUCAAAGAUUUUUAGAUUUAAAUGUCUAUAAAAAUAAUCUAUAUAAAUUUUAUUUAAAAAAAAAAUAUUUAGCCUAAUGUUUUUCUCUUACCUAGAAUUUUAACCCAGGAUCAUUGGUGAAGAAAAACUAUUUUCUGAGUUAAAACCUAAAUUUUAUGUGAUAACCCAAAGAGUGGAGAUAAUAUUAUUACCCAAAGUUUUAGUACUACUAGAGAUAGAGAAGAUAUAUUGAAGACAAAGAUAUAUACAUGGUAGAAGAAGGAAGCUUGGAGGGAUGUUGAGGAAAUGUAAUGGAAUUAUAUACAAAUUAAAAACUGCAAACCAAAGUCUGGAAACAAUUCUAAAUUGUUUUCACUUUUAACUUUUUAUUUCAUAUAUUCUCUUUUAGUUCUUCCUUCCUUCCCAUCACCAUUCUUGCUUCACUCUUCUUCGCGAAUCGAUAGAUAGAUCCAAGUAGAAGACACAAGGACCUAUGUAUGUUUUAUUGAGAAAUAAAAUUAGAGUGAAAAAUAUUGAGUACAAAAAACAUUAUCUCAUUUCAAAUAAUUUAAAAAGCAGAACAAAAGCGUAUGAGUUUUUUGUUUUUUUUUUUGUUUUUAUCACAUAUAGAUAUGCAUAGGGAAACUUAAUCACCAAAUGUAGCUACAAAUGUCAAAUUAAAAAUGAUAUACAAAUAGAACAAAAAUUGGCUGGGCCCAAACUCCACUUGUGAGGACUUAAGUUCAUUUUUGGGCAUGCAUUUACACCGGCCUUCUUCUUAGCCUAGUGGUUAAUUGUGCUAGCAUGAUUCCUCAAGGUUCUGGCUUCGAAGGCUGGUAUUUGUGAUGGUGAUGAUGAUGAAUCGAUGAAUGGAUGAGAGGUUGGUAUUUAAGAUAAUUUCUGGCAGCACGAUAUAUGAUGAACGGAGAGGAUCCUCAUUUCCUUAACCAAAUGAGGUAUUCUAAAAUACCUUUGUUUUUCUAUAUUUUCCACAUGGAAAUCUAUAUUUUCCACAUGGAAAAUGAUACGAAGACAUUGUGAAUUCCAUUUACAAAAGCAAAUUUUUAUUUGGACCCAGUUUUUUUCUUUUUCAACCCAACUUUAAUAUUUUGUUACCUAGAAUCUCUAGUAUACCCUCAUAAAUAAUAAACAUAAAUAAAUUGGAAAACAAAAACUCAUCAAACCUAUUUCCCGACUAUUCUCUCUCCUUCUGGCAAGCUCCUCCCUGUAUUUGUUGGGUCUUUCUCCCCAUAAAUAAAUUGGAAAAACAAAAACUCAUCAAACCUAUUUCCCGACUAUUCUCUCUCCUUCUGGCAAGCUCCUCCCUGUAUUUGUUGGGUCUUUCUCCCUCCCGACUAUUUAUUGUUUCCUGAUAUGCAAGAGAAGAGAGAAGGUCUGGAGUGGUGGUUGAGUGGUGGAGCUGCAUGCUAUCUUGGUUGAAUGGGUGUAGAAAGAUAUUUAAUUUUCAUUUCCUUAUUUCAUUUUGUAUAAGGGGUAAAAUAGGAAUUACAGAGAUUUAUUUUUGUAGCUAGGUGUAGAAAGAGCUUUGUUGGAUCUCAAUAUAAUUUACCUUUACAAAAGUAUCUCAUAUUUCUGGUUUCUUUUUAUUUUAAAAUUUGUCAUUAUUAAGGGGAGGGUAAACUUCGAAUACGGAAUGCAUGAGUAGAAACAAAUAUAUGUCAUGUUACAAAUGGUCAAAUUAAAAAAAUGACUAAACAAUACUGUAAUUGGUUGGGCCCAAAUACAAAGUUUAAAUUUGUGCAUGAAGUUUCCACUGGUCUUAUUCCUGGCCUUGUGUACAAGUGCUGAAGCUUGCUUCCAUUAGGUCUCAGGUUCGACGGCUGGUAUCCGUUGAGAUGGCGAGUUUGAUGAUGGUCAAGCAUGUGUAUAUGUAUGUGUGUGGUGGCAGAGAGUUGAGUUCGCUUUUGAGAUAAUUUCCUUAGCAUUUCUCAUAUAUCUCUAUACAUAAAAACAAAAUGAGGUAUUUCAAAAUACCUCUGUUUUUUUAUGAGUAAUGUUAGAGAGAUUUUUUUUUUGUUAAAAGAUAAAUUUUGUUAGAUUAUAUAGUACGGAGAUUAAACUUAUAGAUAAAAUUUUGUAAAUUAAAUAACGUGAAAGUUGAUGAUUGGAUUGUUACUCAAAUGUUAAUUAACGUGCUUAUUUCUUAUUGCUGAUAUAUUAUUUAGUUUAGAAAUUUAAUCUAGCAUACUCUUUUUUUUUAUAUAUAUAUAGUUUUCUCCCCUCUGUUUUAUUUUAUUUCGUUCCAUUUAUUAGGUUAACACCAAUUAUACUAUUUUGCAUUCUAUACUUUAUUUCUUAUGCAAUUGUAUAAUUUAUUUCGUCAAAAUAUAGUUCAAUUUAAUAUUCAUUUUUUAAUAAACUUUAAAAAUAUGCCUUACAAUACAACAAAUUUAAAUGUAUUAAUAAAAUGUGUAAAAAUAACGUAUAUUAUAUGUACAAAGUAUGUAUAUACAUGUAAUUUAACAAAUUAUUAAGAUGUAUACAAAAAAACAUAAUUAGGUGCCUUUUUUUUUUAUGAAAAACUUUCUUGUGUUAAAUGUUUGAGUAAUGUUAGGGAGACAAAAUUUGUAAACUAAAUGACAUAGAAGUUAAUGAUUGAAUUAUUACUUAAGCAUUAAUGAACGUGCUCAUUUCUUAUUGGUGAGACAUCAUUUAGUUUGUAAGUUUUGUCUACAAAUUUAGCCUUCCUAGCAUUACUCUAAAUGUUUAUUUACCCUAAUACGCAACUACGAUUAUGGACAAAAUACAUUCAACAUAAAAUAAUGUAUCUUCUUCUUCUUCAUCUUCCUUAGCAAAUAUUGGGGUUUGGUUAACAGCCUCAAUACACCUUAUGUUCAUAUAUAUAUAUAUAUAUCUCUCUCUCUCUCUCUCUCUCUCUCUCUCUCUCUCUCUCUCUCUUCUCAUAGCGUAAUUUGGUAUUUUAGGGUUUGGUUUGCAUGAAUUUGUAAUUUGAAAUUGUAAUUAAUUAGGGUUUGAUUUUAUGCUUCAUUCUUCAUCUUCUGGAUUUAGGAAAUUCCAUCCAAUUUCCAGUUUGUUGCAUUCAAUUUAUUAGUGUCAAUGGGUAACUCCCCGAGGGCACAAAGGCAGAGAAGAAAAGAAAUACAAGUACAUGGAUUGGAGUGUUGUCUUACAUAAUACCCAAUAGUAGGGGAGAGACUUGUUCCAUGUUAAUCAAACAUUCAAUACUUCUAAUACAAUUUCUAUGGGACUGUGGUGAUGAAAUUUGGUUGUGGUGUACUCCCAGUGCACGGUUGAUGUCUUUGUGUUGCGAUGUCUUCUUUGAGUUAAACACUCGGUUGUUUCUUCCAUCGCAGCUACCUUGAUCGUUGAUGGCAAGACUUUCGUGACGGCGGGGGCAAUGCUCAGCCUUGGAAGAUAGAAAUUAGAGUUUCUAUUAUGUUUGUUUUGGUUAUUGGGUUGGGUUUAUUGUGUACUUUGGAUUUUUCCAAUUUUUUGAGUUGUUUGUCAUCCUUUGUGUUGGCCCGGUGAUAUGUGUUGGUUUGUCCAAUUACAACCCUUGUUUUUUCUUAAUGCAAUGAAAUUUACUUAUUGGAUAAAAAAAAGAGUAUGAGCUCUCUAGUAAUAGUAAUGGAUAGGAUGAUUGUAAUUACCAAAAUAGAUGAGGAGAAGGCGUGGCAGUUGGUUGUGCUCGACGAAUUCCUUAUUUUCGUGUCAAUUUUUAGAAUAGGGUUUGGGUUUUGAGUUCAUAUAACGUGUCAUGUGCAAAAUUCUAACUUCUUCCUGCGUACCAGAAUACCUCAGUUUGUUGCAUGACUAGAAUUCAUUUCACAAAUUUCCUCUAAUUAAAGUGAUGGAAAAGAUCAAAUUUCUCUAAUGGUCCUUCAAUCCAUGGGCUCUAGUCUCAUUCAUCCUUCAUAUUAGUCCAAUCGUUACUUAAGUUAAUUUCUCUAUCUAUUUGAGCAUAUAUUCUCAUUUGGAGCCUAAAUUCGAAGAAUUUAUGCCUCAUUUGACAUAUUGAACUAAUGAUGUAAAUGAAAUAAAAAAGAAAACGUUUGUAUUUUAUCUUCUUUAUCUUUUUUAUGAACUUGGUCAAUUUAUGGAUAAAAUAUGCUAAAAGUAAAUCCAUUGUUAUGUUUUCAACCAAACUGAAGAUUGUUGAAUCAUUGUAAAGAUUAUUCACUUUUACUUUUUGGUUGUAAAAUUUAGCUAACUUUAUUAUAUUAAUCAUUCCUCAUGAUCAGUAGGUGUGUAUAUAAAUUCAUAUUUAUAUUUCACAAUUUUCCAAUGUCUGUUUUAAGGAGCGUACAAUAUGAGUGUUUAAAAAUAUAAUUACAAAAACGUAUCUCACUCCAUGUAAGUUAAUACACAAACCAAAAGCUUAUAAGUUCUAUUAACAUAGGAGUUAUCUCAUUACACAUUGAUGACACAUUAAUCCUCAUCUUCAUGUAGCCUCGGUACACCAUGAGACAUCAACAUAUUUUUUGCCUUUGGGUCAACAAUAUACCAAACAAAGUUAGUGGCUCCAAAAAUACAUUUGUGAGAGUUCAAACUCGAGCAAGCCUCGUGGUUAAAUGUACCAGCAUCAACAACCAUGGUACUUGGUUCAAUGCAAAAUUAACCUUUAAACACGACCUAUGAAAACCCUCGCUCAAUAUUUUCGUACUACAAGAGGACAUUGGCCCAAAUCCAAAUGGUUGCAGUUAUGUAAACUUAGUUUGUGGGGAUUUGUACCGGCCUUCUUCCUAGCCUGGUGGAUAAUUGUGGAUUGUGGGAGCAUUAUUCCAUAGGGGUGGGUUCGGUUUAAUUCGGUUCGGUUUUUUGCCAAAACCGAAACCAAACCGAAAUUUCGGUUCGGUUCGGUUCGGUUCAUUUUUUUUUCGGUUUUUUUCGGUUCGGUUUUUUUUCGGUUCGGUUUUUUUCGGUUCGGUUUCGGUUUUUUGUUUUUUUUUUCUUUCAAAAAAUGAAAAACAUUGAAAUUUUAAAUUUUAACGUAUCCAACACAAUUAUAACACAAGCAUUCUAACUAUAAUCAAAGACAAUGAAAAUAAACAUUUAAAGUUGAACUAAAAUCAUCAAUCAAGUCUUCCAAAGUCCAAACUAACAACAUCACAACACAAAAAUCGUACAAAUGACUUAGAAAAGUUAAAUUGUAUGAUGUUGUUCAAAGAUCAGGGUUGUUUGCUUGUAACUGCAUGUUGACAACUUGAUUAGUAAAAGAAAUGCGUGGGUGGAUUUAUUUAGUGUGUGUUGGAUUCUUUUCCAUCACAAAUUCCCUAAGUAAUCUACCCGAAAUAAAUGUUUAUAGAUUCUGUUACAUGUUAUAUGAGAGUAGAUUUGGAAAAGAAAGCUGAGACAAAAGUAGACAGUGCUAUGGAGAUGGAUGUAGGUACUUCAGGAUGAGGUUUGGCUCCGGAACCUUAUAUGGGGGAUAAAUAAUAGGUUAGGGUUUAAAGUUUUUAUAGGACUUUUUUUUAAUAUUUUGAGCUUAAAGUUUGGCAACACAUUGGGUUUAGCAUAUUUUAACUUACAAAUUGGGUUUAGAAAAUAAUAUCCAAAACAAAUAAUUAAAUAAAAAAAUUAAUUUAAUUAAUUCGGUUCGGUUCGGUUUGGUUCGGUUUCUAGAUAACUAAAACCGAACCGAACCAAAAGAAUUCGGUUCGGUUCGGUUUUUUCAAUUCGGUCGGUUUUUUUGUUCGGUUCGGUUUUUUCGGUUUCGGUUCGGUUUGGUUUUCGGUUUUUUUCGGUUUUCGGUUUUUUGAACCCACCCCUAUUAUUCCAUUAGGUUCCAGGUUCGAAGGCUGGUAUCCGUUGAGAUGGUGACUUUGAUGAAUCAUGAUUGCAUGUGUUGUACGUUUGUGCGUGCGUACGUAUUUAUAUGUAUAUAUUUCAACAACAUGAGGUACUUCAAAAUACCUCUGUUUUUUUUAUAAUAUUUUUUUCCCUUCUGUUUUAUUUUAUUUUAUUUACUAGGUUAACACCAAUCUAACCAAAUCACAUUUUAAUAAAACAAUAUAGAAAAGCUUGGGUAUAUGCAUCCUAUUGUUAUUUGCAUUUUAUUUACUAGGCUAUCAUUAUCUUCAUUACCUCGGUUUGGGAACGGAAGUACAAGAGAAUUAGGGCUGGUUUUGUAUUGAUGUACUUUGAAAAAAAAACUGCUUCUGCUGUGCUUUGAGAAUAAACAGCUGUGAAUAAAGUAGCAGAGUGUUUGGUAAACUUUUUUGUAAAAGUGCUUUUGGAAAAAAAAAAAAAAACAGUAUGAUAGUGGAUGUGGUAGUCUAGUGGGUUUCUGUGUUUCCAUUUCUAUUGUAGAUCGGCAAAGCCGUUUCUGGUGGGUUUCUGGGUUUUGUGGAGAUAGACAAAGGAGCACUGUUUUCUGGUUUGAGGGUGUUAUUGGACUUUUGAAAGUUUCAUUAAAGGAGCACUGUAGCUCCGCGUGUUUUGAAAAAAAAGUCAGUUUUUCAGCAGCAUUUUAGCUGCUUUAGUUUUUUUUAUGAUUUCAGCUUAUUCUCACAGCAGCUUCUAAAAUAAACCCUUUUAUUUGAGUUUACCAAACACCUUCAACAUAAAAACUUUGAAAAUAAGCAGCUUUUUUUUAAGCACCUCAAUGCCAAACCAUACCUUAGUGUUGAAUUUUUAUUAAUUAGCAAUUCUUUCAUCUAAACACAGUGUUAAUUAUUUCUUUUCAAUUAUUUGAGCUUUAGUCUAACUAUAAGAAAAGCAUGAGGUUUAGUCAUACUAAUAGGUGAUGAUGGUUGGUAAUGGGUUGUGUUCCAUAAACCCAUUCAUUUACGUGUCGAGACUUGUACUAGUGCAAAUUUCGGAUCAUGUCAUAAAUUAUCACCCUGAUCACCAUACACUAAAACCAAUUUGAAUGAUUUGGUCAAUUUUCUGUCUACUCCCAAUUAAUACAUUUUAUGCGAUGCAACUUCUUGAAAAGUAUUGUAGAUAUAACUAAAAGCUAACUCAUUUUAGGCCUUUUACUAAAUCGUAAAACCUCAUUGCCUCCAAAAGAUGCACAAUCGUUUUACAAAGUCUGCCAAGCCUUAAAAAUUAGGUUCAACAGGUUUGCGUUACAAUACUACCCAUAAAUUGCUCAAGCUAGCAAUUAUUCAUACUAAAAACGAAGGAAAAAAGAAGAAGAAAUGUGAUUGAUCAUGAGCAGGAGUAAUCCAACUUCUAAUCUAUCCAUUGUUUGUUUAGGGUAUUGAGAGACAAUAAGGACACGAUUCCAUCUCUUUAAAGCCUAAUUUCUUUCGUCUGAGAACUUCAACCUCUAGUACUAUAGCUUGGACCUAUCGCUUAUGUAAACUUGCCUUGUCGCUUUUUAUUUUCCUUAUAUUUUUUGUUCAUCACCAUGUGGCUUUUUGACCCAAUCAUACAUUGUCAUGUAGAAACAAAUUUGUACACGGCAAUGCAUUAUUGGACAAGAACCGCGACGCGGCAGCGAACCCAUUUCAAAUACGUUAUUCUCCCUAAUGGUUGGACAAUAUUUUUCAGAGAAAACAUUGGUUGGGGUCAAAUCCAAAUAGUAGCAAGCUUCAAAUAAAUUGUUUUUGCAAAUCAACCACCGGCCUUCCUCCUAACCUAAUGGAAAGUGCAAAAUCAUGAUCCUCGUAGGGUCUGGGUUCAAGGGUUGGUAUCCUGUGAAUUCGAUGCUCUUCAUCAUGCCUGUUCAAAAAAAAAAAAAAAAAAAAAAAAAGCAUAACACCAACCAUACCAAAUUCCAUUGAGAUAAAGGAAUACAAAGCUUAGUUAUAUGCAGUCUAUAUGAAUUAGAAGAUACAUCAUUGUAUAGGCAUGAGUAAAGGACUUCUGUGUUGAGGAAAUCCAUUUAUCUUUGUUUCCGGACCUAUGUCCGUACAAAUUUUGAGUUGUGUGAAAAUUGUUGCCCUGCUCCCCAUAUACUAAAGCCAAUUUUAAUGAUUCGGUCAAUUUUGGCCCACUACUAAAUAAACCAUUUUAUACUUAAUAUUUUUAUUCAAUGGUAUAACUUAUUAUUGUAUUUAGCGUCAACAACUUCACAUUCUUAUUUAAUAACCAUUUCGUUUUUAAUUUUACUUCUACUAAAGAUAGAUAAGAAAUAUAUUGAAGACAAAUAUAUAUAUAUAUAUAUAUAUAUAUAUAUAUAUAUAUAUAUAUAUAUAAAUGGUAGAAGAAGGAAGCUUGGAGGGAUGUUGAGCAAAUGUAAUGGAAUGAUAUAAAAAUUCAAAAAUACAAACAAAAAUCUAGAAACAAUUCUAAAUUGUUUUCACUUUCAACUUUUUAUUUCAUAUAUUUUCUUUCAGUUUUCCAAAAAAACAUAUAAAUGGUAGAAGAAGGAAGCAGAGGCCUUCACUUUCAACUUUUUAUUUUAUGUAUUUUCUCGCUUCACCCUCCUUCUUGAAACGAUGGGUAGAUUCAAAUAGAGGCCACAAGGACUGAUGUAUGUUUUAGUGAGACAUAAGAAAUGAGAGUAAAAAACAUAAGAACAAAAAUAGUAUCUCAUUCCAAAUAAUUUAAAAAGUAAAAUAAACGCACAAGAGUUUUUUUUUUUUUUUUUCAUCUCAUAUACAUACACAGGGAAACUUAUUCACCAAAUAUGGCUACAAAUGUCAAAUAAAAAAGGGAACUUUAACGAAAAGCACCUGAUACUGUUUACUUUAACGAAAAACCACAUUUUUACACUAAAAAGUCAAUCCUAGUACUAUUCACUUUACCCUUUAUUUUGUCAUUAUCAUUAAAACUCAAAAUUUUCAAACAUUUUUCAUUAGUUUUCCAAAUAAAAAAUGGUAUAUAAAUAGAGAUAAAAUUGGCUGGGCCCAAAUUCCAAUGAUAAGGACUAAGUUCUUUUUUUUUUUUUUUUUUUUUGUUCUUCGCAUGUGUUUGCACCGGCUUUCUUCUUAGCCUAGUGGUUAAUUGCACUGGCAAUGAUUCCUCAAGGUUAUGUAUUCGAAGGCUGGUACCGGCGAUGUGGAUGAUGAUGAAGUGAUGACUGGAUUAUUAUUAUCAAGAGAAAUGCUAUGGGACUCUUUGGGACAGAAAGGAACUUAAAUCAAAUGAGGUAUUCUAAAAUACCUCUGUUUUUUUUUUUCUUAACAUUUUCAAAUUCGGAACGCAUGAGCAAAAACUUAACACCUUAUCUCUUAUUCAUUGUUUCAUCAAGCUCAAUGUCUAAUCCCAACUCCUAACAAGCCAAUUGACUUGAUCCUUCAUUCAAAUAAUCCUAUAGCCUCAUUCACAUAUAUCCACAAAUUUGAGAAAUUUUUGUGUACACCCAUUACAGGUAUAUCACGUGUGAUAAUAUAAAGUGGGCAAUAAAGUUGAUAUUGUUGUGAAGAGAGAGGGUGUGGCAUAGAGAAGAGAAGGGGUUGAGGAAUUCUGUGUUGUGAAUCCUCAUGCCUAGUGUCUUUAUUUAUAGUAAUAAUAAAAAGAGAAGAACUUACACUCCAAGUAAUACAAGAUCAAAUAGGAAAGAUCUUUUAUAUUAAUUAAAAGAUAUAUCAUUGUAUAGGUACGGGUAAAGGAAGUUGAAUGCUAUCAUUUUUCAUAUCCUUCUUUGUCGAUUGUUUGAGUUUUAUUCCAACUAUACAGCAACACGAGCUCCAGUAAUAGUAAUGAACUUUUGUGCUUAGGAAAAAACCAAGGGGGUGUAUUCAAUUGGAAUUUUGAGGGAUUUUAAUUCUUUUAGUGAAUCUACGGGUAUUCAAUCAAGAUUUUAAGUGAUUCUCUGAAAUUCAAAGUGUAUUCAAUCAAGAUUUUAAGUUAGUUUAUUAAAAUUGUUAUAAAUCUGGGUGUAUAUUCAAUUAGGAUUUUAAAUAAGUUUAUAAUAUUCUAGGUGUAUUUAAUUAUAAAUUGAUUUUAAAGAAUUUGAAAAAGUUGAGGAAUUUGAGGGAAUUUGAGAGAUUUCAUAGUGUAUUUUAAGCAUCCACAAAUCUCACCUCUUCCCAUAAGAUUUCGAGAAAAUUGAAUCAAAAUUUUAUGUGGAAUCUCAACAAAUCAAUUAAACUCCAUAAAAAUCCUAGAUUUAUGAAUUCAUUAAAGUCUCUCAAAUUUUCAAUUGAAUACACCCCCUAAAACUAACAAAAACAAAAAUAAAUCCAUCACCCUCCCAAAUCAUCCACGAUGGGCAAGUCCCUGAUCAUCCAUCACCCUCCCCAGCCACAAAUAUCACCCCAUCUCUCUUUGAAUUCUGGUACUACCACCUCAACCCUCUCUUCCUAUUCCUCAUAGAUGAACAACAAAGACAACCUAGAUUUCCAAAUUGAAAAAUACCCAAUUCCAAUUGGAAUAGAAAUCCAUUUGGAGCAAUCUGCUUCUAUAUUAGAUCAAUCUCCCCUAUGUUUCUCUCUCUUUCCCCAUGUUUCUCUCUUUCUCCCCCUUUCGUUUCUCACUCUUUAAGGAGAUGUCGCCAAGAAGGUGUCAAAGGUUUUGGUUUUUUUAUGGGUGGUGGGAGGAGAUUCUGUCAUUCUGGUGCUGGAUAGGGUAGGCAAUUAAGGAAGCAUGCUGGUUUUCUUUAAAAACAUAUUAAUAUUAUUCUUUGAAAACAAAAAUAUAUUAGAGGUUAUUUUAGGAAUAAUGGUGGGUGGAGAAAUAAUAUUUUAAUUCUUUAUUUUUUGUGCUGGGUGAUAUUAUAAUGUAGGUGUAGAAAUAGGACAAUGGGAUUGGCCUAUCUACACCCUAUUUUUAUUCAAUGGUAUAACUUAUUAUUGUAUUUAGCAUCAAAACAUCUUCAAAUUGUCAUUUAAUAGGCAUUUUGUUUUUAGUUUUAGUAUUACUAGAGAUAGAAAAAAAAAAUUGAAGACAGAUAUAUAAAUGGUGAAGAAGAAAGCUUGGAGAGAUGUUGAGGAAAUGUAAUGGAAUGAUAUACAAAUUCAAACUUGCAAAUUAAAAUCUAGAAACAGUUUUAAAUUGUUUUCACUUUUAACUUUUUGUUUCGUAUAUUCUCCUUUAGUUUUCCUUCUUUUCUCCCACCACUCUCGCUUCAUUCUUCUUCUUGAAUCGAUGGACAGAUCCAAGUAGAGGCUACAAAGACCGACUUAUAUUGUAGUGAGACAUAAAAUAGUAUCUCAUUCUAAAUAAUUUUAAAACGCAGAACAAUAGCGUAUGAGCUUUUAGUUUUUAGAAUUCAUAUACGUAUGCAUAGGGAAACUUAUUGAUGCGAAAUACAUAAGCACACAAAUUAAACCCUUUUUUUAUCAAUUGUAGCAAAGUAUGUAAGUAGGGAUCGUUCUAGACCGGGGAUUAGGAGGGAUUGCUAAAUCACUUGAAAACUGACUCAAAUACGUAAAAACAAGUUUAAAACACUAAACCAGACUUAAAGAAUGCAAAACUAAACUUUAAAACACCAAAACAAACCAAAAGACUCAAAACAGCAAACAAACACUCAAAACUGCCUUAAAAACACUUUCUGGGCAGUUUUGACACCUAACACUAAAUUGGACGAAAUUGAGUUAUAACUUAACUCAAGACUCUUAAAAACACAAACUAAAUUAAUUUCUACUUAAUCUAACACUUUAAAAUAAAUGGGGAAUUGGUUUUGACGAAAAUUGAAAACAAAAACAAAACUUGUAAAUUAAACAGAUUCUAAAACGAAUUUGAGAAAAGUGAAUGGAUGGAAAGCUAGCUAAGGGGUUCUUCUCCACACAUGUCACACUUGCAUACAAAACGAUUUCCAAUUGAUUUUCGAUAAACCAUGAAUUCCCAACACCCCAGAUUAACCGUGAAUUGCACUAAUUAACCCUCAGAUUUUCCUUAAGUUAUUGAAUUGGAUGAAUUGCAUACGACAACCCAAAGCAUUCCCCACAAAUUCCCUACAUGAAUUGCAUAAUAGAGAUACAAGCAAGAAUCAUUAAGUUCUAUGAAAAUCAUAAGCAUUGGCGAAGCACUCGUUACUAUGAAUUGCAUGAAACUUAUGCCAAGAAUUUACUUAACACGAUUGUGAUCAACAACCUUUACUACUUGUGAAUAUAAGUUCAUAAUGAUUAGGUGAAACUCCCUUAUAUCCUAGCAUCAAACUUAUGCAUGAAAAUUAAGCGUGCACUCUCAACCAACAUACACAAAUCAGUUUUAAUUCAUGUAGAUAAGUAAAUUGAAUUCACAACUUAUGAAACACAAUUAGAAGUAAUCAAAUCAUAUAGCAAGUAUAAACAUGGUUUCGAAUUCCCCCUAGCCAAGGGGGGUUUAGUUCCUCAUACUCAUAAAGCAAAGAUACAUAAAUUUAGACAUUAAAAUCCAAAGAAAGAAAACACCUAGAUGAUCCAACUUGGACAGCAGGUGCAUCCACAAGUCUUGUUUCCUCCUUGCUACGGCACUUGGCCUAAAGUCAGGUUCUAGGGUGGUAUUUGUAUGGGAGAAUGGGUAGGGAAUGGUAUGGAAGGGUUUAGGAUUGAUGGGGGGUACGGCUAGGGUAAAAAGAAUCAGAAAAAUAUGGAAGAAUGGUGAAGGAAGGCUGUGGCAAAGAGAGGGAAUGAUUUCUGGCGAAAAUUCUGAAUAUGGAGGGGUGGUUGAUGUGUUUUUGAUGUAGUGUAAUCUCUAGUGUUCUUCCCUUCACUCCCUAUUUAUAGAAGCUCCAAAGCAAAGAAUCACUCAAGUGGCUUCAAUAAACAAUACAAACAAAGACCAAAAUGAUGCAAAAACAGCUAGUUUACAUGCUCUUUUAUCAUUGUGUCUUGCUUUUAACAAAAGGAAAUCAUUCCUCUUUUGCUAAUUCAACUCCUUUGUAGCUGUCCAUGUGCCUUCAUUCUUCAAUUUCUAAUGCAUUUGCCUUGUAUUCCAUCCCUUUUCCACAUGUACUAGCUGUUAGACUUUCACACACAUGUUUUGCAUCAUUUCAUCUUGCAAACAUCAACUUUCGGCCACUUUACACCUCUACACACAUGUUAUGCAUCAUUUCAGCUUGCAAUUAUGUUUGUAGUUGCUGAAAAUGUGAAUACAUCUUGUAAAGCAAUCCAACAAAUGGCAUCUUUCACUUCUUUUCCUUUCAAAUUGUUCCUUAAGUGUAUGUAUCUGCACACUUCCACACUUCAACUUUAUUAUUCAGAUUUUUGCAUGUGUUGAAACCCUUUUUAAAACACCAAAAACGUCCAUCCCACUUGCUCCAUAUGCAUGCAAUCCAUUUUGGCCCAAAAUUGCUCCAAAUUGCACCAAAAUGCACUUUCUUUCCAACUUUGUUAUUAGGACCUACAAACACACAAAAAUAGCUUAAAACAUUCUUAUAAGCAAUAACUAACUAAGUAAAUGCAAGAAAACAUGUUAACUAAGUCGCAUAAAUAUGCUCCUAUCACUUAUUCACCAAAGGUAGGUACAAAUGUCAAAUUGAAAAUGACACAUAUAGAGAGAAAAAAUUGGCUGGGCGCAAACUCAAAUAUUAGACUAAGAUCAUUUUUUAGCAUGCAUUUGCAUCGGCCUUCUCCUUAGCCUGGUUGUUAAUUGCGCUAGCAUGAUUUCGGAAGGUUCUAGCUUCAAAGGCUGGUAAUGACUUUGGUGAUUAUGAUGAAUUGGAGUAAUACUCGGGAGAUUAAAUUUGUGGAUAAUUAUUUAUCAAGGAUGCUGCUAUCUACAUAAUCCAUUAUCAAACAGGUCCAUAAACCAAAUGAGGUAUUCUAAAAUACCUUUGUUUUUCUUUAUUUUCCCAAAAACAAUAUGAAGACAAAGUGAAAUCCAUUUACAAAUGUAGCCCUUAUUUCCCUUAUUUUUAAAAUAUUCAUUAUUGAUGCAGUGCAUGACAAUUAAAAUGGUCCCUGUAUUAAACAUGUUAUUGGUGGCUUUUCAUCUUUCAAGGUCAUGUUUUAAUUAGACGUCUAGAAACUAUAAUCUUAGUAUUAAGUAUCUAUUCUACUAAUGUAUUGUAAUCUCUCUAUUUAAAGGACUCCAUAUGUAUGUUUAAGGGAGACUUGAUGAAUGAAAAAUUAUAUUUGCCUUGUGCAUUUGAAGAUGAUUUCUCCUCCUUAAAAUCAAGUGUGAGACUUGGUCAUGUCGAGUGAAUCCAUGAUUAGCAAGUAUCGUUGCCCCUGGUUGAAUGAUUCCCAAGUCAUCUAUCCCUAUAGAGACGUGAAGUGGCAUCAGAGUAAGUUUUCCGCUGCGGUUGAAGAUCAUGGUUGUGAUUUACAAUCUUUUUGCAGAGCACCCUGUCGAAGAAAUCAGUUUCGUAGAUUGAAAUUCUCCACCAAUUUACGAUGAGUAUGUUGAUGAUGAUGACGACCUCAAAGAGAACUUUUUCGAUGGGUGUUCUCUACUAAUUUAUGGCAAGCAAGAUGAAGAUUACAAAGCUAUGUUUAAGGUGGUUAAUCACCAGUGUUGUUUGCAAUUUGGAGUCGAUGUCAAUCAUGCCCAAAUUGUUUAUGAAUACUGCUUUGGUGACAAAGGAAUGAGUUUGUCUGUGAAAGAACGGUGCGUGCAUCAUCAUAACGAGGUAAUAUUUGACCUUGAUACCCAUUAUAUAUGUGACUACAUUUGGGAACCCUUUAUUGCUUUCCACAUUAGGAAAAUACACUUGGAGCAAAGUAUUUUUUUCGUCAUCAAUAUCAAAAGGAAAUUUGGAAGACUGAUGUGCAUUUUUCAAAAGAAAAUGUUGCUAUCAUGAAACAGCUAAGGGGUGCACAGAACUUGAGAAAAUUUUGGAAAGUAAAAUACUUGGAAUAUUCUACUAUAUGGAUUUGCUUAUGGAUUUGGAAAAGUUUUGUGCUAAACUAGCUAUAUGGAUUUGCUCAUGGAUUUGGAAAAGUUUUGUGCUAAAUCUAGUAGUAUUUUAGUGACAAGCGGGAUCACCCAUCUUUGGCAAACUUGCACGUCUGCCGCUUCAUCUUCUCCUAAUGUCAUGCUAGAGGCUAGGUUGGCGAGAGCGUUUGCCAUUUGAUUUUCUUUUCUUGGCACAUGUUCUAGUGUUACAGCCUCGAACCUUUGCAGCAAUUGAGUUGCCAGCCGAAAGUAUGGGACAAGAUCAUCUUUCCUCACCUCAUAUUCAGUCAAGAGUUGAUUGAUUAUGAGCUUUGAGUCGUCAUAUACCUCAAGGGUUGUGGUUUCCAUGUUGAUCGCCAUUUGGAGCCUAAUGAUCAAUGCUUGGUACUCAGCGACGUUGUUGGAGCAUAAUUUACUCAGUUGAAAGGAAUAAGGUAGUAUUUGCCUUUAUGGUGACAUGAUACUCAUGCCCCUGCUCCGUCUGCUCAUGCAGAUCCGUCGAAGAACAUCGUCCAUGUCGGGAAAAUGUUGAUGUAGAACACCUCCUUGUCAGGCAAGUCGUCUGAGAUUUUCCAAUCAGCCAGGAUUGGGUGAUCGGCAAGGAAGUCUGCAAGCGCUUGUCCCUUAACGACUUUAGCUGGAAUGUAGAUGAUCUCAUAUUAAUUAAGAAGCAGAGCCCAUUUAGCAAGUCGCCCUGUCAAGACCAGUUUGGACAUGAUGUAUUUGACCGGGUCAGCUUUAGCAACCAGGUGGAUGGUGUUAGCGUGCAUGUAAUGCUUGAGCUUCUGGAUGGCAAACACUAAGGCAAGGCAUAUCUUUUCUAUUGAGGAGUAGUUUAACUCAGCACCGGUAAGAGUUCGACUGAGGUAGUAAAACACUUAUUCUUUCUCGGAUUCAUUCUUUUAUGCCAAGAGUGCUCCAACUGAACUUUCUUGGGCAGCGAUGUACAAUAUGAGCAAUUUCCCAGGCACAGAUGCCCCCAGGAUAGGUGAACUUGAUAAAUACUUUUUUAUGCUUUCAAAAGCAUUGUGGCAUGCUUCAUCCCAUACGAACGGAGCAUUAUUCUUCAUGAGUCUACUGAACGGUUGACAACGCCCUGCAAGGUUGGAGAUGAAGCGUCUGAUGAAGGCUAGUCGUCCUUAUAGACUUUUCAGCUCGUGCAUGUUUCUUGGCUCAUGCAUGCUUUAAUGACCUUGAUCUUUGAUUAGUCCAUUUCAAUGCCACGGUGCUUGACAAUGAAGCCGAGGAAUUUUCCAGAGGUGAUGCCAAAUGCACACUUUAACGGGUUCAUCUUGAGGUUGUAUUUUCGCAGCCUUUCAAACACUAUUCGUAAAUCCUUCAAGUGAUAUGAUCUUUUCUUUGUCUUGACCACCACAUCGUCUACAUAACACUUUACGUUUUUAUGUAGCAUGUCAUUGAAUAUUUUUUGCAUUGUGCGUUGAUAUGUAGCUCCAGCGUUCUUCAGACCAAAUGGCAUCACCUUGUAGCAGUAGAUACCUUUUGGAGUGCGGAAGGCUGUUAGUUCUUCAUCUUCGAAAGCCAUGUGAAUUUGAUUGUAUCCAGAAGAGCCGUCCAUGAAUGACAGUGCCUCAUGACCAGUGGUUGCGUCUACCAUGAUUUCGAUGAUUAGCAAGGGGAAGUCAUCCUUCGGGCAAGCAUCGUUGAGGUCCCGAAAGUCUACGCAAACACGUAUUUGUCCAGAUUUCUUAAGGACAAUAACGAUGUUGGAGAUCCAAUUAUGGUAUUGCACCUUUCGAAUGAAGCUUGCUUCGAUUAGCUUGUCAAUCUCGACCUCAAUUUGUGGGAUGAGCUUGGAUCGAUAACGCCUUUGAGUUUGCUUUAUCGGUCGUGUUCUAGGCUUUACUGCAAGAUGAUGCACAACGAUGACAUGGUCAAGGCCAGGCAUUUCCUUGUAGGUCCAACCAAAGACGUCUUUGUACUCUAAUAGCAGUUGGUAAUACUUCUCUAUCUCAUCCGUACUUAGCAGUGCACUUACGAAGAUAGGUUUUGGUUUUUCUUUUGUGCCUAAGUUGAGUUCCUUGAGAUCAUCAAUCGUGGCUUGCCCCCAUCUUCAAGUUGUGGUGGUGCGGCAGUGACAUCUUCCUCGGGGAUUUCGUGUUCUUUUCCUUCUUGGAUUGUAAUGUGGAAGACGUCUUGGACUUCCUCUUCAAUGCCGUCAUUUUGGGCUUAUUGGCGUGAAAGUUGGCCGGUGCGGAUGAUGGUGCGCCUUCUCACUUUCAGUGAUCCAAUUGUGUCAACCUCCAAGAUUGCUUGGCGUUUCAUUCUUGAAGGAAUAGAGCUUUGAACAUCAUCUUUUCCUGCUAGAUCGUCAAGCUUUUCUUUCUUUGGCAUUGUCUCCCUCUUUCUAGAAGGCUUCUUGUUGUCUUCAAUUCUUUCCAAAGUUGACCAUCGUAGAUGAGAGUUAGCAGUGUUGCUUUGUUUCUUAGGUUUUGACAACCUUUUGAAAACAGAGCUUUGGGAUGUUGGCGUGUUAAACCUCUUGAAAACGGAGGUUUGGUCUUGACCACCAAUGCGGUCAAGUGUCGAAAUUCUGGGCCUUGAACGAUUCAUCCUAUCGAAGACUGAUGUCCGAGGGGCGGACUUAGGUUCUUCUUGAUCUUGUUCAAUGCUCACGCUGAUGUGUUGAGUGCUAGCAUUUUUUGCUUUGCUUGAAAUCUUCACGGGUGCAUUUGGUGUGAAGCCAAUUCCAGUUUUGUUGUUGUCGACUCUGUAACCAUGCUUCUUCAGCUUUUUUUGAGUCUCGGUGAGGUCACGUUUUUUGUUUUGAUGAUGUUUGAAACCUUCUUUCCAAGAUUCGAAGAAGAAGCGAAGUUGUACCUAGCCUUCGACAUGAGUUUGUAGGCGUUUGGAUCAAAACCUUCUUCGGUCUUCUUGGUUGGAAAAAAGCUUGGUUCCACCCCCUUUGGCAGAGCUUUUAUGAAGCCUUAUGGUAGUCUUGCAACCUUAGCGUUGCCUAGCUGUGUCAGAGGCAAAACUGUAUUCAUCUUGAGCAACUUUACGUUAUCCUUGUGUCGUUGUGCAUCAGCUUUGCUUACUCCAGUUUCAAACAGGGAUUGACCAUUCUUUCUUCUCGACAUCGGGAUGUAUCGGAAUACAGGUGUGCUUAGUCCAUUUGAGGGAGUCCUAUUCCCUUUGGUUGUUACAGGUUUAGCAGACUCAUUAUCGUUUUUGCUUGAAGAUGGCGUAGCUUCUCCUUCUUGCUUUUUGGGCAUGGCUUGCCACUUUUGUUUUUUAGGUGUUACUUUGCUCGUGGAUUUGAUCUCUUUUGGGAGGGCUUCGGGCACCAUGUCUUCCUCCAUGUAGAACUUGGCGUCUGCGAAGUGUGAUUCUGUUUCGGUGAAUGGCUUGGUAUCACCUACAAUCACCUUCACUUCUUCCCGGUAGAAUUUUAAACAUUGGUGGAGGGUGGAUGACAUUACUCCAUUCCUGUGGAUCCAAGGCCUUCCUAAGAGCAAGUUGUAGGAAGUUCUUGCAUCAAUCACGUGGAAUAUCGUGCUUGAUUUGAGUUCAUCAAUGGCCAUUUCCAUUCGGAUCAUGCCCAUCGCUCUUUGUCCUCCUUGAUUAAAACCUUGGAUUAGUAGACGGCUUAGGGAUAGUUCAUCCACCUUGAUGCCAAUUGUGGUCAUUGUUGACUUUAGCAUGAUGUUUAUGGCCGAUCCACCAUCCACAAGCAUGUGGUUGACUUUAUGCUCCCUUACGUACCCAGAGACGAAGAGAGGACGGUUGUGAGGCUUAGAUCCUAGCAGCAAGUCUUCGUCAGUGAAGUGGAUUGCAUCUUAGGCAGUACAACACAUGGCAUACUCAUGUGGUCAAAGUUUCAAGUCUUCGUCCUUACUUUCUUGCACUUCAUGGUUGUCAGGACUUGCUAAGACCGCUGCUAGAGCUCUUCGCAUCUUCUUUGGCAAUCGUAGUGCUUCUUCGAUGCUAAAGUGUGUUGGAAGACCUUCUUUGGUCGUGAGGGUCUUUUCUUCCUCAGUGGUGAUAGCUUUGCCUUUUGAGGGCUCUUCCAUCUCUACUUCAACCAUGUGACAGGCGACGGUAGUGCACUGUUGGAAGAAGUCAUUCGGGAAGUACUCGUGUAAGGAGACAGGAAUGCGUGGCUCUUGCUUCAUAAGUUCCCCAGCAUAUGUUGGCUUAGCAGCUCUUGCGUUUCUUUUGGGUUUCCUAUUGUUGCGACGGCAGUGCUUUCUCCUUUGCUCCCCAUUUAGCCUUAUGGCUUGCAGUCUUGGCUUCCUUUUUUUUUAUAGGUCAUAAAUGUCCACCCUUCUUCAUCAUCAGUAAGUGCAUCUUGGUUGUUUUCCCCCAGUGAUGGUUGUGCAGAAGGUGCCAUGCAGCUUGAGCAUUGACGGGAAUUGUCAAGUGUCACUUGGAGAGGCACGGGAUCGAAUGAUCCAAACGCAAUUGUAGUAGUAUGUGUUGUGGUUGUGUCUUCAAGGUCGAGCUCAAUUUGCCUUUGUUGCACUAGCUUUAUGAUGAGUUCUUUGAGGAUGAAGCAUUUGCUAAUAGGAUGGCUCACGAUAUGAUGAUACUUGCAAUACCUAGGAUCGUUUAUGUGAUUCAUCUCUUCAAGGCGUUUGCAUUCUGGUAACUCGAUCACCUUCUUUUUUAGCAAGUCGUCUAACAUUGCAUCCAUGUCUGAGUCAGGAAAAGUGUACGUCUUUUGCUCCAACUCCCUCAAGGUGUUUUUGUACUUGUCUUGGGUGUGAGAAGGCUCAUCUCUUUAUUUCCUUCGCUUUGUUCUUGGAGGAGAUUUUGAUAGGCUUGGAGUAGGUCUUGAUAGGGGUAGUGUUCAUGGUAAAAGCUUCUUUGGCGAGCUUCUUCCCAGUCUUGUCUACAUUCGGGAUGAACACUUUAUCCUUCUUGAAGUUGGUGAUCGGCUCCUUCUUCCCAUGAUGGGCGAUGCUUAGCUCCAUGUCGUAGGAACGAGUUGCCAGCUCCUCAAAUGUUCUUGGUUUUAUGCCUUGAAGGAUGUAAUGUAACCCUUAGUGCAUGCCUUGAAUGCAUAUCUCAAUGGCGGAGGUUUUAAAAAGUCAAUCUUUGCAAUCCAAACUUAAUGAACGCCAUCUAUUAAUGUAGUUGACGACAUGUUCAUCCUUCCAUUGUUUCGUAUUGGUCAGUUCCAGCAUGCUUACAGUGCGGCGCGUGCUGUAGAAGUGGUUGAGAAAUUCCCUUUCUAGUUGAUCCCAACUGUUGAUAGACUCGGGCUCGAGGUCAAUGUACCAGUCAAAUACGUUACCCCUUUCUAGUUGAUCCCAACUGUUGAUAGACUCGGGCUCGAGGUCAAUGUACCAGUCAAAUACGUUACAUUUCAGCGAGCACACGAACUGCUUGACGAGGUAGUCUCCCUCGGUCCCAGCAUUGUUGCAUGUUUCAAUGAAAUAUGCGACAUGUUGCUUUGGGUUUCCCUUUUCAUUGAACUGCAUGAAUUUUGGCGGCUGAUAUCUCAUCGGCAUCUUCAAAGCUUCAAUCUUCUUGGAGUAGGGUUUUGAGUACAGCAUAGAGUCAUGUGAGCUUUCUUCGUAUUGCGUCCUAAUUGUGUGUGCGAUCAUCUUCUACAGUUGCUAGAUAGAGAGAGAUCCCAUGAACGCAGUUGCUUGGUCUAGCUUCAACUUCUCUUCAACUUUCUCUGCAGGAGGCUCCUCAUCCUCGUCGUUUUCCUUCUUUAGUGGAUUAACCUUUGGGUCGACUUUCACGUUGGGCUUCACAUCUAGUUGGUUGACGAGUGCGGCGAUUUGCAAGUCUUUCUCCUCCACAGUCUGUGUGAGUUUUGUGAUCGCUUCAUUCAUUUGAGCCAGCUACUCAUCGAUUGAAGUUGCUCCGGUAAUCAUGACUUGAAUGUCUAUGUUACUGCUUGAAUCGGCAUCGGAAAGUAAGGGCUCUGAGUAUUUCCUCGGGCUUUCCUCUCUUGGCGUCCUUAGCGAGGCCAGGGUGAUCACAGGCUUGUGCUUCGGGUGCUCUUGUUCCUUCGGCGGAGUUGAUGCAAGGGUGGAAGAGGCGGCAAAAAGAGCUCUUUCCUUGGUGGUGAGAACAUCUUGAACCUUCUUUGAUUCCAUUUGUGUUGUUUCUUUUUUUUUUUUGAGUAUUCGAAGAUAGAGAUGAGAGGUAGAGAUAGUCCCACUGGGCGUGCCAAAUUUGUAAACACGAAUAUUCCUGCAAUGAAUGAGACAAGAACACGUGUACAAAAUAAUAUUUGUAUUAAUGAUUUAGGGGUUACAAUCUCUUCUACAAAUUUAGCCUCUGAUUCGAUCGUUGUAAUGUGUAGAUUUAUGGAUUGUGCUGUUGAUCCAAGGGCCGUUGGGGCUUGAUAUUGAAGGUUGACGAACGGAUCUUCAAGGGGCUUUUGGGCUUGAUCUUGAAGAACGGUUGUGUGGAUUUCUUCAAGGGCUUUUGGGCUUAAUCUUGAAGGUUAAUGGGUAAACGGAUCUUCAAGGGCUUUUGGGCUUGAUCUUGAAGAACAGUUGGAUGUGUGGAUUUGUUGAUGUUGUUGAUGUUAUUGAUCCAAAGGGUCGUUGGGGCUUGAUCUUAGGAUGAACGGACAAUGAACGAUGAACACUUUCUUCAAGGGCCGUCGGGGCUUGAUCUUGAAUUGGUGGAAGUUCUUCAAGGGCCAUUGGGGCUUGAUCUUAAAGGAGGAUUUAACGAAGAACGAAGAACGAAGAAGGCUUUCUUGAUCGUUCGGGAUUUGCUUGAGGGCUUUAGAGUUUCAAAGCUUCAAGGUUUUGGUGUGAUGUGAAUUGGUGUCUUUAUCCCUUGAUGGAGAAGCCUAUUUAUAGGCUUUGAGAAUGAAUCACCACCAUCCAUUUGUUUUGAUGAAGUGAGUGGAUGUUGUAGGUGAAGUGAGUGCAUGAUGUUGGUGAAAUGAGUGGAGGUUGUAGGUGAAGUGAGUAUAUGAUGUAGGUGAAGUGAAUGAAUGUUGUAAUUUUAAUGCAUUGGUCAACAUUUAUUUCACCAAAAUUUCGAGUUCUACAGAGGGUUCUAAACUUUACAUUAAUUUAAGAAGAAGAAAUUUCGAACUCGGACCGCAUGUGUGAAAACCUAAUACCAUAUUCCUUAUUUCUUCUUGUUUCAUCAAGUUCAAUGCCUAAUCCUAAGUCCUAACAAGUCAAUUGACUUGAUACUUCAUUGAACCAAUCAUAUACUCUCAUUCACAUAUAUCCACAAAUUCGAGAAAUUUUUAUGUAUACUGAAAUGUAAGAUGGUACACCGUGCAUUAUAAUAUAAAUAGACGUUAAAGUUGACGUGUCCAAUUUUAAGAUAUAUUUUCGAAGGAUUCACAAAUUUAUGACCCUUUAGUUCUCUCAAUAAAUAAAAUAAAAAUCAAUUCACAUGAAAAGAACCAUGCUUCCACAAUCAAUUCAUAAGUUGGCAUGCCUCAUUUUAAGAUAUAUUUUCAUUUUUGUCUCAAUUUUUUUAUUUUUUUAUUUUAUUUUUUUUGCAUUUUUAUCCAUGUAGUUUCAAUUUGUUUUCACUUUAGAAUUGAUUCGUAUGGCUCUAUUGUGUCUGUCGAGUGGUAACUUUUCCUCUUUAGUUUCCUUUUUUCUCAAUAUUGGGUAUCUUGCCACUUUCUAUUAUGGCUUCAUCCUUUGCUAAUGGUCAGGUGGCUCAAGGUUGAUUCGUCUUGUGUUAACGAACGGGCUGAAUUUGGGGGGAUUUUUCGCUCAUCGGAGCAUGGGGCACUUGAAACACAAAAUUUGUAAGUUUAGUUGCUGCAAAAAUUCUUGUUUUCAUUGAGGCCGUACGUAUAGCUUGGGUCAGAGAUUGGAAACAUUUGUAGAUUGAAACAAACUCCACGUUGGUUAUUCACUAUCUUUUUAAGGCUUCUAAUGCGAUCCAUUGAUUUUAAUUGGUUGAUUGGAAGAAUUGUCUUUGGCGACUUCGUCAAAUGUGAUUUAUGUGUACCUCCAUUCUUCCUUCCUCCAGCACUAUCAUGAACCUCUCUAGAUGACAUCUCUCUCAUCUCACCCCUCUUUCUUUUCUCUCUUCUCUUCAAGCCAAAGUCGGCUGCUGAUUUUUCGAGAUUUGGGGGAGAGGAGCGGCUAAUCUGAAAGACGGGUUGGGAUUUGAUGUGUUGAUGAGUUUGGAUAGUACUGUGUUUGUCUUCCUUUUGGUGUGUUGGUUUAUGGGUCUGCUUCAAAUUGCCCAGAUUGCCAAUUGUACUGAAACUCUCUAUAUUGUACCGAAACCGAAUUGGUACUGAAAGGUUCAGUACACCUUUGGUUCACCAUCAUACUAUACCGUACCGGUACUGAAAUUUUGUUUUAGGUUCGGUUUCAGUUCCACCCCAUCCUGAACAAUAUUGUGCCCACCCUUAGUUUCUACGUGUGAUGGUCCUCACCCCUUUGGUACCUUGCGCGCGACCAUUGUCGAUGAGCUACCUAUUCUCUCUCCAUUUAAAUUAAAAAGAAAAACUAAAAACAAAAACAAAAAAAAACAAAAAAUAAAAAAUAAAAAAUUGUUUCAUGUACUCUUUCGGUUUACCUUCCUUUCCCCCACCGCUAUUGCUUCACCCUUCUUCAUGAAUCGAUGGACUCAAAGGUCCAUGUAUGCUUUAAUGAGACAUACAACAUUGGAGUGAAAAAUAUGAGCAUAAACAUACAGUAUCUCGUUCCAAAUACUUGGGGAAACAACUUCACCAAAUGUAAGCUACAAAUGUCAAAUUAAAGAUGAUAUAUAUGAAAUUGACUACUCAAAUGGUGAGGACUAAGUUCAUUUUUGAGCAUACGUUGGCACUGGCCUUCUUCUUAACCUAGUGGUUAAUUGGGCUGGCAUGAUUCCUCAAGGUACUGGGUUCGAAGGCUAGUACUGGCUCUGGCGAUGAUGAUGAUGAUGAAUGGAUCUUUAUUCAAGAGAAAUGCUAUGCUAAGGGACUCUCUCUCUCUCUCUCUCUCUCUCUCUCUAUGUAUAUUAUCAAGCAGGUCCUUGAACCAAAUGAGGUAUUCUAAAAUACUUCUGUUUUUCUAUAAUUCCAUACGGAAAAGGGAAUGAAGACAAUCUGUAAUCCAUUUGCAAAAGUAUCCCUUAUUUAUCCUUUUUAUUUUAUUUUAGAAUUUACUAUAAUUUGAGGGAGGUGAGAGUUUCGAGUUCGUGAUGCAUAAGUAAAAUCUCAACACCCUAUAUUAUUUCUUAUUGUCUCAUCAAGCUCAAUGCCUAAUCCUAAAUCCUAAGAGCAACUCCAGUGGGAUGAAUCGCUAGAGGGACAGUGGGAGCAACAGGGCUGGAUCGCCCGAGGGAGCAAGGCCAGCGUUGGCUAGCGAGGGAGCUGGAGGGACAUCGGGCGCCGGCCCUUGAGCCCGAGAUGGGUUUGACGUCAGUUGACAUCAGACGCCUUUAUUAAAUUUUUUUCUGUUAGGCGCGUGCCAUUCAAGCGCGCGUCAGGAGACACAAAAUCAGAAAAUGGGCCCACGGUGCAAAUUUUUUUUGUUACCGUUGGGGAGAAACGUGGCUUCCCCACGGCCGUUGGAUUUCAACGGAUAUAAAUUGUGAACCGUUGGAUUUCCAACGGUAAAAAAAAUAAUAAAAACUUCAUUUAAUAUCACCCGUUAGAUCUGAGAUCAACGGUUCACAUUAUUAGACUUUAAAAAUUAAAAAAUCAAAAAUAUUACCGUUGGGCCACGUGGCACAAUCUGGAGUGUUGGAAUUCAAAUUGGUUUAAAUCCAAUGGUAUAGAUUAAUUAGGUGAAUAAAUUUUUUUUUAAAAUGUAAAAAAUUAUUAAAAAUCCGAAAAAAAAAAUUUGAAAAAUUAAAAAAAAAAAUUGAUUUUACUUUUUUAUAAAUACCUUCUCAUUAUCUUCUACCUUACACCACAAUUUCAUAUCUUCUCAAAGUUUCAAUCCAAUUUCAUAUAUUGUCAAGUUUGAAUCCAAUUUCAUAGUUUUAUAUAUUUACUUUUCUAUAAAUUCAACAUAUAUUGUCAAGUUUGAAUUCAAUUUCAUACUUUUAUAUAUUUACUUUUCUAUAAAUUCAACAUAUAUUGUCAAGUUUGAAUUCAAUUUCAUACUUUUAUAUAUUUACUUUUCUAUAAAUCUAAUUUCAUAUAUUGUCAAGUUUCAAUCCAAUUUCAUAGUUUUAUAUAUUUACUUUUCUAUAAAUUCAACAUAUAUUGUCAAGUUUGAAUUCAAUUGCAUACUUUUAUAUAUUUACUUUUCUAUAAAUCUAAUUUCAUAUAUUGUCAAGUUUCAAUGCAAUUUCAUACAUAUCUUUCUUAAAUACAUACCUUUUCUAUAAUCUACUUUUCUAUCUUUCUAUAAAUCUAAUUUUAUAUAUUUGCUUUUUCUUAAAUACCUAUCUUUCUCUCAAAGUUUCAAUCCAAUUUUUUCCCAAGAAAAUGACUAAUGAUGCAGGUACGAAUUGGACGCUUACUGAAGAUGUUACGUUGUGUACUAGCUGAGUUGAAGUUAUUCAUGAUCCGAUUUCGGGUAAUGAGAUGCAGUUGAGAGAAAUGUGGGGUCUUAUUCAUACCAAUUAUCUUGAGAAAAUUGGUGGGAAAAGAACCAAAGAAUCUUUGUCCAGUCGUUGGAGACUACUGAGCAAAUCAUUUUAUACAUGGAGAGACGCCUUGGCACAAGCUAGUGCUAAUCUUCGAAGUGGGGAAAGUUUAGCGGAUCAGGUAACGAUAUAUUUUUUAUUUGUUUGUACUAUACCCAAAUUUACAUUACCUACUUUGAUUAUAAUUAUUUCUUCUCCCGCAUUGUGUAGGACCUUCAAGCACAAGCUUGGUAUAAUGCCAAAACCACAAGCAAAAAUAAAUCGUUCAACCGAUGGGAGUGUUGGAAUAUUGUCAAAGAUUGUCCUAAAUUCAAAGUUGUGCCUAUCGGUCCAGAAGUGGUCUUUAACAGCACCCCUCUACACUCUACGCCCGAUCAUGCCUCGCAUGAUCAUGAUGAAGAUGAUGCAGAAGACGUGCCCGAAACGCCUCCCGUUGAACAAGCGUCGGGGCCGACCCGUUUUCCAAUUAGGUCUCAACAAGGUAGGAAGGCUUCAAAGAGAAAAGGUAAUGCUUCCAAGAAUGAUUAUGCAAAGUAUAUGGAAGAACUUGCCCGCCAAGGUGAAUUGAGUUUGGCCCGGGAAAUUGCCAAAUUUGAGGCUGAUAAGGCUAGAGAAGAUGCAAAAGCUGCAGCUAUUGAGAAAGAAUUUCAAGCUAAUGAGAGAGAAAGAGAACUACUUUGGCAAGAAAGGGAAUAGGUUAGAGAAGAAAGAAUGGCUCAACGAGAUCGUGACAUUAUGAAGGAGCCUUUAGAAGGGAAGUCUCCAAACUCUAAAUAUUUUUGGAAGACGGAGAAAGCGGACGUGGUGCGAAGGAGGCGUGCAAGAGAAGCGAGAGCAAGAGGAGAUGGUCCUAGCACGACAAGAGAAGAGCAUCCUAGCACCACAAGAGAAGAUCAUCCUAGCACCACAAAUUGGUUAGGUGAUGAUUAUCCAUUCACGAACCCAUAAUUUUCCAAUCACUUUGUUUGUAAUCGGAGCCCAUAAUUUUCCAAUCAAUUUGGGUUGUAAUUUCUUAUUUAUUGAAUAGAGUACUUUAUGUUGUUUCCAAUUUAAAUAAUUUAGUACUUUAUUUAAACUAAGAGUAUAUUUAUUUAAUUUGGUAAUUUAUUUAUACUAAGAUAAUCUUUAUUCAAAACACAUUUAAACACACCAAAUAAAAUUAAAUCAACAUACCAAAUAAAAUUACAUCAACACACACCAAAUCAAAUUACAUAAACAUACCAAAAAAAAAAUCACUAAAUGAACUUAAAAAAACACACCACAUAAAAUUAAAUAAACACACCAAAAAACAAACACUAAUGAACUUAAGUAUCUUCAACUUGUUUCAAUUCUCACUGGUGCUCUAUCAAGUCAAUUUGGCGGGCAUUGUGCAUAUAUGGCCUUUGAAGUGCAGUAUAUCGUUGAAUGACCCUAUCAUUGUAACAUCCAUCCCUUUAUAAUGGCUCGUGUUGCACGGGUUCUUCGGUGGCGUCAUGAGCAUAAUAUAUUUGUGUUCUAGAAUUGUUCAUCGUGUCUGGCUUAUAUUCAUCAACGGCAUCAUAAUCGUACUCAUCUUCCACAAUCAUGUUGUGAAGAAUGAUGCAUGUCAUCAUGAUGGAUCGAAGCGACUCUAAAUCAAACAUUCUGGCAGCACCCCUAACAAUCGCCCAGCGAGCUUGGAGGAUACCAAAACAACGCUCCAUAUCCUUCUUGCACCCUUCUUGACAACUUGCAAAGUGUUUUUCCUUUGUACUACGCGGACGUGGCACUGUUUUGACAAAUGUUUCCCACCUUGGGUAAAUGCCGUCUGCUAAGUAGUGACCCGUCGUACUUAUGUCCGUUGACAUAGUAUGUGACUUUUGGUGCCUUUCCUUGCAGGACAUCGUUGAACACUGGGAUUGUGCAAGCACGUUGAGGUCAUUUUGAGCUCCUGGAACCCCGAAAAUGGCAUGCCAAAUCCAUGUAUCGAAAGAUGCCACCGCCUUCAAAAUGAUACUUUUUAUCCUUUUCCGUCCCCAUAAGCGCCUUGCCAUGCACUUGGACAAUUUUUCCAAGUCCAGUGCAUACAGUCAAUGCUUCCAAUCAUCCCUGGAAAACCUCGCAUCUCCCCUUUCUUCAGAAGCCUUUCUAAGUCCAUAUUAGUAGGUAUUCGGAGGUAUUAUGCGGUGUAGAUAGAUUCGAUUGCCGAGCAAAACCUCAUCAGGGACUCAAGAAUGGUUGAUUUUCCCAUCCUCGCCAUCUCAUCCACUUGGUCUGCAAAUGCUCCAUACGCAAGCAUCUACAAGGCAAUAGUAAUUUUUUUGCUCAGGCAAAAGACCCAUAGCACCAAAAGCAUCCGGCUUUUGCACAAAGUAAGAAUCAUGGUUGCAAACAGCACCCAUGAUUUUGUUGAACAAAUGACGUUCCAUUAUAAAACGACGUCUAAAGUACGUAUCAGGGAAUGCACUGUUACAGACAAAAUAAUCGUCCAAGAGAUACUCACCUCAUCGUUGCCUGUCUCUACCAAUGUUUACAUCACGGCUGGGCCUGCAGAUUUGAGCCACAGCUUGGAUGACUCAACGGGAAUGUGAGGCUCUUGCCAUUCUUGAUUCGUCGUCUCUCCUUCUACGCUCCUCAUCCUCUUCCCUCUGAUUUUGGGCCGCCUGGCGUUUGAACAUUCCUUCUAAUUGGUUAAACAGUUCUUCCUCUUGCUGAUCAAUUUCCCACAUCAUCCUUGAGGAAGAAGAAUACAUUGUAAGAAGGAAGCAAAAACUAUGAAUAAUGAUAGAGAUUUAGGUGAAUAAGAAAGCAGAAACUAUGAAUAAUGAUAGAGAUCUUGAGAAAAUUGGUGUGAGAUUUCUGAGGAUGGAUCAUGGAUUAUAUGGAGAAUUCAGAAAGGAUUAGGUUGUAGAUAAUGCCAUGUGGCAUGCUGUCAUUCGUUAAAAAUCUGGUGAAAAUCUAUCAUCAAAUAUUGUAAACAGAUUGUAACAUGUGAUGCGACGUGAUUGGUUAAAAAUUUUAUCGGAAAUCCAUCACCAAUAAUUGUCUUUUCAGAUAAUGACACGUGGCGCAACGAGAACGAUUAAAAAUCUUAUCGGAAAUCCAUCACCAAUAAUUGUCUUUUCGGAUAAUGACACGUGGCACAACGAGAACGAUUAAAAAUCUUAUCCGAAAUUACGAAUAAAAUUAUUUUGUAUUAUUUUAUAAAUAAAAAACAUUCUAUUAUUUUAUUGCUAUAUUCUUUUCGAUUAAUAACACGGGGCUCAACAAGAACGAUUAAAAAUUUUAUCCGAAAUUACAAAUAAAAUUAUUGUGUAUUAUUUUAUAAACUAAAAAAAUAUUAAUAUUUUAUUGCCAAUUGUCAGGGCUAUUGAGUGCAGGGGUGGAGAUGCAAAAUGCGAUUACUGUUCAUUAAGGGCAGUUACUGUUCAUUGGGUGGAUAGCAUAGUGGAUUGCCCUAGGGAGAAUGGAUCAUGCUGGAACUGCUCUAACAAGCCAAUUGACUUGAUCCUUCAUUGAACCAAUCCUAUAGCCUCAUUCGCGUACCACAAAUUCAAGAAAUUUUAAUAUAUUUCCGGAACGCGAGAUGGUACACUACAUAUUAUAAUAUAAGUGGACAAUAAGGUUAUGUUCCAUUUUAAGAUAUAUUCUUCAAUGACUCUCCACAUAUUCAGUGACCCAGUAAAUGUGUCAAAAAAUAAAAUAAAAAACAAUCCACAUGACAAAUUGUGCUACUAUUAAUCCCCGACUUUCACUCCAUAUGGAAUCAUGCUUCCACACUCAAUCCAUAAGUUGGUAUGUCCCAUUUUAAGAUAUAGUUUCAUUUUUGUCUUUGCCUUUUUUUUCUUGUAUUUCUUAUCCAUGUAGUUUCAAUCUGUUUUCAUUUUAGUAUAAUUUGUCAACUAAGUUAAUUUUUCCUUCUCUUUUGUGCACAUCUUUUUGUUUGACGGCUUGGACUAACGAUGUAAAAUGAACUUUCGAGAACAGAAGUGCAACCAAACAAAAGAAGAUAAAGGAAGAAAAGUGAAAACAUAAAUAAACUACCAAAACAAUUGUUAAGAUAGUUGAAUCACACGUAAAAAUUAAGCAUAUUUUUUUUAUCCAACUAACGUUCCUCUUCCUUGUUCAUCAUCCAUGCUCCAAUCUACAAUAAUGCUUUACUAAGAUGGUCCGUAGAGCUUCAAUGCUUGCACCGGCUCAGGUGUUCUCAACACCAUCACUUUUCUCUAUUUGCAUUUGCUGGCAGUGUUGCUCGUGGAUUUCCACGAACUUCUUUCUUCUGGCAGCUGGAUCCAUUCAUCUAGUUGUCGGAUUUCUUCACUUGUGACUGCGUGCAAAGUGGUGUUUGAGGUUGGAUGCUACAAUCGGCGAGUGAACCUGAGGUUGGAAGCAUGGAAUUGGGCGAAUCGAGAAGUGUUGUUGCAGCAGCGGUUGCAGUUGACUUUUCAACUUUCUUUAGUUUUUUCUAUGUUGGGCCUAAGCUGUUGGUUGAGCUCUGGUUUAAUUUGUUUGGCUUGUCCAUUUUGCUUGUUUAUAAUUUUUUAUAUAUGGGCCUUUGGUUUGUACAGCCUGUAAGUUUGCUUGUUUCUGGUUCGUAAUAUGUAUGUAUGGUAUGUAUGUUUUUAGCUUUUGCAAACGUUUUCACUGGCUUUCUUCCUAGCCUGGUGGAUAAUUGCAUAAGCAUGAUUCCAUUUGGUUUCAGGUUCGAAUGCUGGUAUCGACUGAGAUGGUGAGUACAGAAUGAUGAUGAUGAUCAAGCAUGCAUGCAUCAGUAUGCCCUGUGUGUCUCCGUGUGUGUGUGUGUGUGUGUGUACGUACAUAUAUAUGGAAAGGGAUCCUCUCCGGAUCACCAAAAUGAGGUAUUUCAAAAUACCUCUGUUUUUUUUAAUACAUAUUUUACUCCCCUUUUUUUAUUUUAUGUUAUUUCAUUUAAUAGAUUUAACAUCAAUCAUGCCACUUGUCAGAUGAUAUUCUUCUCUACUUAUGACGUAAUGUUUUAAGUAGCUUAGUUCAAAUCCUUAACCAUACCGUGUAAACAUAUCAUUGUUUUCAAAACACCGAUCAUAAGAUAAAACAUUAAAAAGCUUGGCUAUAUGCAUUUUACAUUUGUUGAAAAUAGUUAAUUGCAGUAAUAGUUCCUGAAUUUUAAUCUAAUUGGAGCUUUGGUCCAUGAGCUAAAAAUCUAUGAGUCCCUUUACUUCCUACAGUAUGUGAUAAUGGUCUCUUUGAUAACUCCAGUUGAAUUUUUAGUUCAUUUUUGCUCUUGAAAUGCUUUAUUUCGGAUAAAGCAUCUACUAGCGUUAAUCAAAAUGACUCUUCAAUUUUUUUCUAUUGACAACACACAACUAAACAAUGUUCGAUGCUCAUUUUCAAAUUUUCAUAUGCCUAUUUUAUUAUCUAUAAUUUCCUCUGCUAUAUCUUUUUUGGUCGAAUUUCUCCUACUACUAUAUAUUAAACAUAGUAAUAAUACUUCUUUUCUAACUAUUUAGGUUUUAGCUCGACUAUACAAGAACAUGAGGUCCAACCAUAGUAUUGGACUAGUCUAUGUCUUUUCUAUUUACCAAAAUAUAUAAUGAUGGGUGGUAUUGGAUUGUGUUCAGAAAACUUAUUUACCACCGUGUCGAGAUUUAUAUUCAUGUAGAUUUCGAGUCGUUAGAAAUUAUCAUCUUAAUCAAUGUAUACUAACACCAAUUUGAAUAAUUUGGUCAAUUUUGUGUCCACUCCUAAUAAAACCAUUGUAUACUUAUAUUUUUAUGCAUUGCAUACUUUAAUUCUUUGAAAUAUAGUUCAACUCAAUAUUUUCUUAGAAUGCUGGUCACAUAUAUAUUGAGAACAAUUGUGACUCUAAAAUUACUAUGAAAUCGAUAUCCAUAUAUUGAGGACAAUUGGGCUACCAUGAAAUCUUUUCUUUUCAUCCUAAUUUGUGUGUUUAGGGACUCAAAUUGCCAAAUUAAAUAUCUGUAGCCAAAGAUUUGACACAAAUAUCUCUACUAAUCUCUACUAAUUAAUAAAACACUCAUUAUCAACCAAAAUAUUAUGAAAUUACCAAUUUAACUCUCUAAUUAAAACAUAACAUGAAUAAGAAAUAUGAGGCAGAAAUGUAAUUUCACACAACCAAAUUUUGCUGCUUUUUUUUUCAAAGCCUCACCUACAUGUAAUCCUAACAUAUAUCUAAUUAAAAUAAAAAUAAAAUAAAUAAUAAUAAAUAAAAAAAACACUUCCCAAUCCCACAUUCUCUAUCACUCUCUUCCUCUCUCAUUCUAUUUCAAAAACAAAAAUAAAAAAAUUUCUUACACAUUUUAUGUGUGCACAUAUGCUAAUAUGUGUGUGUAUAUAUAUUUGUAGCCCACAUGAACUCAAACAAGAGAGGAUAUUGAAGGAGGUCUUCCUGCGGGUGGGCCCACAUCCAAAUGGUUGAAAUGGUAAUUAUAUCGCACAAGUUAUUUUCUUUCACUGAAGUUUUGACUGGUCUUCUUCCAGCCUCGUGGUAAAGUGCGUUAGCAUUUCACCCUCAUGGUUUCGGGUUCGAAGGCUGGUAUAGCUAAGAAAGAAAAUGAUAAUCCAACCAAAACCCUAGUUUCCACCAAAUGAGGUAUUCUGAAAAAUACCUCUGUUUUUAUGUCAAAUUUCGUUGUUAAUAAACAAGCAUAUGCAUUAUUUUUAAUAUCGAACGAUAUUGUAAGACCUCUAUAAAGUUAUAAAUUUUUAUAAUUUUAAAAUGAUUAUUACUUAAUAGAGAUGUAGUUAAAAAAUAUUAUUUAUUAACUUAUUUUAUCUUUUAUGAAUGUAGUAUUUACUAAAUAGGAUUCAUGAGGAUGUUGUAUGGAAAUUCCAAUUUCAUGCCAAAAAGCUGUAAACAUGCUUGAGAAGUUAGAAACAUUUUGGCUUCAACAAGAAGGUGUCCAUGUUAACGAAAUAUUACUACCCACAAGCUCAAAGAUGUGGAAUAAAUUCUAAAAGCUAAAACACUGUCCCAAAUAACUUUAGAGAAAUAUUUAGUUCAUCUUAAACUUUUAUACGUGAUAUUCCAUAUUUUUGUAGUUAUUAACAAUAUGAGGUAUUGUACAUUGUCACAUUGAGAAAAAAAAACUGUACAAAACAAUGCAUUAUUGGACAAGAAACGCGAUAUGACAAUAAACUCGUGAAAAUGUUCGACAAUAUUUUUUAAAGAGAACAUUGUUAGGACCCAAAUCCAAAUAGUCGAAAGCCAUUCAUGGAAAAUGUUUCUGCAAACUAACCACCGGUCUUCCUCCUAACCUUAUGGAAAGUGCACAAGCAUGAUCCCUGUAGGUUCCGGGUUCGGGGGCAGGUAUCCUGCGAAUUUUAUGUUCUUCAUGAACCCUCAGAGGAAACAUAUUAUAUCAACAAUAUGAGGUAUUGCAAAAUACCUCUGUUUUUUUUUAUGUACCUACUAUUUUCUCUCCUCUAUGUAUUUAAUUAACUCUAUAAAUGUUUAUGUAUUUGUUCACUAUUAGUGAUUUUUUAUUAUUUAUCGAAGUCUAAAUAUUUUUAGGUUAAAAUGUUCAAAAAAAUAAUCUAUAUAAAUUUUAUUUAAAAAAAAUAAUAUUUAGCCUAAUGUUUUUCUCUUACCCAAAAUUUUAACCCAGGACCAUUGGUGAAGAAAAACUAUUUUCUAAGUGAAAACCUAAAUUUUAUGUGUGACAACCUGUCAUAGCCUGUCCCAAAUAUACAUUUAUCAACGGUGUGAAUUGACGAAUAUACCCUUGGACGUUAGUUGUGUAAUGUGGUUUAAGUGUAGCUUUGGGUUAAUAUUCUUAAAUCCUAAUUGUUUGGAACCAAUUAGGAUUAAGUUAUGGUGUUUUUUUGGUGGUUGACCAAUCCUAGGCCACACACACACACUCUCUCCUUUCUUUCCUGUACGCUCUCAUCUCUCUCGGACUCUUACUCUCUUUCUCUCCUUCGAACUCGUACAGACAAACAUCCAAAGCCCUUGAAACUUCAUGGAUCGAAGCUUUAAAGGUAAGGUUCUUACUCAUUGAAACCUCCUGAGUACAUUGAUACCUUUGUUUGGACGUGAGUGCUUCGAAAACCCGAGAAAACCCUAACCCCGAUUUUGUGCAUUGUUCAUGCACACGUAAAACCUUGUGUUUCAGGAAAUUCUAAGGACAUAGGAAGCUUAAGGAGGUCCUCACGAGUCUAAGGGUACUUCGUUGGAAGGAUUUGGACGUCGGAGGAUUGAGAUCGACGUGUUUCUAGGUAAGCCGAGCUAUCGACCUUUCUCAAGAAACAUCUAGUAGAAUUUAAGCCUUGAAACUUGCAUAACGUGAUUCUACAUGUUAUUAGCUUCAUUUUGGUACCAAUUUCAUGAAAAAUGGUUGAAAAAUGAGUGAGAAUAGUGGGUUUAAAGUUUUACCCAGUUUUCCGGCGACAGGCGACUCGCCUGAAAAGAUGAUGGCAUAUUCUGUCAAUUUGGACGGAAUAUGCUGAUGCCGUCAGUCAGUUUUAACGGAAUCUGUUAGGUUUAACGGAAUAUUCCUUAACGGUGGUUAGGGAAUCCGUCAGGUUUGGCCAUGCGUAGGGGUGUGUUUUGCCGUGCCAUUGCCGGCGCGUGGGGGCGCGUGAGUCUUCCAAAAAAAUUUCUAAAAAUUUGGGGAUGAUCCUGAGGUUGUGUAGAUCACUGUGGUAUAUUCAUAUACCCAAUUUGAGUAAUGUAUGAGAAGUUAUUAGCUAGUUUUGCCUAUGUGCUUUAAAAUAAUGUUUUUAUAGUUAAUUCGCAUAUAGGUGAGACUUAUCCCGAGGACGAGCGUAUCCACGGGCGACUUGGGGGCUACGACCCUUCGACAUACCAGUGAGUGGGCUGUUGUUUUCAGUAUAUAUUUAUAUGCUUGAUAUAUUUCCCAGAAAUGCAUUUUAAGGAAAAUAUGCGUUGAAAUAAUGUGCCAAAUGCUUUUAUAUUCUGAAUAUGCAUUUCAUGGUUGCAUAUAAAUAAAUGUGGUGCUGUGGAGGUACAGGUAAGUUCAGGUAAGUUAUGUUUGGUUAUGUGAAUCAUCGAUGAUGUGAUAUGUGAUUGAAUAAUGUUGAGCUCAUAAAACUGCACCUAGGGUGAUUGUGAUUUAGCUAGAGAUAUGAAGUACAUGCCUGUUUAUUUACGUCACUUCCCACACUAUAUGCUCAUAUUGGAUUCAACUUAAGUGCACAAUCUUGUCGUACAGACCUUAUUCAUGGUUCCGUAGGUGACUAGCGAUUUAUCGCCCGGCUAUUAUGAGAGAAUAGAAUUGAGCAUAAUUAUAUUUCACCCAAUCUUGUUGUGCAGACCCUUUUUAGUGGUUCCGACAUAUGUGCAGUAUAUUGCCGUAUAGGUCAUUGUAGUGACUCCGGCUAGAUUGACUUUUGAGCUAUGAAUUCAGCCGUACAGACCACCUUAGGGGUCCCGGCUAACAUAUCAUAUUUCUAUGAAAUCAUUCUUACCUAGAUUGUUUACUUUGCUAUAUUUUGGCAUGACAUACAUAUGAAUAUGAUUAUGUGAAGCAUGAAUUGAAUUGUUAUGAUUUCAGAUAUAUAUAUAUAUAUAUAUGCUUAUAUCUUAAUUUUGGGAAAAUUUUACAUGUUUUACAGCGAGGGGUUAGUAUGUUGAUAAAUGAAAUGGUUUUGUAAAACAUUUGUUUUUACCCACUCACGUUUUCUGUUUUGCGCCCCUCCAGGUUUUAAGUAAACUUGCUGUUGGUGGCUUGAGGACGUCGGCAGUUCUGACUUAUCUAAAUAAUAGUAGGACAUUUCUGGUAUUGUAUAACUAGUACUUGUCCUACUGGACUGCACCUAGACUUUAUGCUCUGAUUAGAAGUGUUCACUGUUGUAACUAACUCCUAUCACUUUCUGUUUAGUAGUGCACUCUAGUAAUUUGGUUUUUAAUUAUUCGUAUAUUUCGUAUCUUUAUUGCUUCCGCACUGUGUACAUGGCUACGUCACUCUCAUGUGAAGACCAGCAUGCCUUGAUCUCGGUCGGGGUGUGUCACAACCCGUCCCAAAUUUUACAAUUUUAUAAAUUUUAAAAGCGUGAAUUAACGAAAAUGCCCUGGAGGUGAGGACUUUGAUUUAUGUUGACCGUCGUCUAGAGGAACGUAUGACUUAUUAUUUUGGCAUAUUCGUAUAGUACUCGUUGGUACGAACGCAUAGGCGAAAGCCGUUUACGAGUCCGGAUUAUAACGGUAUAGUUACGGACGUUUGAAAUUGGUUAGUUAAAGUUUAGUUUAAAUUAUUAGAACUCCCACCUUGUGGAAGUGGCCACCAAUCAGAUUUUUAAAAAGGUUAGGAGCUGCCCAAUCAGGAGGAGGAGAAGGAGGGGAAAAGAGGGACCCAAAAUAGGUCAUUUUUGACCCGCGAACCACCAUUUUUGACCCGGCCAUAUCUCCUUCAUACGACCUCCGUUUUGGGUGAUCUUGGUGUCCAUGGAAAGCCCUUGAUGAGCCCUACAUCCUGGUAGUGUUAGAUUUCCCAAUUUCUUUCCAAUUUUUCCAGUUCGAAGCCACAAACCCACGGGUGUUUAGGCGGCUCCGGCAAGUUUCACCGUCCAUGACCACCACAAAAAGGCUUCCCUCAACCCCAUGAACAAGCCCAAGCAGUGUUGGAGGUGUCAGAGUUCGAUUAGAAGUUGAAUCAAAGCACAGCCUUUUCUAGGGUUUCAGCGGGUUUAAGUGAAAUUGGAGCCUUUCUUGGCUAAAUUGGACUUGGCCACAGUUUUCGGCGACCUCCGCCACUUUCGAGGCAUUUUCUUGCCAAAUCACGGUGAGAUAGCCAUCGUGUAAGGUUGCCCAGAAAUUUCGGCGAGUUACCAGUUUUCCCGCGGACAGCCGUAUUUCAGACCAUUUUCCGGCCACCUCCGGCCACCAUUUGGACUCCAAGCUAGUAUAAUCUUGCUCUACAUUUCUCUAGCUUCGAUUUGGUAUAUUAUGGGUUGAAUUUGGUUGAGAAACAAGUGAGAUAUGGAGUUCCAAAGAUCGCCCAAGAAAUCUACAAAAACUGCAGAAUCCGGCAAAGUCCCAUUAAGGUCCACCACUUGAUUAGAAUAGUAAUCGACUAUCCGACCGUUAGAUCAUCACCAAACUUUAAUACAUUAUAGUAAGUAAUAUUUAAGGACCAAUGAAACUUACAGAUCAGGAAUCCGACCUACGGAUCUUCUCGAAUUGGAUGUGUAAGUUUAUAAAAUAAAUGUUAACCGCCACUUGGUUUUGGGCAAUUGGAGAAGAUCCGACCGUUGGAUCGCAAUGAAAUUUUAGUAUGUUAUUCUAGAAGCAUAGUAUGGAUCUUUGGAAGUUACGGAUUGAAAAUCUAAUAUGCGGAUCUGCCGAAUCGAGUUAUAUAGAGUUGUAGACCCUACCAUCGAUCUUUGAUCGACGAUUGACUUAUGGUCAAUGGGUCUCAAACUACUUUAGAAUGUCCUUGAGGAUGUGUUUUAUGUGAAUUACGUAUUCUAUUUAUGAGAGUUCUGAGAUGUGAUUCUAUAAUUGUUCCAAGCACCAAUCAUUCGAGACACCUCGAUACGCGUGCUAGAGAAUCAUAGCAUGGACUCUAGGUGAGUGGGUCUUUUCCUUUUAUCAUAGGUACAUAAUUGAUAGUUCCUCAAAUGCUUCUAAAGUGAAUUGUGCAUGUUACCUACAAUUAAUUAUAGUGAACUACGAAUGGCUUGAUCCCUUUAAGGUACGUAGGCGGUCUAACGAGACGUUAGUGCAACCACAUAAUAAAUGAGACCAAAUAACGGAGACAAUUGCCUUGUUUAGGGAAUUGAGUAAUGUGAGGGACAUUGGUGGAAAAUAUAAGAUUUAACCUUAUGAUUUGGUGGUUAAUUAUUGGUCAUAAAUUAAUGUAUGAAGAAUCAGGAAAAUGAAGUAAGGAAAUGUAAGUAAUGAUAGUUAAUUAAACUAGUAUCUAAUUGGGCUUAUCAUUGAUAAUUAUCUCCGAAAAUAAGUAGUUCGGGAGUAGGGCGUUAUGGCUUAUGCAUUUUAUGCCAUAUAUAUAUAUAUAAAUUUAGGAAUACAAUGUUAUAGUUGAAUUUUAGAUUGCAUCAUGACAUAUUCAUAUGUGUAUUACUUGAACCUAAUUAUUGUGAAUGCUUCGAGGUGCUAAAUGAUGCCGCGGACACCCAGGUAAGUUUCAGAUGAGUACAUGUUGAUGAUAGUGAUGGUAGUGAGUAUGUUGAUGAGAUAUUGAUUGGCUAGCAUGUUGAUGAGAUAUUGACUCAGCCGUACAGGUCACGUGAGGUGACUCUGGCCAGUAUAUUGACGAGAAAUGUGAUGAGAUAUGGAUAAGGAGAUAUUGACUGGCUAGCAUGUUGAUGAGAUAUUGAUUCAGUCGUACAGGUCACUAAAGGUGACUCCGACUUAUGAGCUAACAUAUAUAUGAUGAUAUAUGAUGAGAUGCUAGCAUAUAUUUAUGAUGAAAUAUGUAAUGAGAUGCUAGCCUAUAUGUGAUGAGAUGCUAGCAUAUAUUUAUGAUGAAAUAUGUAAUAAGGUGCUAGCCUAUAUGUGAUGAGAUGCUAGCAUAUAUGUGAUGAUAUAUGAUGAGAUGCUAGCAUAUAUUUAUGAUGAGAUAUGUAAUGAGAUGCUAGCCUAUAUGUGAUGAGAUGCUAGCAUAUGUGAUGAAUAUGUUAUGAGCUAGCAUAUGUGAUAAAUAUGAGACGAGCUAGCAUAUGUGAUGAAUAUGUGAUAUGCUAGCAUAUGUGAUGAAUAUGUGAUAAGCUAGUAUAUGUGAUGAAUAUGUUACGAGCUAGCAUAUGUGAUGAAUAUGUGACGAGCUAGCAUAUGUGAUGAAUAUGUUAUGAGCAAGGUAUUAAAUAUCGAUGAUAUCGGAAAUAUCGGUAGUCCGAAAAUACGGAAAUAUCGGGAUAAUAUCGAUAUCGAUAAAAAUAAUAUGGAAACCACGGAAAUUGUAAGAAAAACUUGGAAAUUUUUAUUGAAACUUUGCAGGAUGUUUAUUUAGUCAAUUAUCUAUUAGUUUAUCAUAAAAAAUUGGAAGGAAAUGCAUUGCAUGAUGGAUUUAACAUUAUCAAGUUGAUUAUAUAGCGAGCUGGCAAACAUUGUGAGUGUAGAAAAUAUGUAGUAAUUAAUGAAAGAAGUUUAAACACACCAUAAUCAUUUAUAUAUAAUGAAUUAGUACAAUAUUUUACACUUUAUACAUUACAUGGUAAGAUACAUGAGUAACUUAGUACCACAUAGAGUUCCUAUGAGGUUCAAAUUUUUCACUAUCUUCAUCAUCUCUGUGUAGAGUGAGUGUAUUUUGAAGAGUAGUUAUCAAAUGAUAAAUCCCCAAAAUAGUUUUGCAUGUAAUUGUUAACAUGCCACCCAUAUGGAUCCGAGAUUGGUUGACCUUGUCCAUAAGCAAAAUCAUUUGGAGAUUGAGUCUCAGAUUGUUUCCAUGAGUCGCUCGAUUCCAUCCCAACAGGAAUGGGAUAUAAAAGGUAGGAAAAUGGUUGGUUAUGAGUAUAACCAUAGUUACUACUUCCCACUCCAACAGAGUCCGAAGUUAUAGAUAACGAGUCAUCUUCUUAACUUGACAAAAUCCCCUUGCCUCUUUCUCUACGAGUAGUCCUUCCCUAUGGCACCAAUUCCUGGUAUGCCCGCCUACUGCCAUGGUCCUCAUCCUGUUUUGCAUGCGUGAAGUUUGCCUUACCAGUGAAGGGGCUCAUAAAUCCGGGAGGUGGUCCAACAUAGUUUCCAUAUCCACCACGACUAUCUUUAGCUCUACUAUAUCCUUCAUCAUUCCCACCUUCGGUGGUAGGUGAGUCUCCUCCUGAUCUUGUACUAGAGAUAUCAUUAGUAUCAGCACGAUGUUGUGGUUGUGUAGGAUUGGAAGAAGGUGGAAUUCCAGUGUUUCUUGGUCUUGGGCGCAAAAGUUCUUCCAAAGUGUCAGCGCUGCUAGAUCCCGCCUCUUCCGCUAAUACUCUUUCUACAUUUAUCCCUUCAUUACGUGCUUCUUCAGCAACUUUGGGAGCUGGGUUGCCUUCAUCAUCAUCUAAAUGAAGAGGUCUAAUCCAUUGAUAAAGUUGGUUACCCUCUGUAUCAUCAUCUUCAGCAACAAUAUCAAACACAUCUAGUGGGUCACCAUGGUCGUCAUGAUCUAUUUCUGCUUCCUUAUCUCGAAUUUGAAGCAUCAUGUUAUAGUAGCAAUAAACUAAUUUUUCCAACCGACUAUGAGCCAACCUAUAUCUUUGCAUUGUGUGUAUGAGUGCAAAUGUGCUCCAAUUUCUUUCACAAGCAGAUGAGGAAGCUGUUUGUGAUAAUACUUUGAUUGCUAACUUUCUCACAGUUGGUGCAUCGGUCUCAUACAUGAUCCACCAUUCAACUACAAUGAAAAACAAUGUUGAUAAGCCUAAUAACUCCAAAAAAUUCUAUUAUAAACUUAUCCUGAAAUAUGUUUACACUCAUUAGGAGACAUUUUUGUUCGAGCAGCAACUGAUGUUGGUUCUCCAAAAGUUCUUCUUGCAUCUCUAAACCAUGUUAGCUGAAUUCAAUAAAUCGUGUUAGUUUAAUCCAACAAAGUAAUUAUUAUAAUUUAAGUAAUUGUGUACCUCAUUUCCAAAUUGGCCAACUGCUGGUGAUGCAAGGUUUAAUUUAGAGUAUACAUUAUGUACAACACGUAUAAGGGUACCAUCAUCUCCAACACCGGGUCUGUAUUGGUAUCGAGGAUUCAAAUAAUAUGCUGUUCAAAGAAACACAUACUCUAAUAAGAGAAAUAAUACUUAUGCAACUAAAGAAAUGAAUUGCAAAUUAUGACAUAAUUUAUACCUGCUGCAUGCAAAUCGUGGUAUAAUGUUUUAUACUAUCAGUCUUCAAUUAUCUUUAUGACCCACCUUGCACCUUGUUUUCUUUCCAAUUUAUCCUUCACUACACGCAUCAACUCAUAUAUUGCCCCCAUAGUAGGGUACACUUUUGUGUCAACGAUCCGUAAAACUUUAUAAAGAGGUUCAAACACUUGGCACACAUGUUCUGAUUGUGUCCAAAAAGCAUGAUCAAGCACUAUACUUUCCACCAUACGACCUGCAUUUGAGCGGCUCAAAUUGUGGUUGGCCCAAUCGUCACCAGUGAAUAGUUGCUUCAACCCUGCUUUCUUCUUAAGUACGCUGUCUAAUGCAAUAUAGUUGGUGGCGAAUCGAGUGGUAGCGGGACGAAUAAUGUCUCCUUUGCAAAAUUCACGUAUCUUUGCCAACAACCAACCGUGAUUGUAAAUAUAAUUUGUGAUCGUUCUAGCUCUUUUUACCACAGUAGCAACAUUCUCUCUCUUCCCCAUUGCCUCAAACAUGAGAUCAAUACAAUGUGCUGCACAUGAUGUCCAAAACACAUUAUGAUGCUUCAUUAAUUUUUUUCCAGCUUUGACAAAUGCAGACGGUUGUCGGUCACGACUUGGACAACAUUAUGCUCUCCCACCUCCAUGAUUACAUCUCUCAAUAAUUUGUAAAUAUACUUGUACUUCUUUAUAUGGUCUGAAGCAUCAAUAGACGUAAAAAAAAUUGUCUUUCCCUUGGAGUAUACCAUGAAGUUUAUGAUAGACAAUCUGGUCGGGCCAGUCCAUCCGUCACACAUGAUUGUGCAACCAUUAGUUUCCCACUUUGACCUCAACUUGUUAACAUACUCGCCAAUGUCUUUAUACUCCAUAUCCAAAUAUUUGUUUCUUAUCUCAUAGGGAGUGGGAGGUUGUACUCCAACACCGGCAUGUUGACAUCCCACUACCAUAUUUUUUAAAUGAUGUGAUGAUGCUUUCUCAGCAGGGACAUUUUCAUAGAUAAAGAACUUGCUAAUUAGACGCCCUAUUCCCUCCUUCACAUUACCUCCAGUGAAAUAACUCCAAACACUCUUUUGACGUGCUUUGGAUGACUUAUAUAAACUUGGUGCUAUUGGUGGUGUUGGUUAUGAUUCUCUAAGACUGCCUCCCCGUCUCAUUUGUGCAUCACCACUUGUCCCGGAACCUUGUGCUCUAUUAGGAAUUUUAUGAAGUUGUUCUCUUUCCCAUGCUGACUGUUUGGAGGCACGUAAUGCUUGUUUCAAACUGCGUCGUUCUUCAGGUCCUAUGUCAUCAUCACAUUCGUCCUCAUCGUCAUCAUCAUCACUAUCAACCGCUUGGCCAAUGACUUAUCCUCGUAGCCCAGCUCGAAUAUUUCCAUUCCAAGUGUUAUCUUUUCCUUCUGCUGUUUUUUUUUUUAAUAAUGUGGUGAUGAAUGCCUUCACUUCUGGGGGGACAUUAUCGCAUCGUUGAACAUUAUGUGCUGGAUCUAAUCCACUAAAAUGGUACUUAAGUCAUGUCACUCCGCCACUCUUCAUUACCCGACCACAAUAUUUGUAAAUUGUGCCAUGUUUGUUUCCGUCUAUUGGGUCUCCAUGUUCCCAAGCUGGAUCACGUUUAGUAACUCCACUGGACAUCUUAAACGUACCUAUAUUUAUUUUUCAUGAAAAUUAGGCAAUUAUUUUUUGGCCAAAAAAUAUAGUAGUGACAGAAACAUAUUAAAUAGGAAGUAAAGAAAAUAGGAAGUAAAGUUAUUUUACAGAAGAAUUAAAUAGGAAGUAAAGAAAAUGAUUGUAAGAAUUUAAGUAAUUAUAAAAAUAAUAUGGAAUAAGAAAACCUAAUAUUAAUGAAUAAUAAUCCAAUUUGAUAAUAAAAUAAUAAAUAACAUUAAACAUAUUAAAAUUAUUCUAGGGAAUAAUUAUACAACAUUACUUAAUUACUUCAAAAAAUUAACAUGCAAGUAUAAAUUACAAUAAUAUAAAUAUAAGUUCGUAAACUUACCUUAAAUAUGGAACCCUUUGUGUUGAACCUCUGGAAUAGAUCUGGAAUGACUCUGAAAGGGGUAAGGGAAGAAGAAGAAACAAAAAGGUGUAAUAGAUGUUUUAAUUUUCGAAGGGUCAAAAAAUGUGUGAUGAUCUGAUACUCCACCUCUGAGAAUGUGAAAGAAUAACACAGUGGCACACGAUUUGAAUGGUCUGAAAUUGUAAAAGUUGUCCAUGGUCUGAUACUUCACCAUUAUUUUUGUCCAUGUUCUGAAAUUGUACAAGUUGUAAUUGUAAAAGUUGUCUGGGUUUUGAAUUAUUUAGAUGCUUUUGAAUGAAACCACCAUUAUUUUUGUCCAUGGUCAAAAAAUGUGUAAUCAUCUGAUACUCCACCUCUGAGAAUGUGAAAGAAUAUCACGCGUGGCACACGGUUUUGAAUCUUGAUGCAUGAAACCACUAUUAUUUUUGUCUUGGUCAAAAAUUGUACCAUUCCUAAAAGCUGUAAAAGUUUAAUUAUUUAGAUGCUUUUCUUUUCUCACACCGUCACACACCACCUACACACACACACACACGCCACCGACACACACACACACUCACACACAGGGAUCACACACGCCACCACACACGCACAACAACACACGCACACACGACUCGUCUCUGGAUCAUUCUCUCUUCUCCCCUCCCUUCUCCCACAAACACACACACAAAUCUCACAGAUCUCUUGAAUUCUUGAUCAUUCUCUCUUCUCCCUUCUCCCAUACACACGCACAGAGACCUUUCUCGAUCCUUCUUCCACAUGGCAUUCUCCUCCUCCCUCGCCUUCCUCCUUGUCCGCAUAUUCCGCCUCGUCGACGAACCCAUGAACUCUCUGGCGAGUUCUCUUGAUCCUUCUCCGCCUUCCUCACCGAUCCUACUGACAACAACCCCACCUCUGUCGUUGACUUCAACGACGACCACCAUGACCCCCAAUCGCCCCUAAACCCCAACCUCAACCUCCACAACAACCACCCAUUCUCCUCCUCCUCUCGGAGCCUGCCCCACCGGCGCCGCGCUAGCCUCCGUCUAUGUUCCACGUCUACUUCAACCAAGACCACGCCUACUUCGCCGUAGGGACAGACCACGGGUUUUGGAUCUACAACUGCGAUCCGUUCUGCGAGCUCUUUUGCCGCAACUUCGACAACGGCGGGGGAAUCGGCGUCGUUGAGGCGCAUAUCUUGGGUUUGAGCAUGGAUUGUAGAGAGAUCUAGGCAGCUGGCACGACACAGCCUCGGCUGCCUUUCCGACGACGGAUCCACGAUGACUUUUUCGAUAAUAUUGAUAAUAUCGCGAUAUUUUGACGAUAAUGAGACAGAUACGUGGGAAAAUAUCGGUGCCACUGAAAAACGAUAAUAUCGUCGAUAUUAUCGAUAUUUAAUACACUGGUUAUGAGCUAGCAUAUGUGAUGAAUAUGUGAUAGGCUAGCAUAUGUGAUGAAUAUGUGAUAGGCUAGCAUAUGUGAUGAAUAUGUGAUAAGCUAGUAUAUGUGAUGAAUAUGUUAUGAGCUAUCAUAUGUGAUGAAUAUGUGAUAGGCUAGCAUAUGUGAUGAAUAUGUGAUAAGCUAGCAUAUGUGAUGAAUAUGUUAUGAGCUAUCAUAUGUGAUGAAUAUGUGACGAGCUAGCAUAUGUGAUAAAUAUGUGAUAAGCUAGCAUAUGUGAUGAAUAUGUUAUGAGCUAGCAUAUGUGAUGAAUAUGCGAUGAAAAUACAAUAAGCUAACCUAAGUGAUGAAAUAUGUGAUGAAUUAGUAUAUGUGAUGAGAUAUAAGUAAGUCGUACAAGUCAUCAUAGGUGACUCCGACUUGCGUACUAGUAUGAGUUAUUAACCACAUGAUUAUUUGAUAUUGCCGAUGAGAUGCUGUCUGGUGGUAUAAUUAUGAUAUUUUUCUGGAAAUUAUACUGGUGUUGUAGCGAGGGGUUAUAUUAUUUUAUAUAGUUUCUAUUAAAAUUAUAUUUGCAGGGCCACUCACCUUUGUUUUGUCUUCACCCUCCAGGUUUUAUUAGAUGAGCUUCCUUAUCGUCGAAGAUUCGUGACAAUUCUUAGUAUUGGAGAUUAUUUCGAGGAUACGAUUCUUAAUUCACUCUUAUGUACUUACUUAUGCUCUAAUGUCACGUGUGAAGUAGGUUCAUUUCCACUCACUGGUGCACUCUGGUAUUUAAGCACUCUUAGGUUUAAAUUUAUUCACAAUUUUCCACAUCAUCAUACUUUAUGGCUUCGUCACCUUCCAGGUGUCGACCAGCAUAGCUCGAUUCGGAGUCCUAGUGGACAUUUCGGGUCGGGGUGUGUCAUUAUGGGUUAACCCAAAGAGUGGAGAUAAUCUUAUUAAACCAUUUUAUACUUAUACUUUUUUACAAUGGUAUAACUUAUUAUUGUACUUAGCGUCAAAACAACUUCACAUUAUUGUUCAAUAAUUAUUUCGUUUUUAGUUUUAGUACUACUAGAGAUAGAGAAGAUAUAUUGAAGACAAAGAUAUAUACGCGGUAGAAGAAGGAAGCUUGGAGGGAUGUUGAGGAAAUGUAAUGGAAUUAUAUACAAAUUAAAAACUGCAAACCAAAGUCUGGAAAUAAUUCUAAAUUGUUUUCACUUUCAACUUUUUGUUUCAUAUAUUCUCCCUUCCUUCCCCUCACCAUUCUUGCUUCACCCUUCUUCACGAAUCGAUAGACAGAUCCAAAUAGAGGACACAAUGACCAUGUAUGUUUUAUUGAGACAUAAAAUUGGAGUGAAAAAUAUUGAGUACAAAAAAUAUUAUCUCAUUUCAAAUAAUUUAAAAAGCAUAACAAAUGCGUAAGAGUUUUUUAUUUUAUUUUAUUUUUCACGUAUAGAUGUGCAUAAAUGUAGCUACAAAUGUCAAAUUAAAAAUGAUAUACAAAUAGAGCAAAAAUUGGCUGGGCCCAAACUCAACUUGUGAGGACUAAGUUCAUUUUUGGGCAAUCGUUUGUACCGGCCUUCUUCUUUGUCUAACGGUUAAUUGCGGUAGCAUGAAUCCUCAAGGUUCUGGCUUCGAAGGCUGGUAUUUGCGAUGGUGAUGAUGAUGAAUCAAUGAAUGAAUGAGAGGCUGGUAAUUAAAAUAAUUUAUGUCCACACGAUGUACGAUGAAUGGACACGAUUUGAAGAUUCUAAUUUCUUUAACCAAAUAAGGCAUUCUAAAAUACCUUUGUUUUUCUAUAAUUUCCACAUGGAAAAUGAUAUGCUUCUUUUGUUUUUUUUUUUUAAUUUGACAUUAUUAAGGGAAGAAGAAGUUUCGAAUAUGGAAUACAUAAGUAGAAACAAAUACAUGCCAUGUUACAAAUGGUCAAAUUAAUAAAAAUGACUAAACAAUGGUGUAAUUGGUUGGGCCCAAAUACAAAGUUUAAAUAAGAUUUUUGCAUGAAUUUUGCACUGGUCUUCUUCAUGGCCUGAUGUACAAGUGCUGAAGCUUGCUUCCAUUAGGUCUCAGGUUCGAAGGCUGGUAUCCGUUGAGAUGGCGAGUUUGAUGAUGGUCAGGCAUGUGUAUGUGUAUAUAUGUAUGUGUGUUGUGGUAGAGAACCCUUGGAUCAAAUUUCAAGGGAUCUGAAUCCCUUUCCCAUUUCCCAUAUAUAUCUAUACAUAAAAACAAAAUGAGGUAUUUAAAAUACCUCUGUUUUUUUCAAAAGUAAUGUUAGUGAGAUUUUUUUUUAUCAAACGAUUGAUUUUGUUAGAUUAGAUAUUACAGAGAUUAAACUUAAAGCUAAAAUUUUGUAAGUUAAAUGACAUGAAAGUUGAUGAUUGGAUUGUUACUCAAAUGUUGAUUAACGUGCUUAUUUCUUAUUACUGACACAUCAUUUAGUUUAGAAAUUUAGUUUAUCUAACAUUACUCAUUUUUUAUAUAGUUUUCUCCUCUUUGUUUUAUUUUAUUUCGUUCCAUUUAUUAGGUUAACACCAAUUAUACUAUUUUGCAUUCUAUACUUUAUUUCUUAUGCAAUUGUAUAAUUUAUUUCGUCAAAAUGUAGUUCAAUUUAAGAUUUUGUUAACAUGCUAUCAACUAAGUAUAGCACAUAAAAAUGUGUGUGUGUGUGUGUGUUAAUCGGCAACUAUGCUAAAAUAAUUAAUCGGCAACUAUGCUAAAAUAAUACUAUAAAAUUUUAAUAUUUAUUUUUUAAUAAACUUUAAAAAUAUGUCUUACAAUAUGUCAAAUAUAGGAAAAAUUACACAUAGAGCAUAUUUUUAAUACUUAAUUUUAUAUUGAGAUAACACUUUUUAAACAUUUCAAAGAGGGACAAAACUUAAUACAUAUAGAAGAUGACAUCAUUAGUUGUUUUCUCUCGAAUUUAAGUUACAAAAAUACCUUUUUAUUGUAGCAGCGGUCGAACUCCAGGGAUGAUUAUAUCCUACUACUUUUCCCUUUCACAAUAUGAGGCAAUUAAGAGAAAUUGUAAGCAAAAGAAAUUUUUUCCCAAGGAACACACGUGAGGGUAAUGAAUCUCUUAGGUCUCCUCCAACAGGUGGAAGCAUUGACCAUGAAGAAGAAGUUGAAUUGGGUUCAAAAAUAGAAUCCAUUGGAUUAGAUGUUACAAAACUUAUGUCGUAUUCACGAAAUCGGCUACUUAUGUAGACAUGUAAUUUUCGUUGCAUAUAAAACGAUGCAUCACAAAACCCCACAUGGCAUAUAACUCAUCACAAAUGGACAAGUCAUCAAUAACAUGUGACAUAAAUCAAGUAAGGGAAGUAUAAAACAUUCCCUAAAUUUGGCUAAGAGAAGAAACAUCCUUUAAAUUAAGCAAAGGAGGUUAAAAAAUUUUCAAAAUCGGAAAAAAAAGUUAAAGCAUCUUCAUAAAACAAGUAAGAAUUGAAGAUUGCUAACAAAAUAGGCAACAAGGUUCUUAAAUUCGGCUAAAGCAAGGAAAGUGGAUGAAAUUAAUACACAAAACAUGCUUAAAUUCUCUCAUGGACAAAUUAGGAUGCAAAUCAAAGCCAAAUCCUCCCAAAGGCAAGCCUUGAGAAGCCUAAAUACAAGGUCCUCUCACAAGCAUUGAGGUCGAAAAAAUCUCUACCCAGAAGAACCUCAGCCAAAUCUUUGAAGACUAAUACGCUGCCAAAGCUCUCUUCGAAUAACAUUUAACCAAAGCCGAAGCUUUCUCUCGACCAAAGCCGAAGCACUUCCCUCGUGCCGAUUCCAUCAAGACUUUGUUGCAAGCUUAUAAACUUGUAGCAACGUUCGUUUCAAGAUCAAGUCGCCAAGACCCUUGAAGCAAUGAAAAUCUCACAUCCACACUACCCUUUGCCGCACCUUGAGGUGAAGACCAUCCCCACAUUGUUUUCAAGCUCAAAACUUGAAACAAUCAUUCAACCGUUCGUCCGAGAUCAAGUCAUCGCGACCCUUGGAUCAACAAUCAACCAUCUACAUCAAAUUUGAAGACUAAAUCAGAGGAAAAGUUGUAAACAGAGAUUGUAACUUACAAAUUCAAAUCAAUACAAAUUUACUUUGUACACGUGUUCUUGUUUCAUUUGAUACAGAAUUUUCGUGUUUACAAUUUAAUUUUAUAAUGAGAUUACACUUUUUAAACCUUUCAAUAAGCAACAAAAGUUAAUAAAUGUAGAAGAUGACAUCGUUGACUUUUUUUCUCUGAAAUGUAAAUUACAAAAAUAUCAUUUAUAGUGAUAAAAUAUGUAUGGUUCCAGUGCGUGUCCACACUACCCUUAUCUCCACCCAGCAUGAUGAGACUAUCUCAAACGAUGAGAUUGUCGUUGACCAUGUCGUUAAGCUUGUUCUUCAUGAGAAGACAAUCUUCAUGGUGAUGCAGGUCUUACUGGAGGUAAGAUCAUUAAUACUAAUGAUGGAUGGGGAUCCCACGGUGUUGACCUGGUGGUGCAAAUAUUUAUAUAUAAUUAUUGUAACCUUUUUUUUUUGGCAAAUAUUUAUAUAUAAUUAUUGUAACCUUAGUAGUUUAGUUAGUAUGAGAAAAGCAUGGAGAUUUAAUGACAAAACCAGUCGCAAACCUUUUUUUAUUUAUUAAAUUAUUGAAUAUUAUCAUUAUUUCUCAAUGUCAUACAUAAUUUCAUUCAACUGCAUAAAAUGUUAUGGAGGGGAAGAAAGCUAAAAGUCUAAUGACACAAUAUGGUGGUGGUAGUAGUAUUUUGGCUUGGAAUAGAAAUCAAAUUUUUGUUAUCGCCUCAGUAGGAUUUAAGGAUAUGUCUUUGUUUAACCUAGAUUGGCGUAGCUAUGUUAACUCAAUAAUUUUUACUAGGUCAAGUUAUUUGAAAUUGAUUUUGCAAAAAAUACCGAGGACGGGUUGAACUGAUUCGGUAAAAAUGGUCGAAGACGGGUUGAUCUGAUUCUACAAAAAUGGUCAAAGACAGGUUGAACUGAUUUAGCAAAAAUGAUCAAUGACAGAUUGAACUGAUUCUGCAAAAAUGAUCGAUGAUGGGUUGAACUGAUUUUACAAAAAUAACUGAUACUGCAAAAAUGAUUAAGGACGGGUUGAACUGAUUCUACAAAAAAGGUUGAAGACGGGUUAAAUUGAUUUUGACAAAAAAUAAUCGAGAACGAGUUGAACUGAUUCUACAAAAAUGAUCAAGGACGGGUUGAACUGAUUUUGCAAAAAUGAUCGAAGACAGGUUGAAUUGAUUUUGCAAAAAAAAAAACUAAUUCUAUAAAAAUGAUCGAGAACUGGUUGAACUUAUUCUGCAAAAACGGUCGAUAACUGAUUGAACUGAUUCUGCAAAAAUGGUCGAAGACGGGUUAAUCUAAUUUUGCAAAAAUUGUUGAAGACGGGUUGCACUAAUUCUGCUAAAAUUGUCGAGGAUGGAUUGAAUUGAUUCUAGUAAUAAAUGAUAUAGACUAAUUCUGAAUAUAAUUUCAAAACUGAUUCUGCAGAAAAAAUCAAGGAUGCGUUAAGCUUAUGGCAUAUAUUAAUUUUGUUGGUGCGUUAAGCUUAUGAGCAGCUGAUUUUAUUAUGAUGUUGCCGAUAUGUAGUGAUUUUGGAUUAUUUUUGGAUUUAAUGUUGAUUUACAUUUGACUUCAUACUUAUAUGUAGUAUGAUUUCUUGGAAAUUAUACAGGUAAUGCAGUGAGGGGUUAAAUCGUUUAGAAGGUCUUUGUUAAAGCUUUAUACUCAGGCCCACUCACCCUUGUUUUUUUUAUCCCUCCAAGUUCUAGUAGCAAAGUUUUCGUAUCAACGAGGAUUCGUGGCAAGUCUUGGUAUUGGAGAUUACCUUCGACGAUGUGAUUUUCAAUCCAUUCUACUGUACUUUACUUAUGCUCUGACGUCACGUGUGAAAUAGGUUCAUUCCCGCUCACGUGUUUAGGCACUUUUAGGUUUAAAUUUAUUCACAUAUUCCACAUCACCACACUUUAUGGCUUCGUCACCUUCCAGGUGUUGGCCAACACAACUCAAUUCGGAGUCCUAAAGGACAAUCCGGGUCGGUAUGUGUCACAAUGUAUAUUAAAUGUAUGAAGUAUGUAUAUACAUGUAUAGUAUGUUGAAUUUAAAAAAAAAAUGUAAUUUAACAACUCAUUAAGAUGUGUACAAAAAAACAUAAUUCGGUGCCUUUUUUUUAGGUGAAAAAUUGUCUUGUGUUAAAUGUUUGAGUAAUGAUAGGGAGACAAAAUUUGUAAACUAAAUGACAUGGAAGUUGAUGAUUGAAUUAUUACUUAAGCGUUGAUAAACGUACUCAUUUCUUAUUGGUGAGGCAUCAUUUAGUUUGUAAAUUUUUGUUUACAAAUUUAGUCUUCAUAGCAUUGCUCUAAAUGUUCAUUUACCCUAAUACGUAACUACGAUUAUGGACAAAAUACAUUCAACAUAAAAUAAUAUAUCUUUUGUCUUCCUAGCAUUGCUCUAAAUGUUUAUUUACCCUAAUACGCAACUACGAUUAUGGACAAAAUACAUUCAAUAUAAAAUAAUAUAUCCUUAGCAAAUAUUCUUCUUAUGGACAAAAUUCAUUCAACAUAAAAUAAUUUCUUCUUCUUCUUCUUCUAUUAGGUUUGUAUGAAUUUGUAAUUAAUUAGGGUUUGGUUUUAUGCUUCAUUCUUCUUCUUCUUCUUCUUCGGGUUUGGUUAACAGCCUCUGUUAGGUUUGUAUGAAUUUGUAAUUAAUUCGGGUUUGGUUUUAUGCUUCAUUCUUCAUUCUUCUUCUUCUUCGGGUUUGGUUAACAGCCUCAAUGCACCUUAUGUUCAUAUAUUCAUCUCUCUCUCUCUCUCUCUCUCACUCUCAUAGCAUAAUUUGGUAUUUAGGGUUAGGUUUGUAUGAAUUUGUAAUUAAUUAGGGUUUGGUUUUAUGCUUCAUUCAUUCUUCUUCUUCUUCUUCUUCUUCUUCUUCUUCUUCUUCUUCUUCUUCUUCUUCUUCUUCUUCUUCUUCUUCUUCUUCUUCUUCUUCUUCUUCUUCUUCUUUCUUCUUCGGGUUUUGUUAACAGCCUCAAUACACCUUAUGUUCAUAUAUUCAUCUCUCCCUCUCUCUCUUUCUCUCUCUCUCUCUCUCUCUCUCUCUCUCUCUCUCACUCACUCAUAGCGUAAUUUGGUAUUUAGGGUUAGGUUUGUAUGAAUUUGUAAUUAAUUAGGGUUUGGUUUUAUGCUUCAUUCUUCUUCUUCUUCGGGUUUGGUUAACAGCCUCAAUACACCUUAUGUUCAUAUAUUCAUCUCUCUCUCUCUCUCUCUCUCUCUCUCUCUCAUAGCGUAAUUUGGUAUUUAGGGUUAGGUUUGUAUGAAUUUGUAAUUAAUUAGGGUUCUUCUUCUUCUUCUUCUUCUUCUUCUUCUUCUUCUUCUUCUUCUUCUCUUCUUUUUAGGGUUACAUUUUUAUGCUUCUUCUUCUUCUUCUUCUUCAGUAAUUUGGUAUUUAUUUAGGGUUAGGAUUGUAUGAAUUACAUGAAUUUUUCUUCUUCUUCUUCUUCUUCUUCAAUUUGGUAUUUAGGGUUAGAUUUUAUGCUUCUUCUUCUUCUUCUUCUUCAAUAAUUUGGUAUUUAUUUAGGGUUAGGUUUGUAUGAAUUACAUGAAUUCUUCUUCUUCUUCUUCUUCUUCUUCUUCUUCUUCAAUUUGGUAUUUAGGGUUAGAUUUUAUGCUUCUUCUUCUUCUUCUUCUUCUUCAAUAAUUUGGUAUUUAUUUAGGGUUAGGUUUGUAUGAAUUACAUGAAUUUUCCAACCAAUUUCCAGUUUGUUGCAUUCAAUUUAUUAAUUUGGUAUUUAGGGUUUGUUGCAUUCAAUUUAUUAGUUUCUUCUUCUUCUUCUUCUUCUUCUUCUUCUUCUUCUUCAAUAAUUUGGUAUUUAGAGUUAGGUUUGUAUGAAUUACAUGAAUUUUCCAACCAAUUUCCAAUUUGUUGCAUUCAAUUUAUUAGUUUGGUAUUUAGGCUUAGGUUUGUAUGAAUUACAUGAAUUUCCCAACCAAUUUCCAGUUUGUUGCAUUCAAUUUAUUAGUGUCAAAGGGUAACACUCCGAGGGCACAAAGGCAGAGAAGAAAAGAAAUAAAAGUAUAUGGAUUGGAGUGUUGUCUUGCAUAAUACCCAAUAGUAGGGGAGAGACUUGUUCCACGUUAAUCAAUCAUUCAAUACUUAUAAUACAAUUUCUAUGGGACAGCGGUGAUAAAAUUUGGUUGUGGUGUACUCCCAGUGUGCGGUUGAUGUCUUUGUGUUGCAAUGUCUUCUUCGAGUUAAACACUUGGUUGUUUCUUCCAUCGCAGCUACCUUGAUGGUUGAUGGCAAGACAUGUGGCAGCGGCGGCAAUGCUCAACCUUUGGAAGAUAGAAAUUAGAGUUUCUAUUAUGUUUGUUUGUUUUGGUUAUUGGGCUGGGUUUAUUGUGUGCUUGGGUUUUUCCAAUUUUUUUGAGUUGUUUGUCAUCCUUUGUGUUGACCCGAUGAUAUGUGUUGGCCCGUCCAAUUACAUACCCUUGUUUUUUCUUAAUGCAACGAAAUUUACUUAUUGGACAAAAGAAAAAAAAAAAAAAAACGAGUAUGAGCUCUCUAGUAAUAUUAAUGGAUAGGGUGAUUGUAAUUACCAAAAUAGACGAUGAGAAGGUGUGGCAAUUGGUUGUGCUCGAUGAACUCCUGAUUUUCGUGUCAACCAAACGAAAGAUUGUGGAAUCAUUGGUGAAGAUUAUUCACUUCUACUUUUUGGUCAUAAAAUUUAGCUAACUUUAUUAUAUUAAUCAUUCCUCAUGAUCAGUAGGUGUGUAUAUAAAUUCAUUUUUAUAUUUCACAAUUUUCCAAUGUUUGUUUUAACGAGCGUACAAUUAAAAAUAUAAUUACAAAAACGUAUCUAACUCCAUGUAAGUUAAUAAACAAACCAAAAGCUUAUAAGUUCUAUUAACAUAGGAGUUAUCUCACUACACAUUGAUGACAUAUUAAUCCUCAUCUUCAUGCAGCCUUAGUACACCAUGAGACAUCAACAUAUUUUUUGCCUUUGGGUUAACAAUUUACCAAACAAAAUCAGUGGAUCCAAAAAUACAUUUGAAUGAGUUCAAACUCGAGCAAACUUAUUCCUAACCUCGUGGUUAAAUGCACCAGCAUCAACAGCCAUGGUACUUGGUUCAAUGUGUCCAAAUCCAAAUUGUUGCAGUUAUGUGAAUUUAGUUUGUUGGCAUUUGUACCGGCCUUCUUCCUAGCCUGGUGGAUAAUUGUGGAUUGUGGAAGCAUUAUUCCCUUAGUUCCAUGUUCGAAGGCUGGUAUCCGUUGAGAUGGCGACUUUGAUGAAUCAUGAUUGCAUGUGUAUGUGCGUACGUGUGUGUGUGUAUACAUAUAUAUACAUAUAUGUUUGUACCAUAUAUUAGGCCUCCGUAUAAAUACUCGGGGGACUCAAAUGUAAUUAUGUAAUAAAGGAAUGAGCAAAUAUGUAAAAAUGGGAGGAGCCCUUAUUCUAUAAAGAGGCCUCUUCACCCUUACAAACCCUAAGGCUCAGAAGCCUCAUCACAUCCCCUAAGCUUUAAGCUCUCUCAUGCUCUCACUCUCAUAUUCAGAGCUCUCUCUCCCUCAGAAAUACAAUAUCAGUGUGGACGUAGCCCAAACCUUGGAGUGAACCACGAUACAUCUUGUGUUAUUUACUUUCUUGCAAAUUCACGGUCGGAUUUACGUUGUUCCAAGACCCCUCCGAUUUUGUGCAUCAACAUUUGGCGCCAUUUGUGGGAAUUGACACGAAAAGUUAUGCCAGUUCUCUCUCAACUUUUCACCUCCGCUGUGAAUCUGCAAAAUCAUAAAAAAAACCCAGAAACAGAAAAGAUCCAAAUCUCAAACACUUUUAUCCUCCGCAGGGAUUUCACCGUCCCCAACAAAAGGACUCCGUAACAAAAGCGAUUUCAUAGGGAUUUCACCCCAACUAACACUAUGAUUUCCAAAGCUACAAGCUAAGCUUAUCUUUUGCUUUUCGCAGUCCCUAACAAAAGCUACAGAUCUGUCUGGUGGUCUUGCCCUCCGCAAAGACAUUCAAGAUGCCGUUAGUGUCAAUAUCGAAGCAGACGGUGAUCUGGGGUACUCCUCUGGGUGCAGUUGGGAUUCCGGAGAGCUCAAAUUUUCCGAGCAAGUUGUUAUCCUUGGUCCUGGUUCUCUCUCCUUCAUACACCUGGAUCAAAACUCUGGGCUGGUUGUCGGAGUAGGUUGAGAAGACCUGUUCCUUCUUGGUGGGGAUGGUGAUGCCUACGGUGCUGCAGUUUAGGCCACCAUUCUUAGCGGAGAGGGCAACGAGAAGGUUCAGGACCAGCCCGCUUCCCCCACGCAGACAUAUAUGUUUGCUUCCUUAUCUUUUCCCCCACUAAAAUAUCUCUCUCUUUGGCCUUUAUUUUAUAAAAAUAUCUCAUCCCUCCUCCAUUCAGAUUCUAUGUUAAAUUCCUUUAUGCUCAUAAUUUCUAGCUGAUGAUAUCACUCCAAGAACCUCAGUAUUCUAUAAACCAAAAACCUACUUCAAAGAUAUACUUUUGAGGAUUGAAAAGCUGUUGCGAGUUCAGCCAUGGCGCCUACUACGAAAUCGAACGGAAAAACAAUCAUAGACUCCGCCAUUUCAUCCAAGAUUCCGGCGACUGUAAACCCUUUAACCGAAGAGUCGUCGCAGAUUACUUCCAACAUCAAUUACCACGUGAAAUUCAGCCCCAACUUCUCGCCGUUCAAGUUCGAGCCGGAGCAAGCCUACUACGCGACAACUAACAGCGUCCGUGAUCGGCUGAUCCAGCAAUGGAACGAGACGUACCUACAUUUCCACAAGUAGAAUCCCAAGCAGACAUAUUACUUGUCCAUGGAGUAUCUUCAAGGACGAGCCUUGACCAAUAUGAUCGGGAAUUUGAAUGUUCAGAGUGCUAAUGCUGAUCCCCGAACCCGUCGCCGACAUUAUUCAGACGUACCUGUGAACUCGGUUUCUGACCCCGUCGCCGACAUGUUCAAAUUGAGCUUUGGUGGAGUGUUUCGCCGACGCCGGAGGUACUCCAACGGGAGCAUGGGGAAGGCGUUAAGGAGCUUCAUACGAGGGAGGACGGGAAGGUCCUGAUGCUCAAGGACAUGUGUAAGCCUCUCCUGGUUCCCUGCUACGACAUGAAAAGUUCCGCCCCGUUCGUGUUCUCCUGAGCCAACGCGUCCGAGUCAGCGAUAUCAUUGUGAUAUCGACCGUGGGUCCCUGCAAACAUCAGGCUAAACCAAGAUCAAGGCUGUUAUCAAAGAGGAGUCUGAGGGCAAGCUGAAGGGUAUCUUGGGAUACACCGAAGAUGAUGUGGUGUCCACCAACUUCAUUGGUGACAGCAGGUAAAAUAUUAAAUCCAUUUUUUAUGAAUGUGGUAUUGUGAUCUGUUUUUUCGAAAGAGGAGCUGCAACAGACGUUGAGGAGCUUCUUCCAUAUUCACAUGGAUAUAUCGAGCUAAAAAAAAAAAAAAAAAAAAAAAAAAGGCAAGCCUAAAAUUAUUCGGCAACCUGCCGCUAUUACCACCAACCUAGUGAUCAAAAGUACGUCCAGUACUUCAAAAUUAUACAUGAGCAUUACUCAUGUCAAUCAUACAUAAACAUUCAUGAGCAUCACUCAUGUCAAUUAUACAUAAACAUUCAUGAGCAUCACUCAUGUCAACAUUCAUGAGCACCACUCAUGUCAACAUUCAUGAGCAUCACUCAUGUUAACAUCCAUGAGCAUCACUCAUGUCAAUCAGCUUCAAAAGCUUCAUUUACAAAGCUCUAGCUUCAAAAGCUUCAUUUACAAAAGCUCUAGCUUCAAAAGCUUCAUUUACAAAAGCUCCAGCUUCAAAAGCUUCAUUUACAAAAGCUCUAGCUUCAAAAGUUUCAUUUACAGAGCUCUAGUUUCAAAAACUUCAUUUCCAAAAGCUCUAGCUUCAAAAGUUUCUUUGACAAAAGCUCCAGCUUCAAAAGCUUCAUUUACAAAAGUUUUAGCUUCAAAAGCUUCAUUUACAGAGCUCUAGCUUCAAAAGCUUCAUUUACAAAAGCUCUAGCUUCAAAAGCUUCAUUUAUAGAGCUCCAGCUUCAAAAGUUUCUUUGACAAAAGCUUCAUUUACAGAGCUCUAGCUUCAAAAGCUUCAUUUACAAAAGCUCCAGCUUCAAAGCUUCACUUGCAAAGCUUUACCUAUAAAGCUUCACCUACAAAGCUUCAGUGCAGGGUAUAUAAAUACCACCUCCGAACAACUGCCACUUCGGCCUAUACAUGGAUUCAAUUUGAAGUCUCCAACCAACAGACUCUAUUGACCGAAUACUUGGGGGACUACACCAUGUACCAUAUAUUGGGCCUCAUGAAAAAUACUUGGGGGACUUAGCCAAUUAUUUAUGUAUUGAGGAGCGAGCCCUUAUUUUAUAAAAUGGACUCCCUCACCAUCAUUAGAGAGCAUCAACUCUAGCCUAUUAUUCAUGUAUUGAGGAGCGAGCCCUUAUUAUAUAAAAGAGACUCCCUCACCAUCAUUAGAGAGCAUCGCCACCUACUAAGCAACCGCCUCGCCACGAGCAUUAACUUUAACCCAUCAUUUAUGUAUUGAGGAGCAAGCCCUUAUUCUAUAAAAGGGACUCCCUCACCUUCAAAGCCUAGCCAACCAAGGCAACAUAAGCCGCAAGUAGAGCAGCCUCGCAACAUGUGCUACUUCUAGUUGAGCAUCAUUUCAGAUUGAGCACCGCCUCAUAUCGAGUAUCAGUUCAUGAUGACAUCUAGUUACUUCGACCCACACAUGGACUGAAUUUCAAGUCUCCAGCCAAAAGAUUUUCUUGAUUGAAGACUUAGGGGACUACUAUUUGUACCAUAUAUUAGGCCUUCGUAUAAAUACUCGGGGGACUCAAAUGUAAUUAUGUAAUAAAGGAAGGGGCAAAUAUGUAAAAAGUGGAGGAGCCCUUAUUUUAAAAAAGUGCCUCCUCACCCUCACAAACCCUAAGGCUCAGAAGCCUCAUCACAUCCCCUAAGCUCUAAGCUCUCUCAUGCUCUCACUCUCAUAUUCAGAGCUCUCUCUCCCUCAAAAAUACAAUAUCAGUGUGGACAUAACCCAAACCUUGGGGUGAACCAUGAAACAUCUUGUGUUAUUUAUUUUCUUGCAGAUUCACGGUCGGAUUUACGUUGUUCCAAGACCCCUUCGGUUUUGUGCAUCAACAAUAUAUAUAUAUAUAUAUAUAUAUAUAUAUAUAUAUAUAUAUAUAUAUAUAUAUAUUUCAAUAGCAUGAGGUAUUUCACCUCUGUUUUUUUAUAAUAUAUUUGUUUUUUUCCCUUCUGUUUUAUUUUAUUUUAUUUACUAGGUUAGCACCAAUCUAACCAAAUCACAUUUUAAUAAACAACAGAGAAAAGCUUGGUUAUAUGCAUUCUAUUGUUACAUGCAUUUUAUUUACUAGGCUAUCAUUAUCUUCGUUACCUCGGUUUGGGAACGGAAGUACAAGAGAAUUAGUGUUGAAUUUCUAUUAAUUAGCAAUUCUUUCAUCUAAACACAAUGUUAAUUAUUUCUUUUCAAUUAUUUGAGUUUUAGUCCAACUAUACCAAGAGCAUUCAGUCAUAGUAAUAGACUAGUAAUAUGCUUGGGCAAUGCUGCGGGACUUGAAUGCACUAGCCUUAACUACAUGAAUAAAACACAUUUAACUUGAAAAACAUUCAACAUAAUCAUGACUGAACACAAAGGAUAGAUCUAGGAAAUUAUAAAAAGCAUUGUAACCAUAGAUCCAGGAAAUUAUAAAAAUCCAUCCAGUCAAGAGACAAUAUAAUACUUGUGGGAAUGUGAGUAUGCAACCAAGAAUCUAAGAUAUACUUGACUUGCAAUUCCAUUAUAAUUUCACACACAAAAAAGAUCAAAUUUUGAUUGAAACAUCAAAGAAAACAAUCUCAUCUGUUACAGAUUGGACCAACUAAAUAAAGAAUCUCAAUAUGAUUUUCAACCUAACUAUAAAAAAAAGAGUUGUAUAACAACGCAAUCAACAUUAUAUGAACUCAACUAAAAAGAAACUGAUUGCAUGUUAUAAAUUCCAUAGGUAAUUUGAUUUUGCAAAAUUAAAAAGAGUCUAAGAAUAUUGAAAAUUACUAAACCCCAUCACAACAAACCCAUACUCAUACCUCCCUUAUCCAUUUCCUUCAACCCUUGCAGAAAAUCCUCCCAUCUCUCUCACCCUUGUCCCAUCUCUCUGUCUGUGCAAAUCGCAGAAAACAAACCCUAAACCAAAUCCCUGAAAUCCAUCACCUAAAUCCUCCCAUAUCUCUCUUGGACACUCCUUAUCUCUGACUCUGCAAACCCUAAACCAAAUCUCCAAAUCCUAUCUUGGAACCCCCCUCAUCUCUAUGCCAAUCGCACAAAUAAAAACUUAAACCUAAUCAUUCAAAUCCCACCAAAACCUAAUCCUUGAAAUCCCACCCAAACCUAAUCCAUGAAACCUCUUGUCUCAGACACCUAGCACCUCUCUCCCUCAGAUAGCCCUAAACGAAGUGCCUCGUAGCAUCGAAUCGGCUUUCAACAUCCCCAGGUGAGAUUGAGACUACUUUUCAUAUUUUCAUUUUAAUGUACCAGCAAAGAAACGAUAGUAUAUUCCAAAAUUAGCAAUUUACAGAGAAAUAUAAAUAUUGUUUUCAAGGAAUUAAUAUGAUUGCAAAUGUAAUAGCUCCAUACAUAGUGAGGUAGGAUAGAUGAUGGAAGAUGCAUUGAAAUUUGAGGUCUUUAUGUUGAGAAGAGUUAAUAGCAUUGAUCAAUAUAUGGAUAUCUUGCAUAUAUCUACAGUUCAAGCUCCGAACAAAGUAUCAAUUUAUUAGCAAUUGUGACAUUCAUUAUUCCCAAAAAAGUUAUUGAUUCACAAAUAAACAAAUGAAAGUAAUUGGAAAAGAAAUAGUUACCACAUGCUGGCUGAAUCCGAACUCAAAAAUACCACGAUAUUUUCCCAGCGAUGAUCACAGAGAGAUUGCUGCCUGGGACUUCUGUCCAUCCCUUGAAUAAUGUCAUGAACUUAUUUAUAGGAUAAAUGUGUGUGUACCCAAGAACUACACUUAAACAACCACAAAGAUUCAAACUUCCACAGUAAAUACGAUCUACAACUAAUAAAAAAAUAAUCGACUGGAAAUCACAUAUAAACCCAAAUGAAUCUGAACCCACCAAGCAAAACUAAAAAACACGCUAAAUAGACAAUCAAUCAAACAGAACCAAAUAGGGGUUCAGAUAAAUUUUUUGUUAUUGUUUCUCUCUUUCAUGCAAGCUUACAUCGGUAAAGGAAGCCAGAGAUUUUAAACUUUUACCCUAGGUCUGAGAUCCUCAAGUUGUGUACUCUCCAACCGGUUCCAAAAAACAAAAAGCACCAAUAUUUAGACAUUUGCACAACUAAUUGUGCACUAAAGUGAAUUCAACAUAGAAACUUCUACAAUUUCACAUGUUUCCUAAAAUUACCCAACUACGUGUUCAUAGAAGGUGAAACUUUUUCUAAAGUCCAAGAACAAUAUCAAAGUUCAAGAAGCAAAUAUCGCACUAAUACUAAAUAUCCAUACAAAAAUAUCUUCAUUUGAGCAAUAUCUCCCUAAAUUUAGCAUCCAUUAUGUUCAUACAUGUUGAAAAACACGCCCUCUAGACCUUGUUCUUUAAUGUGACCAACAGCAAUAGACUAAACUAGAAAAUAUAGAAAAACUUAGAAACAGACAAGAAUUAUACUGGUUCGGCAGAACUUUUGCCUACGUCCAGUUGUGAUUUUUCUAGGUAAACAAAUCACCGCUCCUUUGAUUAAUAAUAGAGAUUACAAAACUUUUGCAAACCCUACAACUAAUCUCAAAACUCUCGGAUGUCUCUGGGUAUUUUCUCUCUAAAAAAUUAAGCAUUGCCGCACCCUAUUUAUAGGCAUAGGGUCCGCUUACAUGUCCCAAGGUUGAUUGAAUUCCUAUUUCUAAGUGGACUAGGAAAUUACACUUAUCCAAAUCCAAAUAGACUUCUAAAAUCCAAACCUAAAUUGAAUAAGGAAAAUUGAAAUUCUUUCCUAAUCCCUCUAGGACAAGAAUAGGUAUACCUCUAAUUUUCCUAUAACAAUCCUAAACCAAUUAGGACAUAUUUGACAAGCCAAAAUCCUAACAAUCUUCACCUUGGUGAGUCAAACCAAGUCUUGAUCGUUGCACCCCAGAGUAUCUUUGAACCUUCUUAAAGCAGCUCUGGAAAUCUUCAAGAGUCUUCACCUCGACAAUCUUCUUCUUGCCUCAUUGCACCUCAAGUGAGAAGGUGCUCCACUUAAAUCAAUCAACAAGAUUGAUCAAGUUCAAGCAAUGCUUGAACUUCUUGGCCAGCACUAUCUUUGUAAGAAAAUCUGCGACAUUGUCAUCCGUAUGAAUCUUUUCAAUCCAAAUUUCCUUAGACUCCACCCAAUCUCUGAUUAUGUGAUACCUUGCUUCAAUAUGCUUUAAUCUUCUAGAAGAUACUUGAUUCUUUGCCAAGUGAAUGGCACUUUGACUAUCACACUUAAGCUUCACACAAUCUUGAGUGAUUCCAAUUUGACUUACCAAGCCACUAAGCCAAAUCGUUUCCUUUCCAGCUUCGGCUAAUGCAAUAUACUCUGCCUUUGCGGUCGACAAAGCUGUAAUUAGUUGCAGUAGUGCCCUCCAACUGAUUGGCCCUCCUGCGCAUGUAAACACAUAACCAGAAGUUGACAUUUUCUUGUCCAAGUCCUCUGCAUAAUCGACAUCCACAUAUCCUAACACCCCUGCACUUUCUUUUUGCCUCUCAAACAUAAUCCUUUGUCACCAAGAACCCUUCAAAUGACGCAAAAUCCCCUUGACUGCAUCCCAAUGUUGCUUUCUUGGAUUUGCCAUGUAUCUGGAAACGACACUGAUUGUUUGAGCUAUAUCGGGACGUGUGCAUACCAUUCCAUACAUGAGGCAGCCCACAACAUUAGCAUAAGGCACAUUUUUCAUUAUUUGUUGCUCUCCCUCGGACUUAGGGCACUGUUGCCCACUUAACCUGAAGUGAGUCGCCAAAGGAGUCGAAACUACCUUUGCUUCUUUCAUGUUGAACUUCUCAAGAACCUUAUGAAUAUACUUAGCUUAUGAUAUCCAGAUCCUUCCAGGGGUCCCAUCUCUCUGAAUUUCCAUGCCAAAGAUCUUCUGUGCAGCACCUAGAUCCUUCAUAUCGAACUCCUUGCCCAACAUCUUUUUCAAGUCUUGAAUUAUAGACUUGUGUUGAUAAGCAAUUAGCAUGUCAUCCACAUAUAGCAAUAGCAAUAUGAGCAUCCCAUCUUGAAACACAUGAUAGUACACGCAACAAUCAUAUAAACAUCUUCUAAAAUUGAUUUUCAACAUGAAUGAAUCAAACCUCUUAUACCACUGUCUUGAAGACUGUUUCAAGCCAUAUAGGGACUUCCUUAGCUGACAUACUAGGUUAUAUUUCCCAUAUUUAACAAACCCUUCUGGUUAAGCCAUGAAAAUCGUCUCCUCUAGAUCUCCAUGAAGAACGCUGUAUUCACAUCCAUCUACUCAAUCUCCAUGUCAUGCUGAGCUGCCAUUGCUAAAAACAAUCUGAUAGAAGUAUGCUUAACUACAGCUGAAAGGAUCUCAUCAUAAUCUACCCAUUCCUUUUGUAAGUACCCUUUAGCCACGAGCCUCGCUUUGAAUCUCAUGGCAUCUUGUUCAUGUAGUCCUUCCUUUUUGCUAGAUACCCAUUUGCAUCCAACUAGCUUUCUGUCUUUGGGCUUAGGAACCAACUCCCAAACAGAGUUAUCGUAAAGAGACUCCAUAUCUUUUGUCAUAGCACCCUGAGCUUGGAAUAGUCCACCAGCUUCUCAGACCAUACCUCUUCUGCAAUCUUAAAGCAGAGAAUUGUAGAUGGUGACUUGUUAAUCAAAUAACUUGCAUGAUUAACAGCCUCUGCCGAAAAACUAUCAGGCAAUCCUACAUGAAAUCGCAUGCUCAUCUAUCUCCAUGAGAGUUCGGUUUGUCCUCUCAGCAGCUCCAUUUUGUUGUGGAUUCUUCUUUAUUGUGGAUUCUUCUUUAUUGUGAAGUGCCUUAUGAUGCCUUCCUGCUUACAGUAAUCGGUGAACUCAUUACUUGUAUAUUCACCUUCAUUGUCACUUCUCAGGUACUUGAUCUUUCUUCCAGUUUGAUUCUCUGUUUCUGUUUUCCAUUCCUUAAACUUUGCAAAAACCUCGAAUUUCUACUUAAUGAAAUAAACCCAAACCUUCCUAGAAAAAUCAUCCAUGAAAGUAGCAAAAUACUUGGCUCCAUCAUUUGAUUUAGUUGGUGCAGGGCCCCAAAUAUCUGAGUGAAUAUAGUUAAGUUGCUCCUUGCUUCGGUUAUUUGCACUGCUACUUGCGAAUGAUACCUUUCUUUGCUUUUUGAGAACACAGUAUUCACAAAAGUCCAGUUUGCAAGAUGACACGUCUUCCAGGCCUUGCUUGUGUAAUUCUUACAACCCUUUUCUGACAUAUGUGCCUAAGCCUAUGAUGCCAAAGUUCAGUCUUGUCUUCUACACUCUAAUUUAUAUAGUGGUCCCAAUUAACUUCUACAACUUAUUGGGCUGUAGGUCACCCUGCAUUACCACUAGUGAUCAUUUGGUUACCCUGAGUCUUCCUUCUUUAGGUUUACACCCAUAACUGGCCUCAUCUAAAGUACCCAUGGAAAUCAAAUUCUUUCUUAUUCUAGGGACAUACCUGACGGCCCCUAAAGCUUGUAUCAUCUCAUUGACCAUUUUGAUUCAAACAGUACCGAUUCCUCUUACAGUACAUAAAGAAUCGUCCCCCAUUAAGACUUCCCCACUGCUGACUUCCUUGUAAGUAUCAAACCAUUCUUUUACUGCACACAUAUGAAACGUGUAUCCGGUAUCCAAAAUCCAAUUUGUGAAAGCCUCGGAGCCCGAUGUUACUUAAAGAAGCUCCCCGUCACUCUUAUGCUCGGUGAUUGCACUAGCUGAACAUGAGCUUCCUUCCAUCUUGGUUUUUUUCCCUUUCCAAAUCUUGCAGUUCCUCUUUCAAUGAUCAGCUGAACCACAUUCGAAACAACCUUCCAUCUUUUCCUUUUUCUUCUUGGAUUUUGACCUACCUCUGUUGCCGGUUUUCUCUUCCCUUGUCUUGUCCCGCCCCUCUCCUUGCCUUUGGCAUAAAGGCCUUGAAAGCUUUCAGUUAUAUCAUCCAAUUUAGCAUAUGACUCAAGAGCUUGAAUUACGUCUUCAAGCUUCAGGGACUUUUUUCCAAACAUUAGAGUUGUUCGAAAAUACUUGAAAGACGAAGGUAGAGAUCUCAGCAAGAUGAUAGCCAUAUCAUCAUCUUUGUAAGUUUCUUUGACCUUCUGAAGAUUAGCUAUGCAAUUCUGGAACCUGCAAACAUGAUCUUCAAUAUCACCUCAUUAUUCUAGUUAAAGCUCGAAUAGUUCAUCCUUUAGAAAAAGUUUAUUGGACACGGUUUUGCCCAUAUAAACAUUCUCCAACUUCUCCCAUGCUUCAUGGGCAGUCAUUUUUUCGAUGAUGUGACCGAACUGAUCUUGGGAGAUGGAUAUCAAUGAAACUCUUGGCCUUCUUAAGAACCUUAGUCCAUACUGCUUCUGUCAUGUUUUCCGACUUCUCAUCAUCGAGUGCAUCGUCCAAAUCAUAUUGUAUUAGUACGUUCUUCAUCAUCCUUUGCCAAUCCAUAAAGUCAUCAUUGCCGUCAAAGGGCUUUAACGCGGGCCCUGGAUUUGCAUUCAUCUUCCUUUUUUACAUCGUAGAACACCUUGAUCCUAGCUUUUGAUACCAAUUGUUGAAAAUACGCCCUUUAGACCUUGUUCUUUAAUGUAACCAACGACAAUAGACUAAACUAGCAAAUAUAGAAAAACUUAGAAACACACCAAAAGUGGACUGGUUCGGAAGAACUUUUGUCUACAUCCAGUUGUGAUUUCUCUAGGUAAAGAAAUCAUCGCUCCUUUGAUUAAUAAUAGAGAUUACAGAACUUUUGCAAACCCUAGAACUAAUCUCAAAACUCUCGGCUAUCUCUGGUUGUUUUCUCUCUAAAAAAUUAAGCAUUGCCACACCCUAUUUCUAAGUGGACUAGUAAAUUAUACUUAUCCAAAUCCAAAUAGACUUCUAGAAAUCCAAACCUAAAUUGAAUAAGGAAAACUGAAAUUCUUUCCUAAUCCCUCUAGGAUAAGAAUCGGCAUACCUCUAAUUUUCCUAAAACAAUCCUAAACCAAUUAGGACAUAUUUGACGAGCCAAAAUCCUAACAAUACAUUCAUAAAUUCAUUGCUAACAGCAAAAUAAGGUCAAAAAUGGACCAACAAGACCUCUUGCAUUCAAAUUUUUUAACCCAAAAGUCAAAUAAAUUCAACAAAAAUUUGAUAUUUUGGAUUUCCAAUUUUAUAUCCUUUCAAAAACUAAAUUUUCACAUUCCCAAAAAUUGAAAAUCCAAUCUUUAGGAGAAAUCCAUGAGAGCAUGCAGUUGUAUCAGUCAAAAUAUAUUCCUUACCUCAACUAAUUGGAUAAACCAGUAGAUCUAAUUAUUAUGUAAUUACACAUCUAGAGCUAUCAGCUAUCAACUAAUUGGAUUAAACAAAAUGUGUGAAUCUAAAAUUAGAGAGAGAGAGAGAGAGAGAGAGAGAGAGAGAGAGAGAAGAAAGCCUCUACUCAGCAAAAAUAGCUAGGAAUAAAAAGAACACUUACUGAGUUGCUGGCUUUUGUCAUUUCUUACUUCUUAAGUCCCCAAGUCCAGCUUUCAACUUGGUAAAAAGCAAAACAAAAAACAAUAAAGGAAAUUAGGUAGAUUGGAGAGCGAGAGAGAGAGAGAGAAAGAGAGAGAGAGAGCCUCCACUCAGCAAAAAUAGCUAGGAAUAAAAAUAACACUUACUGAGUUGCUGGCUUUUGUCAUUUCUUACUUCUUGAGUCCCCAAGUCCAGCAUUCAACUUGGUAAAAAGCAAACAAAAAACAAUAAAGGAAAUUAGGUAGAUUGGUCAGCGCAAACUAAAAGUCCAAGAGAGAGCUUGCAAUCAUCCCUCAUCUAACCCAGCAUCAAUGACUUCGAUUGACACCAAGGUCCGAGUCUGAUCAACAACAACAACAACAACAACAAAGCCUUUUCCCACUAAGUGGGGUCGGCUAUAUGAAUCCUAAAACGCCAUUGCGCUCAGUUUUGUGUCAUGUCCUCCAUUAGAUCCAAGUACUCUAAGUCUUUUCUUAAGGUCUCUUCCAAAGUUUUCCUAGGUCUUCCUCUACCCCUUCGGCCCUGAACCUCUGUCCCGUAGUCACAUCUUCGAACCGGAGCGUCAGUAGGCAUUCUUUGCACAUGUCCAAACCACCGUAACCGAUUUUCUCUCCUCUUUCCUUCAAUUUCGGCUACUCCUACUUUACCUCGGAUAUCCUCAUUCCUAAUCUUAUCCUUUCUCGUGUGCCCACACAUCCAACGAAGCAUCCUCAUCCUCAUCUCGCGUGCCAUAUAGCAUCGCCGGCUUUAUUGUCGUCCUAUAAACUUUUCCCUUGAGCUUCAGUGGCCUACGACGAUCACACAACACGCCGUAUGCACUCUUCCACUUCAUCCAUCCAGCUUGUAUUCUAUGGGUGAGAUCUCCAUCAAAUUCUCCAUUCUUUUGCAAGAUAGAUCCUAGGUAGUGAAAACGGUCGCUCUUUGGUAUUUCCUAAUCUCCGAUCCUCACCCCUAACUCAUUUUGGCCUCCGUUUGCACUGAACUUGCACUUCAUAUAUUCUAUCUUUGAUCGGCUUAGGCGAAAACCUUUAGAUACCAACACUUCUCUCCAAAGGUUAAGCUUCGCGUUUACCCCUUCCUGCGUUUCAUCUAUCAACACUAUAUCGUUUGCGAAAAACAUACACCAAAGAAUAUCAUCUUAAAUAUUAAGUUUGUGAUCUUCGCUAGAUUGCUCCGGUCAUUAGUGUGGAUAAGUAUGUAAAUGGAUAGAGACAGGAAGCAAACACAAAAUGUACGUGGUUCACCCAGAUUUGCUACGUCCACGGAGUAAAUGAGUUCUCAUUAAUUGUGAAAGGUUUACACAGUACAUAGGUUCAAGCUCUCCUUUAGUGAGUACAAGUAAAUGAUUUAGUACAAAUGACAUUAGGAAAUAUUAUGGGAGAAUGAUCUUGUAAUCACGAAAUUUUUAAGUACCGAAGUGUGGUAUCGUCUUCACUUGCCUUAUCUGUCUCAUAGGUAGAUGUGGCAUCUUCUUUGGAAGUACUCUUCCUCCCUCCAGGGGUGGUAUCUUUAACUGGUGGAGAUGCACAAGGUAAUGUAUCAAUUUCACUUGACGCUUACUUGUAGUUUCAGGCUUGUUCAAGCUCGAUACAAACCAUGUAGUAGGAGUCUCCCAAGUCGCCGAGCUAGGGGAUCUGCUGAAAGAGGUGAUAGACAAGGUAAGCAAUCAGAGCUCCAAGCAAUCAGUCCCAGAUCAGAAGUUUGAUUUCGAGUUCUGGCUGAUUGUUAUCCUUCUCCUUAUCUUGCAGGCAACAUGAAGGAUAAAGAGAAGAAAAGGAGAAAAGGUGAUAUGAGAUACUUUUGCUUUUGAAGAAGUAACUUUCAACAGGCUUAUUCUUGAACUGGGCUGGAGGGUUUUCUGGUUUCCGCCAGAGUAUAAGGCCGACUGAAGAAUUUGAGGGUCAAAACAAGUCCAUUAAAUCUAAAGUACGUUCAACCCUGCUGAUAUAGGAUACUUUUGAUGUUGACAAAGUAGUGGAUGUAUCGGCACGUGUUCUGUUGCGCUUGUCUCCACAUGCUUCCUUGUAUCCUUCUCACUUACCCUAUUUGUUCCUCAGGCAGAUGUGGUAUCUUCUCGGGAAGCAUAAGAUGUUGAAGAUGAGUACUUGAGAGCAAUGUCAGGUAAGUAAUCAGGUAAGGGGUUCCAGGCAGUCAGUUCCGGACUAGAAGCUUGAUUCCAAGUGCUGACUAAUUGCUCUCUUUCUCCUUGUCUUGCAGGUAAGAACAAGGCCAAAGGAAAAGACAGGAAAAAAGCAUGAUAUGGGAUACUCUUGCUUUUAACCCUGAUGAUAUGAGAUAUUCUUGCUCUGGUGUAGCUUGUUUACAGAGGUAUUCUCGGGGGGAAAGAAAGCUGAGUAUUUCGAGAGGCUUCGUUGGGAGUGCCCUGUCAGAUAUGAGGAAGGGUUGAGCAUUUUUGCAGGUCUGCCUGUUCGUUGAGGAUAGAGGUCGACAUAUAUAGGAGUCUCCCUAACAACAAGGAGUAAUGUUAUUCCUUUACCCUGCUUGGUCAUAGCACGGUAAUGGGAGCUGCCAGCUUCACGUGUUUUAACUCUGUCAGAGCAUUUUGAAAAAGUGGUCUGUGGUAUCUGGAAAGAUGAUGUUACGUGUGAAGAUUACAGACAAGCUUUAUCCAAGAAGAUUUGGCUCUCGAAGUUGAGAAAGCGGUGUGAGGAUUACAGACAAGCUUUAUUUAAGGGGCUCUCGAAGUUGAGAAAGCGGUGCCUCUUCGGUUUUCGAACAAGCAAUCCUGUCGGGGAUCUGUCUCUCGAGAUUCGGAGAACGGUGCCUCUUCGAUGUUUGAGAAAGCAAUCCUGCUAGGAGUCUGGCUCUCGAGAUUAGGAGAGCGAUGUCUCGUCGCUUUUUGAGAAAGUAAUCAUGUUGGGAGUUUGGCUCUCGAGAUUCGGAGGGCGGUGCCUCUUCGAUCUUGAAGCAAGCAAUCUUGUUGGGAGUGUUUUCUCGAAUGUGAGUAAAGGUUUGACCUGUUUGCUAGUCUACCUUGCCACGGAGCACAGAGGUUGACACACAGGGACUUUCCAAUUAUCCAGCAGUGGUCCUGUUCAUUUACCCUUGUGGGUAAUAAUAUGGUAGCUAGACCUUCAAAAUUUAUGUGUCUAAACUUUGUUAGUGCUGUUUCUUUGCUAUUCUUUUACCCUUCUUGGUCAUAGUGAUGUAAUGAGAGCUGCAAGCUUCACGUGUCUAAACUUUGUCAGAGAUUUUGGCAAAGUUAUCUGUGGUACCCGUGAGCUGAUGUUGCGUGUGGAAAGUGGAUGAUUGAACAGUAACAUUCACGUGAUUUCUACUUCACCAGAAAUCUUCGACAGAAUGCCCGUAAUUUCCAUAAAGUUGAGUGCCUGUUACAGGUGCUGACAAGGCUGAAAAAGCAAGUGCCUCUUCGAUUUCUGAGAUCGGCCCUCGUGGUCUCUGAGCAGCCCAGCUUUUGAGAAAGCAAGCGCCUCUUCAAUUUCUGUGAUCAACCUUCGUGGUCUUUGAGCAGCCCAGCUUUUGAGAAAGCAAACGCCUCUUCUUUUCCUGAGAUCGGCCCUUGUGGUCUCUGAGCAGCCCAACUUUUGAGAAAGAAAACGCCUUUUCAAUUUCUGAGCAGGCGCCUCUUUGAUUUCUGAAGCUCCAUCGAGUGCAGAUUUUUAUAGAGGCUAGUAUUAAGUUCCAAAGCACACUUGAAUCUCCACCAGUAGAAGCUCCCUUCUUGCAUUUCUAAGAUCUUGAUUUAUCCGACCUCUUCUCUCUUCAACACCUUUGAAAAUGUCUAGCCCCUCCGACCGUCGUUUUGACUUGAACCUUGUUGAAGAGGCAACCACGCCUUCUCCAGACAACAUAUGGCGCACAUCCUUCUUAUCCCUUACUGGUCCUCUUACCGUUGGGGAUUCCGUGAUGAAGAAUGAUAUGACCGCUGCGGUGGUGGCCAGGAACCUUCUCACUCCCAAAGAUAACAAACUACUUUCCAAACGGUCUGAUGAGUUGGCUGUUAAGGAUUCUCUGGCUCUCAGUGUUCAGUGUGCAGGUUCUGUGUCUAAUAUGGCCCAACGCCUAUUUGCUCGAACCCGCCAAGUUGAAUCAUUGGCGGCUGAAGUGAUGAGUCUCAAACAGGAGAUUAGAGGGAUCAAGCAUGAGAAUAAACAGUUGCACCGGCUAGCACAUGAUUAUGCUACAAACAUGAAGAGGAAGCUUGACCAGAUGAAGGAAUCUGAUGGUCAGAUUUUACAUGAUCAUCAGAGGUUUGUGGGUUUGUUCUAAAGGCAUUUAUUGCCUUCGUCUUCUGGGGCUGUACCGCGUAAUGAAGCUCCAAAUGAUCAACCUCCGAUGCCUCCUCUUUCUAGGGUGCUGUCCAGUACUUAGGCUCCGAAUAAUCCCCCUCCGAUGCCUUCUCUUUCUUGGGCUCUACUGACUGCUGAGGCUUCUCCUAAGCAACCUAUGUGAAGGCUCCAUUUUGUUUGUUUAUUUUGACUCAUGUAUAUGUACAUAUUUGUAACUUAUUGGAGAUAUCAAUAAAUAAGCUUUGUUUCAUUUCAACGUAUUGUGUUAAAUACACCAAAGCCUUCUUCGCUAAGUUCUUUGAAUUUUUCUUUUGUUGAAGCUUGUAUGUUGAAGCUUUGAGAGUGGAGCAUGUAGGUUGAGGUAGUGUUCCCUUAAUUUCCAAAGUGGGGAAAACUUCUCGAUUGGAAACUUGAAAAAUUCCAAGUCACUGAGUGGGGUCGGUUAUAUGAAUCUUAGAACGCCUUUGUGCUCGAUCCUGUGUCAUGUCAUCCGUUAGAUCCAAGUAUUCUAAGUCUUUUCUUAGAGUCUCUUCCAAAGUUUUCUUAGGUCUUCCUCUACCCCUUCGGCCCUGAACCUUUGUCUCGUAGUCGCAUCUUCUAAUCGAAGCGUCAGUAGGCCUUCUUUGCACAUGUCCAAACCACCGUAACCGAUUUUCUCUCAGCUUUCCUUCAAUUUCGGCUACUCCUACUUUACCUCGGAUAUCCUCAUUCCUAAUCUUAUCCUUUCUCGUGUGCCCACACAUCCAACGAAGCAUCCUCAUCUCCGCUACACCCAUUUUGUGUACGUGUUGAUGCUUCACCGCCCAACAUUCUGUGCCAUACAGCAUCACCGGCCUUAUUGCCGUCCUAUAGAAUUUUCCCUUAAGCUUCAGUGGUAUACGACGAUCACACAACACGCCGGAUGCAUUCUUCCACUUCAUCCAUCCAGCUUGUAUUCUAUGGUUGAGAUCUCCAUCUAAUUCUCCGUUCUUUUGCAAGAUAGAUCCUAGAUAGCGAAAACGGUCGCUCUUUGGGAUUUCCUGAUCUCUGAUCCUCACCCCUAACUCAUUUUGGCCUCCAUUUGCACUGAACUUGCACUCCAUAUAUUCUGUCUUUGAUCGGCUUAGGUGAAAACCUUUAGAUUCCAACACUUCUCUCCAAAGGUUAAGCUUCGAAUUUACCCCUUCCUGAGUUUCAUCUAUCAACACUAUAUCGUCUGCGAAAAGCAUACACCAAGGAAUAUCAUCUUGAAUAUGUCCUGUUAACUCAUCCAUUACCAACGCAAAAAUGUAAGGACUUAAGGAUGAGCCUUGAUGUAAUCUUACAGUUAUGGGGAAGCUUUCAGUUUGUCCUUCAUGAGUUCUUACGGCAGUCUUUGCUCCUUCAUACAUAUCCUUUAUAGCUUGGAUAUAUGCUACUCAUACUCCUUUCUUCUCUAAAAUCCUCCAAAGAAUGUCUCUUGUGACCCUAUCAUACGCUUUUUCCAAAUCUAUAAAGACCAUGUGUAAAUCCUUUUUCCCAUCUCUAUAUCUUUCCAUCAAUCUUCGUAAGAGAUAGAUUGCCUCCAUGGUUGAGCGCCCUGGCAUGAACCCGAAUUGGUUGUCCGAAACCCGUGUCUCUUGCCUCAUUCUAUGCUCAAUGACUCUCUCCCAGAGCUUCAUUGUAUGACUCAUUAGCUUAAUACCCCUAUAGUUCAUGCAAUUUUGUACGUCGCCCUUAUUCUUGUAAAUAGGCACCAAGGUGCUCUUUCGCCACUCGUUUGGCAUCUUCUUCGUUUUCAAAAUCCUAUUGAAAAGGUCAGUGAGCCAUGCUAUACCUGUCUCUCCCAAGGCUUUCCACACUUCAAUCGAUAUAUCGUCUGGGCCCACUGCUUUUCUAUGCUUUAUCUUCUUCAAAGCUACAACCACUUCUUCCUUCCUGAUUCGACGAUAAAAUGAGUAGUUUCUACACUCUUCUGAGUUACUUAACUCCCCUAAAGAAGUACUCCUUUCAUGUCCUUCAUUGAAAAGAUUAUGAAAAUAACCUCUCCAUCUGUCUUUGAUCCCGUUCUCUGUAGCAAGAACCUUUCCAUCCUCAUCCUUGAUGCACCUCACUUGGUUUAGGUCUCUUGUCUUCUUUUCCCUUGCUCUAGCUAGUUUAUAGAUAUCCAACUCUCCUUCUUUGGUAUCUAGUCGCUUAUACAUAUCGUCAUAAGCCGCUAACUUAGCUUCUCUCACAGCUUUCUUCGCCUCUUGCUUCGCUCUUCUGUACCUUUCACCAUUUUCAUCGGUCUUAUCCUUGUAUAAGGCUUUACAACAUUCCUUCUUAGCAUCCCACUUGUUAAAAUCAAUCCAAUACCUGUUUCACAAUUACAAAAUGUGUUGCAAACCAAAAAUGGACAAAAAAGAAAAGAAGAAGCGUUCAAGAGAUUAAGGCAUUUAAAUAAUUAGACGAAGUAGACGGAGAUCAGUAAAAAGUUUGGGAGGGAAGUAAUAAUCUCUGCAGUGGGUGCUCGGUAAUAAAAAUGACAACCGAAAAUAAAAAUUAAGCCAAUAAGUUGUUUUCUUUUUUCUUUUCUUUUUUAAUCUUAGAUGUUUUGUAGAAUGAAAAUGCAUCAAACCAAUAUUGUUAUAAACUCAUCAACUGAGAAAGGGAAGCAAGCAGAGGCCGCCGGAAACGAAAAAGUCAGUUUUGAUAUGAGCAUUUCUGAAAAAAAAAGAGUCAGAGAACCUUAAAAUCCCCAAAAACCCUAAUUUAUAAACUCCCAAUCAAACCCAAAAAGGAUAGAGGAAACCCAAAUAAAGGGAAAUUCAAGAAAUUCAACAUACGGUAAGACGCUUUCGGACGGCCAAUGUAAUUAAAAGCCUGCAUACAGUUUGGUUAAUUAACAAAUAAUGCAGGGCAUUUUUCAUUUCCAGCCAACUGUACGGACACAUAUUAUGUUUUUGCAAAUGUGUAUUUCACUUUCAAGUGAGAAUGACUUAACAAUUAGAUUGUCAUAAAUCAAACACAUCAAACAAUUAAUUAUUUAAUAUUGGAACAAUUCCUUUAAACCAUGAACACUUAGUGUGGAGAAAUUAGAAAUUGAAAUAAGCAGAAAACGACUUAGGUAAGAGGAGAAAAUUAAAAAAAUAUUGUGAUCAAAAUAAGAACUCAGUUGAAAGUUCAACAGAAAUAUCAGUGGAAAAUGCACUCACAUACCAACUUGAAAGAAAACGUAGUGUUUAACGAUUGCCCUAGGAAUAGAAAAAUGUAAACUAUAUAUAUAACGUUACAUGGAAAAUGAAGAUUUACCUAUAGACCGGUAAUAGCAAAGUAAACAGAAUACAACGCGAGUUAAGAGUGACAAAGAGGGAGAGAGAUGAAAGAUGAGUGAAUAGUUAAAGCUAGAAUUUUGCUUAGCAUGUUCUACAAACUGAAUUAUUUAGCUAUCACAUCGACAUGCUUGAAAUGAACACUAAGCAAAAACGUGCUAUUAAAAAUAAGAGAUGCAAUAUCACCAAAAUUCAUGAUCAUUAUCCAAAACUCCAAAGUAAAUAUAAAAUCAAAUUAACACUUCUUUAUUUUUAAUCUCUGUCCUUGAUAUUUUGUAUUGUGAUAAGGUUUAUACUAAAUAAUGGUUAAACCAAAAUUUAAUAAUAAAAGUCACAGUAGAAGUUUAACAUGAGAGAGUCAUUCCAUGAUACAGAGGCAGGAGUGAUAACAAGAACAAAUGAUUUCAAGAAAAUGAAGAUCAAAGAAUUCAAGAAAGCUUGAGAACAGAGAAAGUCGAUAAGCAGGAGAAAAGAAAAUGACUAACUGUAUUGAAUGAAUAUCAAACGUUUUACAACUGCUUUUAUAAUACCCCACUUCUAACUAAUUUGUCUAUGCUGUAAUCUUCCAUAUUUCUCCUUAUUACAUUCUAACCACUCAGUAACUGACACCUGUAUUUCAGUUAUUACCCUCCCUCAAUCGCAGCUAGUGACACCAAGGCUGAGAUUAAUACAGUGCUUAACAAACACAGGACUGUGAAGCCCUUUAGUAAGAAUAUCGGCAACCUGAUUAUCUGUGGAGACAUAAUGAACCACUAUAUAUUUCUUUUGCACCCGUUCUCGAAUGAAAUGGUAAUCAGUAUCCAGGUGUUUAAUUCUGGAAUGGAAGACAAGAUUUGUGCUAAGAGACAGUGCAAAGAUAUUAUCACAGUGCAAAUCAGGAGGAGCAUGUAGGAACUGAUUGAGAUCUCUCAUGAGUGUCCGUAUCCAGCACACAUCAGCUAUGCAAUUAGCAAGAGCUUUAUAUUCAGCCUCUGUGGAACUUCGAGACACAGAAGACUGCUUCUUUGACUGCCACGAAAUGGGAUUAGAACCAAGAAAGACUACAUAGCCGGUAACUGACCUCCGUGUAUUGAUAUCAGAGGCCCAAUCAACAUCUGAAUACGUUGAAAUGUGAAUAUCAGCAUCGAAAUGAUAUGUAAGUCCAUAAUGUAGAGUCCCCUGAAGAUAGCGUAGUAUCCGUUUGACCAAGAACAUGUGUGCAUCAAUUGGACGUGUCAUAUAUUGACACACAACAUGCACAGAGUGAGCUAUAUCAGGCCUCGUGAAAGUCAAAUAUUGAAGGGCUCCAACAAUGCUUCUGUAAACACUCGGAUCAGGCAAAGGUUCCCCCUCAGACACGAGUAACUGAGUAUGAGGCUUGGCAGGUGUUGGUGCAGGUCUACAAUUCUCCAUUCCUGCUCUUUUGAGGAGUUCUUUUGCAUAUUUGGUCUGGCUAAUAAACACAUCUCCAUUGCUUUUGUACUGAAUAUGCAACCCUAAGAAGUAAGUGAGCCUGACCAUAUCUUUCAAAUCAAAUAUCUCACUGAGAGCAGUAAUUACAUUCUGGACUUUGAUGACAUUCGAACCCGUUAGGAUUAUAUCAUCUACAUAUAAGAGUAGAAUGAUAAUAUCGGUGCCAUCUAUCUUAAUAAAAAGACUUGUGUCAGCUUGAGAGACUGUGAACCCCAGAGAUGGUAACACCUGUGAAUUUAGCAUUCCAGGCUCGUGGAGCCUGUUUAAGUCCAUACAACGAUUUAACAAGUUUGCAAACAUGGUUCGAAACUCUCGAAUCUACAAAACCUUAUGGCUGCUUCAUGUAUAUUUCUUCUUGUAAUUCACCAUGUAGGAAUGCAUUCUUAAUAUCGAGUUGUCUAAGUUCCCAUUUGUAACUUGUAGCAAGUGCAAGGAUUAACCUCACUGUAGUGUGGCGGACCACAGGACUAAAUGUCUCGGAGUAAUCAAGACCAUGCUCAUAUGUAUACCCUUGAGCCACUAAACGUGCCUUGUACCUAGAUAUACUACCAUCAGGAUUUUUCUUCAACUUAUAUACCCAUUUACUCCCAAUAAUGGUUCGGUUAUGAGGAGGAGGGACAAGAAUCCAAGUUCCUUGCCCUUUAAGAGCAUCAAAUUCAUUAUGCAUAGCUUGUUGCCAAUUUGAAUUGGUAGCUGCUACUUUAAAAUGUUUUGGUUCUUCGUAAUCAACACUUUCAGCCAGAAGAGAAAAUCCAGUAUAACACAGAGAAUCAACAGCAAUUUGUAAAGACUGUAUUUCAGGUAAGCUAGCAUACAAGGUAGCAUAAUUUCUUCGCUCAAUUGCUCCAGUUUGAAGUCUCGUGAGCAUAGAAUGAGUUCUAACAUCAGCAGGAGGAAUAGAACUAGAGGAUUGAUUCCAAUCACUCUCAGAGAUAAGAAGUAAUACCUGAAGUUGUGCUGGAUCGAGGAUAGGCAACAAGGGUUGAGUGAGAUCUUGUAUGGGAGUAGACUGAUAUGAUCGUAAUGACUCAGAUUCCUGUGUUUCAGAUUCCUGUCUUUAUGAUAAAAGCGGUGAUGUAUCAGUAGACUCAGGCACAUCAAUAUCUUGCUGCAAUGAAGUAGUAUCAGUCAUAGAUGGAACUUGAUCUGUGUAUCUUCUGUCAUGUUCACUUGGAUCUCUUAAUUGAACUAUAAUUGGAGGAGAACGAACCGUGCGUGGUAUACAUCCACUACUGGACAACACUAAGGGUUUACACUUGGCAGGAAACACAGACUCAUCAUGAAUAACAUGCCUAGAUAAGACCAAUUUCUGAGAUUGUAAAUUGUAACAAAUAGCCCCUUUAUAUCCUGAAGCAUAUCCUAAAAAUAUACACAUUGAGGAUCUAGCUUGGAAUUUACUGUCAUUAUAAUGUCUCAAAUAUGGAUACACAGCUGAGCCAUAUAUUUUCAAAUCUUGUAAUGAUGGAUGCUUAUCAUAUAUACAGAAAUAAGGGGAGUUCAUUUGUAAUGACUUAGAACCCAUUCGGUUGAUUAGAUACACAGCAUGUGCACAUGACAAGUACCAAAACUCCUGUGAUAACCCAGCAGCAUUCAUCAAAGUUAGUGCUAUUUCCACUACAUGCCUAUGUCUUCUUUCAACCAAGCCAUUUUGUUGAGGAGUGUUGGGACAUGAAAUCCUAUGAAUCAUUCCUUUUGACUGCAUAAAUUCUUUGAAACAAUUACUUACAAACUCACCACCCCUAUCUGAUUGCAAACAUUUUAUUUGUGCUCCAAACUGAACUUCAAUAUAUUUUUAAAACUUGAUAAAUAUCGAAAACACUUCUGAUUUAUUAUAUAGUGGGAAAAUCCACAUGUAUCUUGUACAAUCAUCAACAAAUACAACAUAGAAUCUAUACCCUUCUAUAGACUUGACUGAAGCGGGUCCCAAAACAUCUGAAUGGACUCUAUCAAAAGGUAAGAUACAUCUAGAAGAGUUAUUAUCAAAAGGUUUUCGUGUAAUCUUCCCAUGAAUACAAUCUGUGCACAGCUUAUGCUCAUUAUCUAUAGCAACUGGAAUACGAGACUUAGCUAACAUAAUUGCCAUGACUUCAUUAGUAGGAUGACCUAGCCGUUGAUGCUAAAGAGAAGACUUUAUCAACUAUCCAAUAAACUCGAAACUGUCCAUGUUGACAUAGGAAUCUGAAACAACUCUUGAGAUCUACUCCUUCAUUUGUACAAGAUCUCCCUUGUCACCUUGUCCUGCACAAAGAAAUUUUUGUCAUCACAAAUAAACCAGCAUCAGUUAUCUUUACACAAUUGCUUUACAGACAUUAGAUUCACAGCAAGAGAUGGGACAUGUAACACAUUUUUCAAUAUAAUAGAGUGAGAAGAUGUUUUAAUGAUUGUAGAACCAGUAUUUUGAAUUGGCAAACCUUGACCAUUGCCAAUUUUAAUUUUCUCUGAACCUUCAUAAGGAGAAACUUGAUGUAGGCUAGCAAGAUCAGAUGUCAUGUGGUGUGAUGCUCUUGUGUCCACAAUCCAAUUUGCAGCAUUGGAAUAUGAUGUUGACCCUUGAGCAUUCAUCCCUUGCAUUGCAGGUUAUACUUGAUAUGAAAUAUCAGGUAUUGGUGGAUUCUGUUGAACAUUCAUCCCUUGCAGUGUAGGUGGAUGCAACUGAUAUGAAUAAUGAGCAACAAAAUUCUGAGGUUGUUGAACAAAACCUUGUGAUUGAGAAAUCCCAGAAGGUUGACCAGGAAAUAUAGGUGCAAGAGAGGCAGGAGGUCCAGAAGGUUGAUAGGAGUAAUUUCCCCGAUGAUAGCAUUCCAGUGCACUAUGUCCCCUCUUACCACAAAUCUGACAUUCAGUAUUAAAAUGUGGGGAAGUACUCUGAGCAGUUCUGUAAAAACAGUUAGGAGCAGUAUGACCCAUUCUCUGACAAAUUUGACAUUCCGGAUGUAGAGUAGUUCUUGAUUCAGUGUUUCCAUUCCAACCAUUAUUGUUCCUGUAAUUAGACCAUUUGCCUCUGAAUCUUGAUCUGUAAUUAUUAUGUCCCCUUGAUUGUCCUCCAUUGUUAAACCGUUGUUGAAUGCUAUGGAACUGUGUUGAAGGUUGAUAUUGCCUCAAGGUAUCUUGUGGAUGCUGCUCCAGAUUACCAACAAAACCACUACCUGAGCCAUAAGAAUUCUGAUCUGGAAAAGAAGCAAAUUUCCCCAUUUGAGACUGUGGAAAUAAUGACAUUUGUGGUGGUAAAGGAAUAGCUGUAAUGACACCUCCUGUACGUGAUGGCUCAUUCGCAGAGGAAUUUGAACUGGAUGCACCAUUGUUAUACAUAGAAGAACUUCAACCACCAUCAUUGUGUUGCAUAUACAGAGCAGCCAUAUAUUGAGUCAGUGAAGUCAUCACCACAUCAUUUUCCCUUUCAGCGCCAAUUAAUAACGCCCGAAAUUCCUUCAUAGUAACAUUAGAAUCUCUCACAAGUAUAACAGUCCGAAUAGUUGCAUAUUCUUUAGGUAACCCAGCAAGAGCAGCAAUCAUCACAUCGUUAUCUGAGACAUAUUCCCCAGCAGCCAUCAACUGAUCCCUUAUUGACUUGAUCUUUAACAAAUAUUUAUCCAUUGAAUCCCCACCUUUUUGAACUGUAUGUAAUUCCGUUUUCAAAUGAUUGACACCCGUUUGAGACACAGAUGCAUACCUUUCUUCAAGAUUUGUCCAAGCUUCAGCAGCAGUCUUACAGCCUAUCACAUACUCUAUAGCAUCAUCAGUCAGCAUUGUUAUUAACAAACUUAAUAGUGAUAAAUCUGUGGUCUCCCAAUCUUGAAAAGCAACAGUUAGUUCUUUGGUAACCCUAGUUUCGGCACUAACCACAAAUUUCGAUGGACAAGUAGAAGAGCCAUCAAAAUGAUCGAACAACUUGUACCCUUUUAACACAGCCUUGAAUUGAAAAGACCAUUUGGCGUAAUUGUGCUCACCAAGUCGAAUCGUCAACAUACCCAACAAUCCUUCAAUUUUCACAGACGAAGCCAUAUCUACCCAACAAUUAACCUUUUAACAAAUCGACAAGAAUUAACCUUUGAACAAAUCAUAUCAAGAAACUACCCAACAAUUUGCAAGAAUCAAACUUCUAACUAAAUCAAACUUCUUGAAUUAAUGGCAUUGGCCUUCAGAUCCCUUCUUAGCACAGAGUAAUGGCAUUGGCCUUCUCAAACUACCCAGUGCAUAGCAACUACUUAAUAAUGGCAUUGACCUUCGAAUCUUCACAUAUACAGACUACUAUCUUCGCAUAGACACAAACAAACCAAAAUUGCCCAAAAAAUCAUUACAAGAAAACGUAAUAGAUUGAAGCGCUGGAAAUAUAGAACCUGAAGUUUCUGCAGAUUCCACCAUGAUUGCAUAUAGAAAUCCCCAAAUCGUCACACGAAUCCUCCAAAUCGCCAAAAAAAAAAUUCCCAAAUUCACCAAAAACAUCUGCAAAUCAUCAUACUUCCAUCAAUGAUUCAGACGAGCGCCGACCCACACACGAUCGAUGGCUCUUGAUACCAUGAUAACAAGAACAAAUGAUUUCAAGAAAAUGAAGAUCAAAGAAUUCAAGAAAGCUUGAGAAGAGAGAAAGUCGAUAAGCAGCGGAAAAUAAAAUGACUAACUGUAUUGAAUGAAUAUCAAACGUUUUACAACUGCUUUUAUAUUACCCCACUUCUAACUAAUUUGUCUAUGCUGUAAUCUUCUAUAUUUCUCCUUAUUACAUUCUAACCACUCAGUAACUGACACCUGUAUUUCAGUUAUUAAGGAGCACCAAUUUUGUACUUUUUUAUUGUCAAUGCAAAGUAUGUAGACAAAUUUUUAGGGUACAUGUUUUCACAGAAAUUCCUUCUGCAAGCAUCCUACAAAAGCCCUACUGCAUUAGCGCAAUCAUUUUAAGGCAAAUAAAUAUUAUAGUUAAUCCAUAAAGAAGAAGUAAUUACAAAGAUUCUUAACAAAUUAGCCAUCAAGAAAAGGUCAUGCAUUAAACAACAGACCGAAACUCGAAAGUAUACACGAUAUAGCAAAUGAAGAUCAAAAUUACCUAUGACUCCUUCAGAGAAAUUACCUAUGAGCUCAAAAUAACUAAGCAACCUCACUAAAUUCUUACAGCGAGCACAGCCAAUCGCUUCCACUUCGACCUUAAACUCCUGCUCAUGCAAAUUCCCUGCUACCAAGCUCAUGCAGCAAUUAGAACAAAAAUAGUAUAUUAUCCCAAAAUCCGUGAAAAAUCUUACAAAUUUAACUAACUCCCCAAGCUAAGGGUCUCAAAUUUCCUAACUGGGUUCUUAUAAAAUUUAGAUCAUCACACCCGAAUGCAAACAGAACAAUUAAAUAAAGAAUCAAAGGCAUACGCAAUCUAAUUAGACAAAUUUGUAGAUGUUUAGUACAAUAUCUAUGCAUGUGAAGUUAAGAAAGACAUGAAGCAACUGGAGUCAGGACAAAAUUAAUUUUAAUUUAAGAAUUAGAACAAUGAACCUUGAAUUAGUACACUUGGUGAUAUGGAUUCCAUGUUCCAUGAAGACCACUUUGAACAUAUGUGAGAUUUUGGCAUGGAUUCCGUGUUCGUUCCCAUUCUCACUUUUGGCUUGGCUUCUAUUGCCUCUGUUCAACUUAUAACAUUAUAUGUAUCAAUACAACAUGUAUAUAAACAGAUGGGUAACAUAUUGCAUUGUGUGUAUAUAAUGUAAUCUUUUCUUAUACCAACAAAUAGUUGGCAAAGGACACGUUCAACCUGCAGAUAUAAGUUCUGUUCAAGUUUAUACCAAAUUCAUAUAACAGUAGAGAAUGCUUUGAAUCAUUUUUAUUCUUCUCAAUGAGAGGUAUUUAUACAAGGUGUACAACCCUAAUGUAAUAGGAAGAAAGCUAAUUACACGAGAUUACAGGAGAUUACACGAAAUUGAUAUCAAUUAGGAAUCUACCUAAAAUACAAAUUCAACACUCCUCCUUAAGUUGGUGCAUAUAUGUUACUCAUGCCCAACUUGUGUAAGAAACUUGAAACAGCUUUCGUGAGGAUAUCUGCCAACUGAUUUUCUAUUCUUAUUGCGAUAGCUCAAUUAUUUUUCCUUCUAAUUUUUCUUUGAUGAAGAACCGAUCAACUUCAACAUGUUUUGUUCUAUCAUGUUGUACCGGAUUAUGUGCAAUGUCACGGGCAGCUUUAUUAUCACCAAAUAAUUUCAUAGGCUGAUCAUGUAGUAUACCCAAAUCGCAAAGCAGGAGCCUAAGCCACAAAAUUUCACAAAUCCCCAAAGCCAUACCUCUAUAUUCAUCUUCUGCAUUGGAAUGGGCAACCACAUUUUUUUUCUUACUUCUCCAUGUAACCAAGUUACCCCCAACAAAUGUAAAGCAACCUGAUGUUGAACGCCUAUCGUCAAUUGAACAUGCCCAAUCUGCAUCAGUAUAACCUUCAACUUUAAGAUGGUCAUUCCUUUUAAACAAAAUUCCUCUGUCGGGACUUCCUUUCAAAUAUCUCAAAAUUCGCAUCACUGCAUUCAUAUGUUGUUGUUCUCCGAGAUCAUGCAUGUAUUGACUCACUACACUUAAGGCAUAAGCAAGGUCCGGUCUUGUGUAUGUCAAGUACAUUAAACGACCUACUAACCUUUGGUAUCUCCCUUUGUCAACUGGUACUUGAUUAGGAUCAACACUAAGCUUCAAUUCUUCCUCUAAUGGUGUAGCUACUGGUUGACAAGCUAACAUGCGGGUUUCGUGCAACAAAUCAAUAAUAUACUUCCUCUGUGAUAAGAAAAUUCCUGAACUGCUUCUUGAUACGUCAAUCCCCAAAAAAUAUUUCAAAGAUCCAAGGUCCUUCAUCUCAAAUUCUGUAGACAAAUAUCUUUGUAACGCCACACAUUCUUAUGGGUCAUUACCUGUUACCACCAUAUCAUCUACAUACACAAUAAGUGUAGUAAGUUUCCCAUUUCGUCUUUUCAGGUACAGAGUAUGAUCGAAGUUACUUUGUUUGUAGCCAAAUGCUCUCACAGAUUUGUGAAUCUUCCAAACCAUGCCCAAAUGGACUGCUUUAAACCAUAUAAGGAUUUCUUCAACCUGCACACUUUUCUUUUGUAUUUAUCCGAAGCAUUACAUCCCGGUGGAAGAUCCAUAUAAAUCUCUUCUGUCAAGUCUCCAUGUAAGAAGGCAUUCUUCACAUCGAACUGUUGUAAGGGGCAAUUAAGAUUUGUAGCCAAGGACAACAAAACACGAACUGUGUUGAUCUUGGCUACAGGUGCAAAUGUAUCUGUGUAGUCGAUUCCAUAUUUUUGAGUGUAUCCUUUUGCUACUAGUCUUGCCUUGAAACGAUCCAUUGUCCCAUCUGCUUUGUAUUUCACAGUAUAGACCCAUUUACAUCCCACAGGUUUCUUGCCAACUGGCAUAUCUGUGAUAUCCCAGGUAGCAUUCUUCUUCAAAGACUUCAACUUUUCAUUCAUUGAUGCUUACCAACGUGGAUCAGCUAAAGCCUCAUGCACACUAUUAGGAAUAGAUAUAGUAGAUAAUUGAUGCACAAACGACUUAUUUGAUUCUGACAGGUCAAUGGUAGACACAUGAUUACUUAAUAGGUAUAACAUAUUAGACUCAGGGUUGGGCUUACUCACCGGAUACAUUUAGGGUCGGCUUUAUAAGUAAGUUUAGAAUACCUCAGUUGGCGCGAUCAAGGAAAUGACGUGGUGGUGGUGCAUCCGAGAUCGAAGACAAUUGAUUAUGGUUAUUAGGACUCAAGAUCGACUGUGAGGUAACUGGCGACAUAAGGCUGUCAUGUGGUGAAGAAACUGGCAAUGACCUAUCAGGUAGUGAGUUAUCUGGCGAUGUCAACUCGUCCCUUUCAAGGUUUUCAACAUUGUUUCCAUGUGAAUGAUCACCACUUGUCUCCAAGACAUUACCACUUAAUUCCAAUUCAUUCACAUCAUUGUUUCCGUGUGAAUGGUCACCACUUAUUUCCAAGACAUCACCACUUAAAUCCAAAUCAUUCACUUUAUCUCUAUCUGGAAUAGUAUAAUUAAGAGUUUGAACUUCUUUCUGUUUCUCCCCCUAAAGUGAAGACUUGAGAUUGGCAAAGUACAUAUCAUUCUCAUGAAACGCAACAUCCAUAAUGACAAACAACUUAUUCGUCGGAUGGUGAUAACAACGGUAUCCUUUCUGCCUUGAUGCAUACCCUACAAACACAUUGUAAGGCCCGAGGUUCAAGUUUACUUCGCUGUUGUUUAUGAAGAUGAAAGAAGGCCACACAACCAAACAUAUAAGGUGGAAGAUUAGAGACUGCAGGAGCAUCAACAUGUGAAGAAAGUGUCUGAAGGGGUGUCUGAAAAUCAACCGAUCGGGAUGGAACACGAUUAAUGAGAUAUGCAGCUGAGGUGAGAGCUUAUGCCCAAUAGGAUAACGGGAGACGCGCCUCGAGUAAGAAGCACAAACAACCUCCAGAAGCUGACGGUUCUUGCGUUCGGCAACCCCAUUUUGUUAUGGAGUAUAUGGACAUGUAGUUUGAUGAACAAUCCCAAGAUGAUCAAGAAAGGCACGAAGUUUAGAGUUAACAUAUUCUCCACCAUUAUCACUCCUAAGAACCUAUAUUUGUGACUUAUAUUGUACUUGUACCAUUUUGUAAAACUGCUGAAAUAAAAAAGUAACUUCAUUUUUGGAUUUCAUUAAACAAACCCAAGUCAUACGUGUGCAGUCAUCACUAAAAGUAACGAACCAAUGAGCACCACCAAAUGUAGCAAUUUUAGAUGGACCCCAAACAUCAGAAUGAAUUAUCAUAAAUGGAAUAGAACUUUUAUUCAAACUGGAUGGAAACGACGCACAAUGACUUUUAGCUAGUUCACAAACAUCACAUUUAAAACUAGAAACAUCAUGCUUAACAAAUAGGCUAGGAAACAACCUCCGUAAAUAGCCGAAAGAAGCAUGUCCAAGUCGACGAUGCCACAACCAAAUCUCUGAAGCUUUAUUCCUCUCCUCCUGAGAUCCUUCCACGACAAAAGCUUGAGUCAACAUUUGGGUACUGUUCGAUGUCAACUCCAAGUAGUAGAGCUUCCCCUUUCUAAUACCAUAACCAAUCGUCUUGCGAGUCCGAAUGUCCUUAAAAACACAAAAGGAAGGCCAAAAAAUCACAAGUCAAUGUAGGGCGACAGUUAUUUGAGCAACAGAUAAUAAAUUAUAAUCAAGAGAGGGGACAAUAAGUACAGAGUCAAGAUUAAGGGUAUCAAAGAGGGAGACAUCGCCUUCCCCAAUAAUGGGGGCAACGUUACCAUUGGCAACACUAACAAUAGUCUUAAUGGAUGGUUUUAGGGUUUGUACCUGUCUAGAAUCACAAGUCAUAUGUUCAGUAGCACCAGAAUCAAUUAUCCAUGUCCUAUUCACAACAGAUGCAGAAACUUUUAAAGCCUUACCAUUGUUACCUGUAUGAUCAGUAUCUACUUUAACUUCAGCAACCAAUGCCUAUGACUUGUUACAGCGGGGGUCACGAGUCUUGUCCUAACUAUCAAGGUAGCCAAUAAGUUCGAAACAACGAUCUUUUGAAUGCCCUUUCAAACUACAGUGAGAGCACUUGUUGGACGGACGAUAGAACGAACCAACAGUGGGAAUAUCUUCCUUUGGUUUGAUCUCAUCGCAGGCCAUUAAAUUGUAGUGUAAGAAGGAUGAAUGGAGUGGCUUCAAGUGAAAGGUGGGACAUUCCACUUUGCAAAUGAAAGGACUUUCCAGAAACUUGAGAGAGUCUAGAAUAUAAACCGUGGGUCUCAAAAAACUCAAAGCUCAAAAAAACAAUUGUUUCCUUGUUUCUUUUUGUUUCCUAUCUUUUUCUAUUUCCUUUUUCCUUUUUUUUUUUCAAUGCUUCCUUUUAUUCCCUUUCUUCACCUUUUUUUUUUUCUUCCUUUCUUUCUCUUUGGGGCUUUCGAAACAAGCGCAGGUGCAGAUAGGAUGGGAUGUAGCAGCGGGUUCAACUUCAAUUGCAGAAUGCAGCGGUAGGUACGACUUUAGAUCAAGAUGGUGACGUGAUUCAAAUUGAUUUCAGUCAGAUUGGUUUAUGCAUCAAUGAUUUCAGGCGAGGUGUUCCCGUCGAUUCAACAGUAGAAGUAGCUGAUCGACAACUGGGUUGGUGUUGGUAUUGCAGCAGUGGUGAUUCGAUGUCGGUUUGUGAGCUACAGGGCACGCAAGCUUCAAUCUGGGCGUGAUGCAGCAGUGGAUUGUGAUGGAUACGGGAUCAGCGUGGUGGACUCGGGUCAACAACAACGACGUCGCUCACUGGUCGGACGGCGCAGCACAACUGGUGCGCGGUUUCUUGUUUUUUUUUCUUUCUUUUCCUUUACCUAGGCUUUGGUACCAAGUAGAAAAUGCUUUGAAUCGUUUUUAUUCUUCUCAAUGAGAGGUAUUUAUACAAGGUGUACAACCCUGAUGUAAUAGGAAGAAAACUAUUUACACGAGAUUACAGGAGAUUACACGGAAUUGAUAUCAAUUAGGAAUCCUAUCUAAAAUACAAAGUCAACAAUAACAUUUCCAAGUAAAUUCAUACUUAAUUCGUUUAAAAAUAAACAAAAAUUUAAGCAAACAGGGCUAAAACACUGCAAUUGCUCAAAGUUGAAAAAGUGGGGAAAAGGCAGUCACCUCAGCUUAACAUACAAAUGUUUAAUAACUAAUCACCCUAAUGAAACCCACAUAGGUUCAGGUUAAGUUAAACAAUCUUACUAAUCCACACAGAGCGUUAACCCUUAUCAACCAAAACUAAUUCGACAUGAUUCCAUUCCAUCGUCCCACAACGUCAAGUUUUUAGCUUACUAUGAUGAAAUUUACAAAACGAUAAUGACCUUGAUUUCCUAAAUUAAAAUGCAUCUUCAAUUCACUGAAAAUUAUAACAUAGCUCACUCUCUAGAGUAUAAAAUUACAGAAACUAAUUCAAAAAUAAAGAAAAUCUCUUGCUUAAUGAUAAGGAAUGAACCAAUACUACAAGGGGUGUGCUAUCCACACACCUCAUUUUACUUCUCACACACCCUUUGAUAAUUUCUAUCCGUUGAUCUUCUUCAAUUCAUCUGAUCUGACGGUCGAAAAUUAAAAAGGUAUGUGAGAAGUAAAAUGGGGUGUGUAGAUAUCACACCCCAUACUACAAUUCCCAAGCCUCACUGCAUUACUCUUCCUAUCAUUUUGUUAGAACUUUUUUGUAAGAAAAAUUACGUAGUACUUAUCUAACAAUUAUUUUCUAUUUCUACAUAAACACAAACAAAUUAAUCACCCAAUUACAUUUCAUUUCUUUGCAACUGCUACAGCAAUAUAUAAAGUCUUCAUUCAAUUAGAUUUCAAAAUAAAUAACUCUAUUUACAGCAACUACUCUAGUUGAAUCAAAACAACCCAAAAAGCCUUAUACUUGACCAUAUUUCACCAAAAAUCCCUCCCCCCCCCCCCGGCGAAAACAAAUAGAAUCCAGAAACCAUUUUCCAUUAAAACAACCAAAAACUGUAAAUUCACAUAAAUUGAAUGAGAGUCAAAUGGUAAAGAAGAACCUUCCAAGAACAGAAGCGGGAGUGUUGAAACCACAACUUCCCUCUCUCCCUCUAUCUGCCUCACCUAUCAAACCAAACCAAUAAUCAAUUUUGGAGUUAUCAAAUUUAAUCAGCACAGAAAAUUAUUAUCAAACCCAAACUAUGAUUUCAAUAAAAUCAAACAACAAAAAACCAAAUUCAAGUCGAAUAUAAUAAAAAAACCAAACAAAACUCUAUAUCAAAAGAAUUUUGAAACUGCUCACCUUAAAUACAGAGUGCUUUGUACAAUGCAAAGAAAAGUCCCAAAUCUGAAAAACCACGACCUCCUAAAGCUGAAUACGAACCCACAAACAAAAUCCUCAAAAUCAAAACCAAAAAAUUUAAACAAAAAACCCAUUUAUAAAUCCAAAUUUACACUCCCAAGCACUUAACAACAAACUAAAGAAAAACAAGUGCAAAACGCACCAGAACCACCAUCGAAGCAAAUAAAAAAAAAACUAACACUCUUUCUGGAAAAAAAAAAAACCAAAAUAUAAAACUGUUUUUGGAAAAGCAUAACAUUGUUUCUGGAAAAAUCAAAACAUAACGCUAUUUUUGAAAACAAAAAAAAAUAACAUUGUUUCUGGAAAAAAAAAUCAGAUACAAUGUUUGUGCAAAGACUAACACUGUUUCUGGAAUACUAAAAAUAUUUAUGGAAAAAAAAUCAGAACCACUAUUGGAACAAACCGGCAAAAAACUAACAGUUUCUGGAAAAAAAAAAAAAAAAAAAAAAAAAAAAAAAAAAAAAAAAACCAACACUGUCUCUCGAAAAAAAAACCAAAAUAUAAAACUAUUUCUAGAAAAACAAAAAAAUAACACUGUUUCUGGUAAAAACUAACAUUGUCUUUGAAAAAAAAAACCAAACUAUAAAACUGCUUCUGGAAAAACAAAAAAAUGACACUGCUUCUGGAAAAAACUAACAAUCUCUAGAAAAAAACAAACCAAAACAUAAAACUGUUUCUAGAAAAACCAAAACAUAAUAUUGUUUCUGGAAAAAUAAUCUGAUACAGAGUUUGUUUUGUUUGUGUACAAACAAACACUGUAUCUGGAAAAAAAACCAAAAUAUAAUAUUGUUUCUGGAAAACAAAAAAAUAACACUGUUUCUAGAAAAAAAAAUGUUGGCAAAACUGUAUCUAGAAAAAAAAAAUACAAAAAAAAACUGAACAAAAAGCUAACAUAUCUCAAAUUUAUUUUUUGGAGAAACAAACGAUGAACUCCACUGAAGAAGAAAAAUUGAAAAACAAUAUCUUGAAUACAUUAUGAAAAAUUGAAAGGUUAAUAAUCAGAUGAAUGAGGAGGGAAGGGCAGAAAUUCACCUUUGGCUUUUUUGCUGAUGUCGGUGAAAGUGCAAAUCCCUUGCUCGUCUUUACAGAGAGAAAGAGAGAAAUUUUGGGAGGGAAGGAGAGAGAGAGUGACAAAAUCAUACUGUUUUGCUCGUAAGAUCGUUUUCGAUUUUCACAGAGAUUGAGAGACUGCUCAAAAUUAGGUUUGGGGUCGAAGCUGUGGUUUUUACGUAGUGAUAGAAAUGGAGUUGCUAUGCGAGAUUAGAAAGAAAAAUGGAAGGUUUUGAAUGUCAAGAAAAUGGGGGAGAGAAUAUGAGAGAGAUCCAUAAUGAAGAGAGACUUACGGACAAAAGCUUGCCGUUAGGGAUAAAAUCAUAAACUCAAUAUUUGGGCUAUUUUAAUUAGUCUGAUUUAGUAUUGGGCUUUAUCCUAACUAUUAAAUAAAGUUAUUACAUGGUUUUUUGUUAAAACUCAAAGUUUUCAAGUCAUUUUCAUUAGUUUUCCUUAAAAAAAAAUUCAACACAAAAAGGAAAGAUCAGUACUUAUGAUUCGAGUUCACAUUGCUCAAGGUCACCGACGCUGUUAAGGUUAUUCAUCAUUGCUCGAUCACUUUUGUUUAUUUUAUUUUUUUUCGUUUCGUUUUGUUUCAGCUUUUAUUUAACAGCGUAGGCACACAAAAUUCAUUCACCUCUCUCUCUCUGUGAGCUUUCGAAUUCUCUAGCUUUUGGUUUCUCUAGCCUUUCUUCUCUGCCUUAUCUAGUUUGUCUUUGUGUACAUGCAUAGAUUAUCUAUCUAGCUAGUUAGCACUUUCUGGUAAUUUGGGAAUAUAUAACUUUUUGACCCAAAUGACUGAAUCUGUGUGUGUCCGUCUCUCUCUUUCUGGGGAACAGAGAAGUUAUCAAGUAAAAAGUUGAAAUUGUUAACCUAGAGCACAGAGGGCUUCCUACGAACAAUUGUUAAGAUUUGUGUUUGAUCUACAUACAUGUCAAGAAUAAAAUUAAAAAGUUUAUCAUAAAAAUACAUAAGCAACCAAGAAUUGCAAAAAUAAUCUAUCAAUAGAGGAGCAAAACAAUAACUAAAGCAGCCUUCUAACACCCUUAUCACACAAAUACAGAAGCAACAAAGUAUGGAGAAACAAUCUAGCAACAGAGAGAUAUUCAAAGGAUGUGAAGCAGAAAAGGAACCUCAAUUUGAUUUGUUGAGAAGGAAACAGCAGCAAAGCAUGAAGAAACGCAUAAAUGAGCACAGUACAACCUCCAAAGUUAUAAAGACACAAACCUGACUCUAACCGUGUACGAAACAGUGCACUCAACAGACUAAUCUUCCUAACACCCAACUAAACAGCCUAUAAACAUCCAUUACAAUUUUAUUGAAACAACAAAAUAUCAAUCACAGUUUUAACAAAGCAAAUAGCAAACCAAACAAAAAACAAUGAUUUCCAAACAAUGUUUUACCUGUUGAAUCAGAGGACAAAACUGAAAACCCACUCUCUCCCAUACCUCCCUCAGCCAUCCUCUCCUCACCAACCCCGUUGGGUAACCCGUUAGCCCCAAAAAAUCCUUUCUGCCCUCUCUCAUUCUCCCUGUCCAUCCUUCUCUCAAAAAGUGGACAAAACCGCUAAAUAUCUCUCCCACUCAGUCGAAACCAUGCUUUCUGCCCUCUAAAUAUCUCUCCCAUUUUAAGUUUGAAGGGGACUCUUUACCUUCUUGGGGGAAUAUCAGGAUACCCACGCCCCUGUGAAGAAACACACCCAUAAAAAUAAUAAAAGUUGUUGCAAGGAUCCAAGAGAGUUAAUAUGGACAAAGCAAAAGGUGUAUGCUUACAGUGCUAACGAUGCAAUGGUUUUUGUUGCAAACCUGGUCAUUUGCCAAUCGUUGAAAAACUGUACAAAAUAUAUAAACAAAUGAUGGUUUGUUGAUAGAAGCACGCAUCAAAAUCAAGCUCUAUCAUGCUAAAGCGUCAGAGCUACAAAAAAAAAAUAGUAUACCUGAUUCUUUCUCCACAAGAAGUAUGUACCCAGCUACACUGACAAUAUCUGCAUGUUAGAAUUAAAGGUUUGAGUUUUCUUUCUUUGGACACUUAGGGUUGGUCUAUAAGGAUUAGCAAUGCGUUUAUAACAUUUACAUUAUCAAAAUUGAAUAACAUUGUUUCUAAACACGGAAAUUUAAUUAUUCUCUCUUAAUCAUCUGGAUACCUUUGACCUCUUCAACAUGAAUAGGGACAGGGAAGGCCUGUGUGUGAACCAGAUGCAAAGUUUUAAGUUCAGACACAGUAAGGUGACAAUGAAGAAGAUAUCAUCAAAUCGUCUAAAAAAAAUCAAAUUAGAUCCAUUCUUACUGUGUUUGGCCUAUUUAUGCAAUCAAAUACAUUUCCAGCUUCUGAGAACCUUAACCAGCCCAUUACCAACCUAUAAAGCAAGUCAAUUAACAUUCUGGUUUGACAAUAUGUGAAUUGUUAUCAUUGUUAUCAACGCAAUGAAAAUCUAAUGCUACCACAGGGAGGAAGUUGAUCAACUCAAGAUUAACAAAGUAUUCAAUAAAACCAGGAAUGCACGCAUUUAAAUGUGAAUGGCAUUAGUCAUUUUCAUACAAAAUCAAACAGGAAAGUAUACCAUUAUUUUGAGAAGAUCACCUGCCUUGCCGGCAAGUAGUCGAUCAUCCUGAUCUUGAUCUUCUCCCUCGUCAUUUUCUCCAAUUCUUCCUACCCCCUUCAGAAACAAUAAUUCAAGUAAAAUAAAAUAAACCAACCACCUCGAAUUUCCACAUAUAUAAAUGUCCACGAACUCAAAAACUACCUUGUAUUCUCUAGGUUUCUGAUAAUUUUAAGAAGGGUAAAUCUCAGUUUACUACCUCAAGUUUCGUGGUUUUCAACAUUUAGUACAUGAAGUUUUUUUCGUCUCAGAGUCAUACCUAAAGUUAACUUUGGGACAGUCUCGUACAUCCGUUAGUCUGGCUGUUAAGUCUUCCGUUAACUGAUGACGUGGCACCCAUGUGGACAAUGACUGAGCACCAAAUGUCAUUAAGGGUCCACGUGGAAAUUAAAAUUUCAAAAAAAAUUUGGGUUAAAUCUCAAUCCCGCCCCUCACCCACCCCACCUUCCCCUUCCCUGAUACCCACCCGCUAACAUCCAAUUUCAUAUUUCCCACUCGUAGCUUCAUGUGGUAAUGGAGUCUGCAGCAGCUUGGGUGGACGCCCAAGAGUAGAAGGUCUGCAACGACGACAACUUCAUCUUCAAGCGGAGGAAGCAGCGCAGAGUCGACCCAAAUGUCAACUCGUUGGUCCCGACUCCACCGUCCUCGUUCAUCGUGGAUCUACAAGAGGAUAUCUUUCAUCUUCCUUGUCUCUUCUUUUUCUGUUCUUUUUUUUUCUCGUACCAUGUGCACCUACUUCCUCUAAAACAACACAAUAAGAGUGAGAUCGACUCCGGUGACACAGAGAACUACGAUUAGGCGUACACAUUGGUAUUAACACCUACUGAAGAGCUCAAAUCCACGAUCUGAACUUGCUUCUGCACCAUUUGUGGGCCGGCCGGGAACCUCUCGGUCACAAUCGCAGCCAAACAACCCUUAUUUCAAAAUUUCAAUUUUUAUUUAAAAAUACCAGAAGGUUGAUGUGGUGUUGUUGUGAUAGGAUUUAGUUGUUAUCCCCAGUACUUCUGGAGAGAGCGGAGGAGGAAGUUUCUUCUCAAACUCAGAGCUAAGUACCAGGCGGAGAUCGAGUAGUGGGAACUUUUGUUGAGCACGAAAAUGGGAGGAUACGCGCAACGGAAGAAAGGGCGCAGCAGCUUCAGCGGAACCAUAGAAGGAGCAGCAGCAUAGAAUGGAAGACCGAAAAUGGGAGGAUACGACGUUGUUGGAUGCGUCUGGGUGUUAGAGAUUCAGGGGACAAAGUCCUGUUGUGGGUCGUUGGUGGAUGAGCUUCUGUUGCAGGUGAAUUGGGGGUUUCUUUCUUUUUGUUUUGGGAUUGUUUGGUUUGUGGAAAUUUUUUUGAAAAUUGAAAGAUUUUGGGGAUUAGGGUUUUUGCAAAGGUCGGAAAUUUGAGAAACUCUGAUCGAGAAAUUGUGCUAGCUUUCAUCCAGAUCGAGAAACUCUGUCGUCUUCUCCAGAGAUUCAACCCUUUUGUUCUAUUUUUUGAAUUUUUUUUCAAUUUUUAAUUUUCACGUGGACCCCUUAAUUACACGUGGCGUCUAGUCAUUAUCCACAUGGGCACCAUGUCAUCAAUUAAAGAGAGACUUAAUAGCCAGACUAACAGAUGUAUGAGACUAUCCCAAAAUUAAUACUUUAGGUAUGACUCUGGGACGAAAAGAACUUCAUAUACCAAAUGUUGAAAACCACGAAACUUGAGGGUAAUAAACUGAGACUUAUGCUUUUAAGAAUUAUUGACCACAAACCCUAGCAUUUCAAAUCUAAAUAAGUAAAACAAAACCUAGAUCAACCCACCAACCACAAUCAACUAUCCAAUAUUUUGUAUUUACCAUAAGUAGAAGAAGAAAAAAAGGAAAAUGGGGUGGUUUCAGGUCUGAAGUUUUGUUCCGACCAAGAAAUUUGUAGAGUAGUGAAAGCUAGCAAUUUUGGAAAGAGAGAGAUAGAAAGUUGGGCGCUGCUGGUUGUUCGGAGAGCAAGGCAAGGAGAGGGUUUGAGAGAAACAAAAGGGUUUCUGAAACAGAAACACUGGAAAUCAGCCUACCCCAUACUUCUCCCUUACUAUUUCUCCCUAAACCCAUACCUCCCCGAUAAAAAAUCCUCUCCUCUCUCCCCUAAAUCCCAGCGAACCUCUCCCUCCAACCCGUUAACCCUUCUAUCCCCAUUCCCUCUCUCUCCUCGACUCAAAGUCCAAAUCUAGCCCAAACACUAAAACAUCGUUCUUAAGCCCAGUGGCAAUCUUGUAAAUAAAGCAAAAUUUGGGCUAAAAUCAACCCGGUGGAAAUUUUGUAAAUAAAUUGAAAUUCACUUAAAAUUGCACAGUGCCACCUCCCCUGACUUUUGACUAAAGUAAUGAUGAUGGUUGGUAAUGGGUUGUCUUCCAUAAACCCAUUCAUUUACGUGUCAAAGACUUAUACUGGUACAAAUUUCGGGUCAUGCCAUGAAUUAUCACCCUACUCACCAUAUACUAAAACCAAAUUGAAUGAUUUGGUCAAUUUUCUAUCUCCUCCCAAUUAAUCCAUUUUAUGCAAUGCAACUUCUUGAAAAGUAUUGUAGAUAUAACUAAAAACUAACUCAUUUUAGGCCUUUUACUAAAUCGUAAAACCUCGUUGCCCCCAGAAGAUGCACUAUCAUUUGACAAAGUCUGCCAAGCCUUAGAAAUUAGGUUCAACAAGUUUGCGUUACAAUAUUACCCAUAAAUUGCACAAGCUAGCAAUUAUUCAUGCUAAAAACGAAGGGAAAAAAAAAAAAUUUGUGGAUACAAAUUUCUGCAUUCUUCUUCUUAGAUGAAAAUGCACUUGCAAAACAAUUAACACCUAAGAUCAAGGCUAAGAGCCUCACGCGCCCACGAUGAUUGGGAGGCUUUGGCCAAAGAAUCUCUGCUCCCAAAGUUAGAAUUUGAGGGAAAAGUGUUUAGAGAAAUUUAGAGAAUUUUAGAAAAGAAUUGGACUUAGGUUUUGGAGAAAAUGAGUGGCUAUGUAUAGGGGUGUGGCCGCUCCUAUUAAAAUUGCACAGUGCCACCUCCCCCGACUUUUGACUAAAGUAAUGAUGAUGGUUGGUAAUGGGUUGUCUUCCAUAAACCCAUUCAUUUACGUGUCAAAGACUUAUACUGGUACAAAUUUCGGGUCAUGCCAUGAAUUAUCACCCUACUCACCAUAUACUAAAACCAAAUUGAAUGAUUUGGUCAAUUUUCUAUCUCCUCCCAAUUAAUCCAUUUUAUGCGAUGCAACUUCUUGAAAAGUAUUGUAGAUAUAACUAAAAACUAACUCAUUUUAGGCCUUUUACUAAAUCGUAAAACCUCGUUGCCCCAAGAAGAUGCACUAUCAUUUGACAAAGUCUGCCAAGCCUUAGAAAUUAGGUUCAACAAGUUUGCGUUACAAUAUUACCCAUAAAUUGCACAAGCUAGCAAUUAUUCAUGCUAAAAACGAAGGGAAAAAAAAAAGAAAUUUGUGGAUACAAAUUUCCGCAUUCUUCUUCUUAGACGAAAAUGCACUUGCAAAACAAUUAACACCUAAGAUCAAGGCUAAGAGCCUCACGCGCCCACGAUGAUUGGGAGGCUUUGGCCAAAGAAUCUCUGCUCCCAAAGUUAGAAUUUGAGGGAAAAGUGUUUAGAGAAAUUUAGAGAAUUUUAGAAGAGAAUUGGACUUAGGUUUUGGAGAAAAUGAGUGGCUAUGUAUAGGGGUGUGGCCGCUCCUAUUAGGAGAAUUGGGACCAGCCACAUUUGGUUGAUUUAUGGGGAUUGAUUGCAACGUAUUAUGUAAAAUAAUAUCUUGCAAUUAAUUUGGAAAUUAAUCAAUUAAUUUUGGCAAUUAAUCCCAAUUUGAAAUGAAUAAUUGGGAGUUACCUUGUGGGUGAAGAUUUAAUGAGGAAUGAUGAUAGAGUUUAAAAGAAUACCAUUUUGAUCACCUUUGACCUCGAUUGAGUCGUUAUUGUCUAUUGUAUGUGCAUAGGAGUCCCGGUGUGCCUGAAGGGUAAUUUUUUUCUUUUUUACCCAAAAGUCCAUGUGUCGCCUCCAUAAUUUUCUUGAUUAGUUAUGGCUCCAUAAAUGCCCUCACACCUGCUAGGCAGCUCACAGGAAAAGGCAGCAGGUGUAGAGAUCUCCAACUUUGAUGCAAAUUCCCACUUGGACUUGUAAUUAGAUUCUUCUAGGAAAGGGAAACAAAUCGCCUCCAAAGCCUAUUUAAGUAUACCUUAAGUAUAGGGUUAAAUCAACUUCGGAGGGUAAUUAUUUAUCCCUACAAGAAAAAGAGAGGAUACUUGUUCCUUUUCCCCUAGCACUCUUCUUUGCUUGCUCGUGCAAAGAAUCGUCUUCUGUUGAUUUCUUUGUCUUCUCCGCGCUACACCAAUGUAAGAAAAACUUAAUUUUCCUUGUCUUCUUCUUGGGUGGUGCUGCCAUGAGGUAGCCGUCGGGAUGGUGCAGUACGUCAGUUGGCAGGGGCCAAAAGUUGGCUUGGCAUGGGCUGAUAAGGUGGUGUGGCAAAAGCCACUGCUUGUGCUGCUCGACUUGACUAAAGCUAAGGGCUGGCUGGGCAUGGGCUGAGGAAGUGGCAUGGCAUGGGCCACGGUUUGGACUGCCACGUCUAGGCUAUUUGCUAAAUAUGAUGAAACUACUUGAGUUUGAUUUCUCCGUUGGCAUAGAUGAAGCAACCAAGGAUGGAACUGCCAAGAUCGGAGCUACUAAAGAUGAAGUGUCGAAUAAGAGAAUUGUUGAGUGCAAAAUGGCUGCUACCCCUUAACCAUUUGCUGCUUAACUGAUCUUUAAGUAUUCGAUCUUUUGAGCUGUGUGGCCUUCUCGUACUCGAGAGCCUACCCAGAUGGGUGUCAAGGAAUUGGUUUAUCCUCUCACGCUAGAGAGCUUACGCAAAUGGGUAUCAGGGAAUUAGUUUAGCGUCCUGCACUGGAGAGCAAUUAGUUUAACCUUUCGCACUAACAAGUAGAACCAUGUGAAUGUCGGGGAAUUAGUUUACCAUCUAGCACUGAAAAGUAAUAGUUUAUCAUCUCGCACUUGAAAGCAAACCCAGAUGGGUGUCAGGGAAUUAGUUUACCCUCUCGCAUUAAAGAGAAAUUAGUUUAUCCUCUCGCACUGAAGAGCAAAUCCAUAUAGGUGUCAGGGAAUUGGUUUACCUUCUCGCACUGGUGACAAUUAGUUUAUCUUCUCGCACUAGAGAGCAGACCCAUAUAGGUGUCGAGGAAUUGGUUUACCCUCUCGCACUAGAGAUCAAUUAGUUUACCCUCUCGCACUGGAAAGCUUGGAAGUCAUUAUCGUAAGUAUAGCUGAAGAAAGCUGGAUUGCUGGACAACUGAAAUAAUCAUCAGCCUACGAGGUCUUGUUUGGCGAUCUGCUUAAAACUUCGAACUAUUUGUGGAACCCGCGUAAAGGUGUAAGUGGGAAACACAUCAAGUUGCUCCCAAACUUUCUUCAAGUAUUGUGCCUUCGUUAGAUGUUUCAUCAUGUACCCUCCUAAGGCUUGGUUGGUGAUCAGCUGAGAAUCUGAAUGGAUUGUAAAGUUCUUCAAUGUUGAGUUUUUCGCUAGCAGUGGCUGCUAAUAAAGCCUUGUCUUUUGCUUCAUCGUUGGAUGCUUUGAAGUUUGAAGUGUCAUGGGCUUGGUCGACGCAGAUAGGAGCUGCAAGGUGGCAUGACUGGGAGUCGUGGUACAAGAUCGGCACAGCUGAAAGCCAUGGUGACAAAUCAAGGGCGGCCGGAAGCCGUGGAAUAGGUAGUCACGACUUUAAGCUCAAAGUUGUGAUGAAAACAAGACAUGCCCCUAGUUCUUGGUGGUUAGGCUGAUGUGUCCUUCUAGUACUCGUCUACCUUCGGCGUGCGAUUAGGCUGAGUUACUGCUUCUAUCGGAACAAGUGUAAUCAUUGUAUCCUUUAUUGUAUGUGGGAUGGUUAUGUCUACUCGAUAUUGUCAAUGAAAAGUUACAUGUUUAUGUCAUGUCUCAUCAGAGCGCUUUGUUACGUUGGAAAUCACGCAAUCGUGUUAUCAAGACCCUCUCAACUUCUUCCUGAAUUUUCCUCCAGUCAUGACUUUAAGCUGCCCUUCUCUAUGCUCGGCUCAUCUAUGAUGCGGCUGCAGUGCAUGUAGUACACUCCUAGCAGGUGAGCGAAUUACUCGCAAACUGCCAGUUGAAUUUGAGCCGGAUUGAGUGACUACUUCUCUCCAUCCGUCAUGUUCCCUACUCCGAUAUGAGGUAGAGGAUGCUCCUUGCAGGCUUAGUCGCGGAUGAACACUUCGCUUGGAAGGUUGCUCAUGUUGAUUAUUGGAGUGUGGCCCCAAUCGUGAAUGUAUGCUUGUCUGUGGGCCUAACUGAGAGUGGACGCUUAUCCACACGCUAAGACCAGAGUAUACGUUAUCUUGGGGGGCCAGUCGGGAAUGUACACUGCCAGAACACUCAAUUCGUGACUAGUCAAGUGGUUGCUUAUUAGGACACUGCUAGAGAGGUUCCUCGUCUAUCCUUGUCCUACUUCGGGACACCUAGUCAGGGGCACGUUGCAUCUUGGUACGCUGCAAAAGCUGAAUCACCAAGGUCGUCUGUUGUGCAAGGGCGCUUGUCAACUCUAUGACUUGUCGAGACAAGUGUUAUUCUUCAUUUGGGUUGGAAGAGCUUAGAUGAAAUACGUCUCCUUGACUAGUGGAAGUGUGGUAGACUCCGAGCACGCAAUUUGAGUUGGGAAAUGUCAAAUCUGAGGAGAAAUGUGGUGAAAAUGCUCCCGGUUCAAUCGUUGGCCCAGAAAUUUAGAGCCGGAAUAGUUGAACCGAUCUUGGACUAGUUUGGGACUCUACUGAAAUGGGCUAGAGCGAGUCGGAUCACUGGCAUGGGCUAGGCCACGUGUGGUGAACGUGGGCGCUGAGCCUGCCCUCUCCUUGGUAUGGCUUGGGUCAGCAGCUGUGCGUCGAGCCUGGCCUUGGCGUUGCUCCGUGGCAUGGGUAUGGGGGUGCCAGGCUUCUGUUGCUGUUAUCUAGGCCUAGGCUCCCUCCUGGGCCUGGACUGCUGAAGUGGCAGCGAGUUAGGCUGCCUUCAAGGGUUAUGCCUUUUGGGCCGUGGCCUGCUCGAUCUAGGCUGGUUGCCUUAUGACACGAGCUUAGGCAUGUUGCUGCGAAGUGGCCUGCUUACCGUGGAUGUGGAUCUCGUCGUGGGUGGCCACGGUGGUUUCUGUCGUGGUGGCUGCUGCGAUGGUGCCUCGUGGUGGUGCCACUUCAUUUGUUGUCACGUCGAGCCUCGUGGAUUGUCCUGGUCCCAAUUCUUGAACGUUGGAAUUUCCGUUUGUCGUGAUUUCCAAAUUUCUUGUCAUUGUACUUUUCUUUUACAUUGAUUCAAAGAAUUUUCAUAAAAAAUUCUAGGAAUGAGAACGUACAAAAAAUCUACAAAUGAACAAGAAAACGAAAAACCUUAAAUGCGAGAGUAUUUUUUCGAGCAUUUGAAUCAAGGCUCUCAAUGAAAGCACCCAUUUGUGGAUGCAAAAUUCCGCCUUCUUCUUCUUGGAUGAAAAUGCACAUGCAAAACAAUUAACACAUAAGAUCAAGGCCAUAAGGCUCAUGCUCCCACGAUGAAUUGGGAUGGGGGGCUUUGGUCGAAGAAUCUCCGAUGCCAAAGUUAGAAUUUGAGGGAAAAGUGUUUAGAGAAAUUUAGAGAAUUUUAGAAGAGAAUUGGACUAAGGUUUUGGAGAAAAUGAGUGGCUAUAUAUAGGAGUGUGGCCGACCCUAUUAGGAGAAUUGGGACCGGCCAUAUUUGGUUGAUUUGUGGGAUUGAUUGCAAGAUAUUAUGUAAAAUAAUAUCUUACAAUUAAUUUGGAAAUUAAUCAAUUAAAUGGGUAAUUAAUCAAUUAAUUUUGGCAAUUAAUCCCAAUUUGAAAAGAAUAAUUGGGAGUUACCUUAUGGGUGAAGAUUUGAUAAGGAGUGAUGAGAGGGUUUAAAAGAAUACCAUUUUGAUCACCUUUGACCUCGAUUGAGCCAUUAUUGUCCGUUGUAUGUGCGUGGGAGUCCCCGUGUGCCUCAAGGGUAAUUUUAUCUUUUUAACCCAAAAGUCCACGUAUCGCCUCAGUAAUUUUCUUGAUUAUUUUUUGCCCCACAAAAUGUGAUUGAUCAUGUGCAGGAUUAAUCCAACUUCUAAUAUAUCCAUUGUUUGUUUAGGGUAUUGAGAGACAAUAAGGACAUGAUUCCAUCUUUUUAAAGCCAAAUUUCUUUAGUCCAAGAACUUCGACCUCUAGUCCUACAGCUUGGACCUAUCACUUAUGUAAACUUGCCUUGUUGCUUUUUAUUUUCCUUAAAUUUUUUGUUCAUCGCCAUGUGGCUUCUUGAUCUAAUCAUACAUUUUCAUGUAGAAAAAAACUUGUACACAGUAAUGCAUUAUUGGACAAAAACAGCAACGCGGCAUUGAACCCGUUUCAAAUACAUUAUUCUCCUUAAUGGUUGGACAAUAUUUUUUAGAGAAAACAUUGGUUGGGCUCAAAUCCAAAUAGUAGAAAGCUUCAAAUAAAUCGUUUUUGCAAAUCAACCACCGGCCUUCCUCCUAACCAGAUGGAAGGUGCACAAGCAUGAUCCUCGUAGGGUCUGGGUUCGAAGGCUAGUAUCAUGUGAAUUUGAUGUUCUUCAUCAUGCCCCCUCAGAGGAAACAUAUAUAUCAACAAUAUGAGGUAUUACAAAAUACCUCUGUUUUCUUAAUAUACAUAUUGUUUUUCACUCCUCUAUUUUAUUUUAUUUUUCACUUAAUACUAUGAUCUAGUGGUAUUUCUCUUCACUUAUAAGUAAGAUGUUUUAGGUUCGAUUCUCAUCAAAAACAAAUUUGAACCACAAUAUUGCUAGCCCAUUGGGAGGUUAAGCACACCCCUCCCCCUUAGAGUAUAUAAUAUCAUUUGUUCAAAAAAAAUAUAACGCCAACCAUACCAAAAUUCCAUCGAGAUAAAGGAAUACAAAGCUUAGUUAUAUGCAAUCUAUAUGAAUUAGAAGAGACAUCAUUUUAUAGGUAUGAUUAAAGGACUUUUGUGUUGAGGAAAUCCAUUUCUCUGUUUCCCGACCUAUGUCCGUACAAAUUACGAGUCGUGUAAAAAUUGUCGCCCUACUCCCCAUAUACUAAAAACAAUUUUAAUGAUUCGGUCAAUUUUGGCCUACUCCUAAAUAAACCAUUUUAUACUUAUAUUUUUAUUCAAUGGUAUAACUUAUUAUUGUAUUUAGUAUCAACAACUUUACAUUCUUAUUUAAUAACCAUUUUAUUUUUAAUUUUACUCCUACUAGAGAUAGAGAAGAAAUAUAUUGAAGACAAAGAUAUAUAAAUGGUAGAAGAAGAAAGCUUGGAGGGAUGUUGAGCAAAUGUAGUGGAAUGAUAUACAAAUUCAAAAAUACAAACAAAAAUCUGGAAACAAUUCUAAAUUGCUUCACUUUCAACUUUUUAUUUCAUAUAUUUUCUUACUUCGCCCUCCUUCUCAAAACGAUGGAUAGAUCCAAGUAGAAGCCACAAGAACCGAUGUAUGUUUCAGUGAGACAUACAAAAUAAGAGUAAAAAACAUGACAACAAAAAUAGUAUCUCAUUCCAAAUAAUUUAAAAAGUAGAAUAAAAGCGUAAGAGUUUUUUUUUUUUUAUUUCAUCCCAUAUACGUACACAGGAAAACUUAUUCACCAAAUAUGGCCACAAAGGUCAAAUUAAAAAUGGAAUAUAAAUAGAGAUAAAAUUGGCUGGGCCCAAAUGCCAAUGGUAAGGACUAAGUUCAUUUUUCGCAUGUGUUUGCACCGGCCUUCUUCUUAGCCUAGUGGUUAAUGGCACUGGCAAUAAUUCCUCAAGGUUAUGGAUUCGAAGGCAGGUACCGGCGAUGUGAAUGAUCAUGAACUGAUGAUUGGAUUAUUACUAUCAAGAGAAAUGUUAAGGGACUCUUUAGGACAGAAAGGAACUUAAAUCAAAUGAGGUAUUCUAAAAUACCUCUGUUUUUCUACAUUUUCAAGCUCGUGAAGCAUGAGCAGAAACCUAAUACUCUAUGUCUUAUUUCUCAUUAUUUCAUCAAGCUCAAUGCCUAAUCCCAAGUCCUAACAAGCCAAUUGACUUGACCCUUCAUUCAAACAAUCCUAUUGCCUCAUUUACAUAUAUCCACAAAUUCGAGAAAUGUUUAUGUACGUCCGGAAUACAAGUGUAUCGCGUGUUAUAAUAUAAGUAGUACACCGCCCCCAUCACCCUCCCAAAUCAUCCACGAUGGGCCGAUGACUAUCAAGUGCCCAAUCAUCCAUCACCCCCCCUGCCACAAACACCACCCCAUCUCUCUUUGAAUUCUGGUACUACCACCUCGACCCUCAUAGACGAACAGCGACGACAACCUAUAUUUCCAAAUCGAAAAAUACCCAUUUCCAAUUGGAAUAGAAAUCCAUUUGGAGCAAUUUGCCUUUGUAUUAGAUCAAUCUCCCCCAUAUUUCUCUCUUUCUCCCCCUUCCGUUUCUCACUCUUUAAGGAGAUGUCGCCAAGCAGGUGUCAAAGGUUUUGGUUUUUUAUGGGUGGUGGGAGGAGAUUCUACCAUUCUGGUGUGGGAUAGGGUAGGCAAUUAAGGAAGCAUGCUGGUUUUCUUUAAAAACAUAUUAAUAUUAUUCUUUGAAAAAAAAAAUACAUUAGAGGUUAUUUUAGGAAUAAUGAUGGGUGGAGAAAUAACAUUUUAAUUCUUUAUUAUUAUUUUUUCUGGUGGGUGAUAUUAUAAUGUAGGUAUAGAAAUACGACAAUGGGAUUGGCCUAUCAGCACUAUUUUUAUUCAAUGGUAUCUUAUUAUUGUAUUUAGCGUCAAAAUAACUUCACAUUGUCAUUUAAUAGCCAUUUUGUUUUUAGUUUUAGUAUUACUAGAAAUAGAAAAGAAAUACAUUGAAGACAGAUAUAUAAAUGGUAGAAGAAGGAAGCUUGAGAGAUGUUGAGGAAGUGUAAUGGAAUGAUAUACAAAUUCAAACUUGAAAAUUAAAAUCUAGAAACAGUUCUAAAUUGUUUUCACUUUUAACUUUUUGGUUCGUAUAUUCUCCUUCAGUUUUCCUUCUUUUCCCCCACCACUCUCGCUUCAUUCUUCUUCAUGAACCAAUGGACAAAUCCAAGUAGAGGCCAUAAAGAUUGACGUAUAUUCUAGUGAGACAUAAAAUAGUAUCUCAUUCUAAAUAAUUUUAAAAAGCAGAACAAUAGCGUAUGAGCUUUUAGUUUUUUGAUCUCGUAUACAUAUACAUAGGGAAACUUAUUCACCAAAUGUAGGUACAAAUGCCAAAUUGAAAAUGACAUAUGUGGAGAGAAAAAAUUGGCUGGGCGCAAACUCAAAUGGUAGACUAAGUUCAUUUUUUAGCACACGUUUGCGCCGGCUUUCUCCUUAGCCUAGUGGUUAAUUGCGCUAACAUGAUUCCAUAAGGUUCUAGCUUCGAAGGUAAUGGCUUUGGUGAUUAUGAUGAACCCGAGUAAUACUCAGGUGACUAAAUUUGUAGAUAAUUAUUUAUUAAGGGUGGUGCUACCUACACUAUCAUUAUCAAACAGGUCCAUAAACCAAAUGAGGUAUUCUCAAAUACCUUUGUUUUUAUUUAGUUUCCCGAAAACAAUAUGAAGACAAAGUGAAAUCCAUUGACAAGCGUAGCCCUUAUUUCCCUUAGUUUUAAAAUAUUCAUUAUUAAGGGGAAGGGAAGUGGUCUAAACUUUAUUUUAAUUUUAAGGAGGAGAAAUUUCAAACCCGGACCACUUGAGUGAAAACCUAAUACCAUAUUCCUUAUUUCUUCUUGUUUCAUCAAGUUCAACGCCUAAUCCUAAUUCCUAACAAGUCAAUUGACUUGAUCCUUCAUUGAACCAAUCAUAUACCCUCAUUCGCAUAUAUCCACAAAUUCAAGAAAUUUUUAUGUAUACCUGAAAUAUAUAAUGGUACACCGCGUGUUAUAAUAUAAAUAAACAUUAAAAUUAAUGUGUCCAAUUUUAAGAUAUAUUUUCAAAUGAUCCAAAAAUUUAAUGACCCAAUAGAUCUCUCAAUAAAUAAAUAAAAAUCAAUUCACAUGAAAAAUUGUGAUAUUAUUCCCCGAUAUUUACCCCAAAUGGAACCAUGCUUCCACAAUCAAUUCAUAGAUUGGCAUGCCUCAUUUUAAGAUAGAUUUUCAUUUUUGUCUCACAUUUUUUCUUGCAUUUUUAUCCUUGUGGUUUCAAUCUGUUUUCACUUUAGAAUUGAUUCGUGCGGCUCUAUUGUGUUUUUCGAGUGGUAACUUUUCCUCUUUGGUUUCCUAUUUUCUCAAUAUUGGGUAUCUCACCGUUUUAUAUUGUGGCUUCAUCCUUUGUUCCAGUCAUUUGGAGGUUGCUAAUGGCUAGAUGGCUCAAGGCUGAUUGGUCUUGUGUCAACGAACGGACUAGAUUUGGGGGGAUUUUUCGCUCAUCGAAGCAUGGAGCAUUUGGUGCUUUUGCAUGAAACAUAAAAUUUGUAAGUUGAGUUGCGGCAAAAAUUCUUGCUUUCAUUGAGGUCAUACGUAUAGCUUAGGUUAGAGAUUGGAAACAUUUGUAGAUUGAAACAAACCCCACGUUGGUUAUUCACUAUCUUUUUAAGGCUUCUAAUGUGGUCAUGUGAUUUCUAUUGGUGGAUUGGAAGAAUUGUCUCUGGCGACUUCGUCAAACGUGAUUUAUGUGUACCUCCAUUCUUCCUUCCUCCACCACUAUCAUGAGCCUCUCUAGUCGACAUCUCUCUCAUCUCACCCCUUUCUUUUCUCUCUUCUCCUUAAGCCGAAGUCGCCUGCUGAUUUUUCGAGAUUUGAGAAAGAUGAGAGUUAAUCUGAAAGACAGUUAAGAUUGGAUGUACUGUGUUUGUCUUCCUUUUGGUGUGUUGGUUUAUAGGUCUGCUUCAAAUUGCCCAAAUUGCCAAUUGUACCGAAACUCUUUAUAUUGUACCGAAAUCGAACUGGUACCGAAGGGUUCGGUACACCUUCAGUUCCAACAUCAUACUGACCCCCGCACGUGUGGCCGAUUUUCAAGUUUACACGUGGACAACAAAUGAGUGACGCGUGAGCACGUGUGGCCCUUAGGCUUUCACACGUAGGACAACAUGCUCUGAUAUCAUAAUGAAAUUGGGGUUCCACCAUAAAACCAAUUGGCAAUAUGGGAAGUAGCCCAAGACCAUAUAAGCACAUAGCAAACCUUUUGUAUUAAAACCUCAGACCUAACGGAUUGAGCAGGUGGCCAAGUGGGGACAGUAUUGGUGUUGUUGGAGUGGGCCCAUAGCCCAUCUACCUGAAAUUUAAAAUGGUAUCAGAGCUAGGGGACGGGCUGCCAUGUGAUUGGGUGGGUCCCCUUUGGCCCCGCACGAUGGGUGAGUCCCAACAUGGCUCCACGUAGGCCAAAGAUGCCAUAUGAUUAGGUGGAUCCCCGUUUGGCCCCAUGCGAUGGGUGACCCCCAACUUGGCUCCACGUGGUUGCCGAUGUGUGGAUCUCUACGUGUGACCCAUAAAAUGGGGUCUCAUGUGCAGGGGAGUGUUGGAACUCAUUGUCCCACAUCGGCCAGAGGGCCAAAGAGAAAGCAUUUUAAAUAGAAAUACCCCUCUCUAACUAACACCAAGGUCUUUUGUAUUGAAACCCCACACCUGACGAAUUGAGUAGGUGGCCAAGUGGGAACAGUAUCAGUGUUGUUGGAGUGGGCCCAUGGCCCGUCUACCUAAAAUUUAAGAUGGUAUCAGAGCAGGUUGUCCCACGUGUGAAAGCCUAAGAGCCACACGUGCUCACACGUCACCCAUUUGUUGUCCAUAUGUAGGCUUGAAAAUCGGCCUUACGUGUGGGGACGUGUUGAGAGUUGAAAUGUGAGAGAUAAUUUGUCCCACAUCGAUAAGUUGUCAACUUAGCUAUGGGCUUAUAUGGUUUUGGGUAACUCCCCAUAUUGCCAAUUAGUUUUAUGGUGGAACCCCAAUUUCAUCAUGGUACCAGAGCGGGUUGUCCUCGUGUGAAACCAAACGGCCACACGCGCUCCACAUCACCCAGUUGUUGUCCAUGUGUAGGCUUGAAAAUCCGCCACACAUGCGAUGAUGUGUUGAAAGUUGUCCCACAUCGAUGAAGGACAAGGUUUGUUAUGUGCUUAUAUGGUCUUGGGCUACUCCUCAUAUUGUCAAUUGGUUUUAUGGUGGAACCUCAAUUUCAUCACAUAUUGUACCGUACCAGUACCAAAAUUUUGUUUUAGGUUCAGUUUCAGUUCCACCCCUAUCCCGAACAAUACUGUGCCCACCCUUAGUUUCUGUGUUUGAUGGUCCUCACCCCUUUGGUACCUCGUACGCGAUCAUAGUCGAUGAGCUAAUCUCACCUAUUCUCCAUUUAAAAUUUAAAAUUAAAAAAAUCAACUUUUUUGUUUCAUAAACUCUCUUUCGAUUUACCUUCCCUUCCCCCACCACUAUUGCUUCGCCCUUCUUCAUGAAUCGAUGGAUAGAUAGAGACCACAAAGAUCCAUGUAUGCUUUAAUGAGACAUACAAAUGAGGUGAGAUUUUUGAGUUCAGAAUGCAUGAGUAGAAUCUCAACACCCUAUCUUAUUUCUCGUUGUAUCAACAAACUCAAUGCCUAAUCCUAAAUCCUAACAAGCCAAUUGACUUGAUCCUUCAUUGAACCAAUCCUAUAGCCUCAUUUGCGUACCACAAAUUCAAGAAAUUUUAAUAUAUCUUCGGAACGCGAUAUGGUACACAUAUUAUAAUAUAAGUGGACGAUAAGGUUAAUAUGUUCCAUUUUAAGAUAUAUUCUUCAAUGACUCUCCACAUAUUUAGUGACCCAGUAAAUGUGUCAACAAAUAAAAUAAAAUCAAUCCACAUGACAAAUUAUGCUACUGUUAAUCUCCAAUUUUCACUCGAAAUGGAAUCAUGCUUCCACAAUCAAUCUAUAAGUUGGUAUGUCCCAUUUUAAUAUAUAGUUUCAUUUUUGUCUUUGCCUUUUUUUCUUGUAUUUUUAUCCAUGUAGUUUCAAUCUGUUUUCACUUUAGUCUUGUCAACUAAGUUAAUUUUUCCUUCUAUUUUGUGCACAUCUUUUCAUUUGACGGCUUGGACUAACGAUGUAGAAUGAACGUUCGAGAACAGAAGUGCAACCAAACAAAAGUGAAAACAUGAAUAAACUACGAAAACAAUUGUGAAGAUAGUUGAAUCACACGUAAAAAUUAAGCAUACUCUUUUUUUUUCUGAAAAAUUAAGUAGUUGAAUCACACGUAAAAAGCAAGCAUUCUCUUUGUUUUGUUUGGUUGAAAAAUUAAGCAAACUUUAUUAUAUUAGUCAUGGUCAGUGGCUGUAUAUAAUACAUUUAUAUACGUCAUUAACAUAUUGAGUGGUAUUUCUAUUCAUUUAUAAGUGGAAAAAAAAAUCAUAAUUGAUUUUCAUGAGUUGCAAGUUUGAUACUCAAUUAUAACUGAUUCAUUGUGUAGUUUAGCUCAAAAAAUUUAGUCUCUUGAAAGCUAAGUUCCUUUCUCUCUGCUUGAGAGUUUUUCUCAUUGUUUGUAUGAGUUAUUCAAUUUCGUUCAGAACUAGUGGCCCUAACCCUAGCUUUAGCUUGGGCUGGUGGCCGUUCUCCCCUUCCUCUCUUUGUCUCCUCUUUUCCUCCCUUCGAUUGCUUUUUCCCUACUCUCUAUACCGAUUUGCCAUUUUCUUCUUAUCCAACUAGCGUCCCUCUUCCUUGUUCAUCCAUGCUCCGAUCUACAGUCAUGCUUGACUAAGAUGGUCUGUAGAGCUUCGAUGCUUGCACCAGCUCGGGUGUUCCCAACACCACCACAUUUUCUCUGUCUACCUUUGCUGGCAGUGUUGCUCGUGGAUUUCCACGAACUUCUUUCUUUUGGCAGAGUGGUACUUGAGGUUGGAUGCUAUGAUCAACGAGUCAACAUGAGGUUGGAGGCGUGGAAUUGGGCAAAUCGAGAUGUAUUGAUGCGGCAACAGUUGCAGCCGACUUUUCAACUUUCUUUAGUUUCUUCCGUGUUGGGCCUAAGUUGUUGGUUGAGCUCUGGUUUAAUUUGUUUGGCUAGUCCAUUUUGCUUGUUUAUAUUUUUUUAGUCUAUGGGCCUUUGGUUUGUACAGCUAGUAAGUUUGCUUGUUUCUGGUUCGUAAUAAUAUUACCUUUAUACCCACAAAAUACUGCACCAUAAAGGAUUGAUCGUGCUCAAAUCCAAAUGGUUGAUGCCUUAUAUAUAUAUAUAUAUAUGGUUCGUAAUAAUAUUACCUUUAUACCCACAAAAUAAUGGUUGGAUAAUAUUUUCCAAACCAUAAAAGAUUGACUGGGCUCAAAUCCAAAUGGUUGAUGCCUUAUAUAUUAUAUAUAUAUAUAUAUAUAUAUAUAUAUAUAUAUAUAUAUAUAUAUAUAUAUAUAUAUAUAAGGUAAAAUUAUCCAACCUUUUCUUUUAUGGUCUGGAAAAUAUUAUCCAAUCAUUAUUUUGUGGUAUAAAGGUAAUAUUAUUACGAACCAUAUAUAUAUAUAUAUAUAUAUAUAUAUAUAUAUAUAUAUAAUCCCUAUUUUCUGAAAGCACUCACAUUAAACAUCAAAACUUCAGGAUACCAAGUCCUCGAAGGAACAUAGCCCUUGGCAUUAAUAUAUCAAGUUUACUACAAAGUCACUAGUACAAAUAUGAAUUUCCAAGUUUUAACCAAAAGUCCUAGAGAUCAUACACUUUUAAUCCAAACAAAUCAAGAAAAUGCAAACAUCAAAGUUCCCAAAACCAUUAGGUGGUCAUAUAUCAGUCUACCUUCAUAUUGGUGUUUGAUCAAUGAAAGUAAACCAGUAGCCAUCCAAAAUAGUCUAGUCAAUCUAGACAACAUAGAAUAAUAUUUUGACAGAACUGUUAAAAUCAACUUUGACCGUCCAACCAAAAAAUCUUAUGAGUCCACUCAAUCACAUAGAUCAUUUGCUCCUAGCAAAAAUUCUUUUUCUGGAUCCAUACCAAUCGAUAGGAUAGGUCAAGAUCAAGAGUUAAUCAAUUCAUUAGCCAACAGGAAAUUAAAAGCGGUAGACACUAGUUCAUCCGUCAACCAACAAGAAUUAAUUACUGAUUUAAUUAAUAUCAAAUUAAAAUCAAUAUAAACAACCUCUCAAGUCACACAUCUGAGAUACCAAUCUCAUACCCAAGAUCAAGGAGAACAAACUUCUCCAACAGAAUCUGACUUCGAAGCAGGUCAGGUUUAUCAUCAACUUUUAGUUCUAAACAAACCUUUCAAAUGGAACAAGAAAAGGCUCAAUGCUGAUAUUGAAGCCACAGAGAAUAUUCCCAAAAAGAACAUUUUCAGAAACAAAUAUACCAAAGAACAAAAAUUGGAAAUUUACAAAGAAUGGACCAAUUUUAUGGAAACCCACAUAUUUGAAUUUUAUGGAAACCCACAGAUUUGAAGUAUUUUUCUUCGAUUAUGUUGAAAAGUACUAUGAGUAUGCAAAUAAAUUAAAGGUAAUAACAAAAUAAAAUUGGCUUAAAGAAGACAAAAUCAUUGUCUCUUCUAGCCACCCCUCACAAGAAACAAUCCUCAUCACAACUGCCAAUACACAUAUUCCAACUACUCCUUUUAACCUUCCCAAGGAAGAGGCAGGAGUUAAACCAAUUAUUAAACAAAAUAAUUUCACCAACCAGAGUCUUCAUACCAUGGGAAAACAGUUAUAUAAAAUAAAAUAGAUAAACUUUCUCAACCAAAACCAAUACACAAAGAAAAACUAUUAAUUAACUUCCCAUAGUCUUCUUUCGGCACAAUCGCUUUAAAGACAAUGUCUACAAGUAAAAAAAAUAAAACAAAUAUAUAUAUAUAUAUAUAUAUAUAUAUAUAUAUAUAUAUAUAUAUAUAUAUGGGCUCAAAUCCAAAUGGUUGAUGCACCAUAAAAGAUUGAUUGGGCUCAAAUCCAAAUAGUUGAUGCCAUAUAUAUAUAUAUAUAUAUGGGCUCAAAUCCAAAUCGCUGUGUGUAUAUAUAUAUAUAAAACUUUUGCAAACGUUUUCACUGGCUUUCUUCCUAGCCUGGUGGAUAAUUGCAUAAGCAUGAUUCCAUCUGGUUUCAGGUUCGAAUGCUAGUAUCGACUGAGAUGGCGAGUGGCUGAAUGAUGAUGAUCAUCAAGCAUGCAUGCAUCAGUAUGCCCUGUGUGUCUCCGUGUGUGUGUGUGUGUGUACGUACAUAUAUAUGGAAAUGGAUCCUCUCCGGAUCACCAAAAUGAGGUAUUUCAAAAUACCUCUGUUUUUUCAAUACAUUAGGCAUUUAUGAACACAUUUUUUUUAGAAAAUGAGAAGAAAAGAGAGAACGUUUUUUGUUUUUUGGGGGGGGGGGGGGGGUGGGCCGGGGGGAAGGUUUUUGUUUUUGAUAUUUUUUUGGGGGGCGGCAGGGGGGGCGAUAUGAGAGAUAUUUUAACAUCACAUGUAGGUGAGGCUUCAAUAAAAAACAUUAAAAUUUAGACAUAUGAAAUUACAUUGUUGCCCAUCACCUUUUUUGUGUGAUAGAAGACUAAAUUGUCUUUUCACCCUCUUUUGGUUGACAAAGAGGGUUUCAUUAAUUAAUAGAGAUUUUACUCCCUUUUUUAUUUUAUUUUAUUUCAUUUAAUAGAUUAACAUCAAUCAUGUCACUUGUCGAAUGAUAUUCUUCUCUACUUGUAACUUAAUGUUUUAAGUAACUUAGUCCAAAUCCUUCACCGCACCGUGUAAACAUAUCAUUGUUUUCAAAACACCAAUCAUAAGAUAAAACAUUAAAAAAAGCUUAGCUAUGUGCAUUUUACAUUUGUUGAAAAUAGUUAAUUGCAGUAAUAGUUCCUGAAUUUUAGUUUAAUUGGAGCUUUGGUCCAUGAGCUAAAACUAUAAGGAAAACUAAUAAAAAUGACUGAAAACUUUGAGUUUUAACAACAAGGACAAAAUAAAAGGUAAAGUGAAUAAUAUCAGGAUUGACUUUUUAGUGUAAAAUUUUGGUUUUUCGUUAAAGUGAACAGUUCCGGGAAUUUUUCGUUAAAGUUCCCAAAAAUCUAUGAGUCCCUUAACUUCCUACAGUACGUGAUAAUGGUCUCUUUGAUAACUCCAGUAGAAUUUUUAGUUCAUAUUUGCUCUUGAAAUGCUUUAUUUCGGAUAAAAUAUCUACCAGCGUUAAUCAAAAGGACUCUCCAAUUUUUUUUCUAAUGACAACAAAAACUAAACAAUGUUAGAUGCUCAUUUUCAAAUUUUCAUAUGCCUAUUUUGUUAUCUAUAACCUCCUCUGCUAUAUCUUUUUUGGUCGAAUUUCUCCUACUACUAUAUAUUAAACAUAGUAAUAAUACUUCUUUUUUAACUAUUUAGGUUUUAGCUCGACUAUACGGUACCAUUUGGUACGUGGGACCGGACGGAACGGAGUGGGAUGAGACGUUCAGUCCCACGUUUGGUGCCCUUAAAAUGGAUGGAACGUGCUGUUCCACGGGACGAAUUUUGGGUGAAUUUUCGUUCUGCCUCAUCCCCCUGGAACAACUCGUUCCACAUCGUGAAACACAAAAUUAUAACCUCUCAUUCUUCUUCUUCUUCCUCCUUGUUUCCAUCUGAGGGCAUCUUUGCUCCCUCUCUGCUCCAUCCCGUCCCGUCCUGUCCCGUCCCAUCCCAUUCCGUUUCGUCCCGUCCCGUAUGCAUACCAAACGAUACCUACAAGAACAUGAGUUCCAACCAUAGUAUUGGACUACUCUCUGUCAUUUGUAUUUACCAAAAUAUAUAAUGAUGGGUGGUACUAGGUUGUGUUUAGAAAACUUAUUUAUCAUCGUGUUGAGAUUUAUAUUCAUGCAGAUUUCGAGUCGUUAGAAAUUAUCACCUAAAUCAACGUAUGCUAACACCAAUUUGAAUAAUUUGGUCAAUUUUGUGUCCACUCCUAAUAAAACCAUUGUAUACUUAUAUUUUUAUGCAUUGCAUACUUUAAUUCUUUGAAAUAUAGCUCAACUCAAGAUUUUCUUAGAAUGCUGGUAUGAGAUGAAAACAUAUAUAUUGAGAACAAUUGUGAGUCUAAAAUUACUAUCAAAUCAAUAUCCAUAUAUUGAGGACAAUUGGACUACUGUGAAAUCUUUUCUUUUCAUCCUAAUUUGUGUGUUUAGGGACUCAAAUUGUCAAAUUAAAUAUUUGUAGCCAAGAUUUGACAAAAUAUAUAUAGUAGCCCAGAUGAACUCAAACAAGAGGGGAUAUUUAAGGGGUCUUCCUGCGGGUGGGCCCACAUCCAAAUGGUUGAAAUGGAAGUACAAAUCGCACAAGUUAAUUUCCUUUCACGGAAGUAUUCACUGGUCUUCUUCCAGCCUUGUGGUAAAGUGCGUUAGCAUUUGACCCUCAUGGUUUCGGGUUCGAAGGCUGGUAUAGCUGAGAAAGAAAAUGAUAAUCCAACCAAAACCCUAGUUGCCACCAAAUGAGGUAUUCUGAAAAAUACCUCUGUUUUUAUGUCAAAUUACGUUGUUAAUAAACAAGCAUAUGCAUUUUUUUUAAUAUCGAACGAUAUUGUAAGACCUCUAUAAAGUUAUAAUUUUUUAUAAUUUUAAACUAAUUAUUACUUAAUAGAGGUGUAGUUAAAAAAUAUUAUUUAUUAACUUAUUUAUCCUUUAUGAAUGUUGUAUUUACUAAAUAGGAUUCAUGAGGAUGUCGUAUGGAAAUUUCAAUUUCAUGCCAAAAAGCUGUAAAUAUGUUUGAGAAGUUAAAAACAUUUUAGCUUCAACAAGAAGAUGUUCAUGUAAACGAAAUAUUACGUACUCAAAAGCUCAAAGAUGUGGAAUAAAUUCUAAAAGCUAAAGCACUGUCCCAAAUAACAAAAGCAUCUGAAUUUCUAGUAAUUAUAUUCUCAUAUGCAUAUAGAUCGGCAAACUUAUACAUCAAAUAAAUGCCAUGUUACAAAGGGUCAAAUUAAAACAAUGAAUAAAUAAUAUUGGUAAUUGGUUACGCCCCCAAACCAUUAAAUUCUAUUAUUUGCAUAAAUUUGCACCGGCCUUCUUCCUGGCCUGGUGGAUGAGAGCAGAAGAUGGCUUUCGUUAGGUCUCGGGUUCGAAGGCUGGUAUCAGUUGAGAUGGCGAGUUUGAUGAUUUAUGGUGCUAGAGAGUUUAAGGAGAGUCCACUUUUCAAAGAGUUUUCCUUAGCAUUUCUCGUAUAUAUCUAUCCAUUGAAACAAAAUGAGGUAUUUCAAAAUACCUCUGUUUUUUUAAUAUUUUUUUUAUAUAGUUUUCUUCCCUCUGUUUUAUUUUAUUGGAUUAAUCUCAGUUUAUUUCCUUGUAGUUUCUUGGAUUUUAACAUUUGAUAUAUCAAGUUUUUUUCAUCCCAAUUUGGUACCUAAAAUCAUAAUUUUAAAAUACUUUCAUACAUUCGUUAAGUUUUCAGUUAGAUCAUCUGUUAACUAAUGAUGUGGUACCUAUGUGGAUAAUAACUAAGUGUCACGUAUCAAUAUGGCCCUACAUGAAUAUUAAUAAUUAAAAAUUGAAAAAAAAACCUAUAAAGUCUCGAAGACUCCUCUCACCCCCAAGCCUCCACAUUUUUCAAGGCCUCUCACCUCUCUGGGAUUUCUUCUAACCCUCUCACCCUCUCUCUCGAAGCUCUUCUCUCUCUGUCUCCAUUCUAAAAAUCUCCCAUCUUCGACUUCCAUCCCCAAAUCCAAUCAAUUUCAACCAUCCAAACUUAUUAAACCCACCCCAAGUUUUGAAAAAGUUUUAAAAAAAAAAACCCAAAUUUAAAGGAUAGGAGGAAGAAGAAGAUGAAGAAAUUUGGUGGGACAUGUUAAAUGUGACAAAAGCAUCCAAUUUCGGUUAAUGUAAAGGUGAUUGGUAAAUUUUCAGCUGUGUGUAUGCAAAGCAUAUUGCCAUAUCUUCACCAACCAAAGCUAUUCUUAAACUGAUAUGUUAUUAUAGGAUACAAAAAGUAUCAAUUUCAAACACGACACAUGUUUCACGAUGUGUAUUUAAUUAACACGUUUCAAAGCGAUUAACACUGUUCAACUAAUAUAUAUUAUUAAGAUGAUAACCUUUCACAUUUAUCAUAAAUAUUUACCAUAAGCACCUUGCUAUGCACUUGGACAAUUUUUCCAAGUCCAGUGCAUACAGUCGAUGCUUUCAAUCAUCCCAGGAAAACCUCGCAUCUCGCCCUUUUUCAGAAGCCUUUGCAACUCCAUCUCAGUAGGUCUCCGGAGGUACUCUGCAGUGUAGAUAGAUUCAAUUGCUCCGCAAAACCUCAUCAGGGACUCAAGAAUGAUUGAUUUUCCCAUCCUUGCUAUCUCAUCCACUUGGUCUGCAGAUGCUCUAUAUACAAGCAUUCGCAAGGCAGCAGUAAUUUUUUGCUUAGGAAAGAGACUCAUAACACCAAAAGCAUCCUUCUUUUGCACAAAGUAAGAAUCAUGGUUGCAAACAUCAAUCAUGAUUUUGUUGAACAAAUGUUGUUUCAUUCUAAAACAACUUCUAAAGUACGUAUCAAGGAAUGCACUAUUACAAACAAAAUAAUCAUUCAAGAGAUCCGUACCUCGUCUUUGAUUGCUUCAAUCAAGGUUUGCAGAACGGUUGGGCCUAUAGAUAUGAGCCACAGCUUGGAUGACUCGACGGGAAUGUGAGGCUCUGGCCAUUCUUGCUUCGUCAUCUUUCCUUCUACGCUCCUCAUCCUCUUCCAUCUCAUUUUGGGCCACCUGGAGAUUGAACAUUCCUUCUGAUUGGUUAAACAAUUAUUCCUCUUGCUGAUCGAUUUCCCACAUCAUCCUUGAAGAAGAAGACAUUGUAAGAAGGAAGCAUAAACUAUGAAUAAUGAUAGAGAUCUUGAGAAAAUUGGUGUGAGAUUUUUUAGGAUAGAUGGUGGAUUAUAUGGAUGAUUCAUAAAGGAUUAGGUUGUAGAUAAUGUCACAUGGCAUGCCGUCAUUCGUUAAAAAUAUGAUCAAAAUCUAUCCUCAAAUAUUGUAAACAGAUUGUGAUAUGUGGCGCAACGUGAUUGGUUAAAAAUCUUAUCGGAAAUCUAUCCUCAACAAUUCUAAAAAGGUAACAACACGUAGCACGACGACAUUGGAUAAAAAUCUUAUUGAAAUCCAUCACCAAUAAUUGUUUUUUCGGAUAAUGACACGUGGUACAACGAGAACGAUUAAAAAUCUUAUCCGAAAUUACAAACAAAAUUAUUUUGUAUUAUUUUAUAAAUAAAUAAAAUACUAAUAUUUUAUUGUCUAUUGUCAGGGCUAUUCAAUGUAAGAAUUGAAGAUAUAAAAUGCAGUUACUGUUUAUUAAGAACAAUUAUUGUUCACUGUGUGGAUUAAAUAGUGAAUAGCCCUAGAGGACCUUAGCAAUGAUGAAAUUGCUCUAAAGAUAUGCAGUGGGCCUCGGGCACCCUUUUGAUCGUCAAACAUUCAAAUAGUUAAAUGAGAAAACUUCCCCUCGCAAUAAGCUCCUCAGAUUGAUUGAUUCACUGAGAUAUAGAGACUGAACAAUCUAAUCAUAUCAUUUGACAAAAAAUUAAAAAUUAAAAAAAAAAAAACAAUCUAAUCAGAUCAUAUUAAGUAGAGUCCUGAUUCCUGGGAUAAUUUUUAGUUGUGACGGGAAUACGAAUGGUACACCACGUGUUUUUAUGCAAGUAGUGGAAAUUUUUAAUUUUUAAGUUAUUAACCUUUUAACACAGGGACACGUGGUGUACCACUUCGUAUGACGGGAACAUUGAAAAAUCUCUCCUUACUGCUGAUAGUUCUGAGCAUAUUUUUGGUACAAGAGAAAUGCUAAGGAUACUUAAUAUUAUAAAAUACUGUAUCUUUUUUUUUUUUCUGAAAGAAAAUAUUGUAUCUUUUUUUAGUAUCUUUUUAGCAUUUUACUUCGGUACAAAAUUGUAGACUAUAGCAAUUGGGCAAUGAAUUACAAUUAAUCAAAAUGGUUGUGAAACUUGACAGAUCAAGAUGAGAAUUUGUAUUAUAUUUCUUAUAUUAAUGCGACGAGAUAUUCAAAUUCAAGACAAUCUAUAAUAAGUUAGGUUAGCGAGACCAAAUUUGUAAAUUAAAUAAUAUAAAGGUUGAUGAUUGGAUGACUCUUUAAAUGUUAAUUAACGUGCUUAUUUUCUAUUAGUUACACAUCAUUUGAUUUAAAAACGUAGUCUUCCUGAUAUUAUCCUUCUUAAUACUUGGAAAAAAAUUACUAGAUUAAACCAUUUGAAAACAUUUUUGUAAGAAAUAAUUUGCUUAUGAGUGUCUUUGUUAGAAUCACUUUCAAGUGUUUUCAUAAAAAAGCACUAACAAAUGCUUUUAUGUUUCAAAAAUGUUUUUUUUACAAAGUGCAAUCAGAAACGUCGUUGAUUAUCUAAAAAUGCCUUUCAGCAUUCAAAAAUUACUUCAAUAACAAGGAACCAGUUGUUGAGCAUUCAUAGAUUACUUCAAAAACAAGGAACUAGUUGGUGGAGAGUCAAUAUUCAGAGAGAUUUAAUCUAUAAUUUAUUUUCAUUUAUUUGAUUUAUGAGACUCAGAACAACUAGCCAUGCAUACGCAUGGAAUCAUAAGUAGAAUUCAUUUUCAUUUAAAGUUACAAUUAGUUGGGGAGAAGAACUUAUAUGAAAUGAGUUCACCGUUAUAUAGCAUUCCUUAUCCAUUGAUACAUUUAACGUACAAGUUUUCCUCCACAUGAUCACAAUGUACUUUUGGAUUGAAACACCACGUGGCAGUGGACCAUUCCAUAUAUAAGCUGUUCUCCUAUACAAAGGCAGGCAGGUAGAUCGACUAACAGUGAAAUAAAAUCACAGCAUUUUCUCGAUGUCUAGUUUUCUUCUUCUCAAAUGCACAACUAGCUACUCCCAACUGGUACAGUCGCAGUGGGUCAAAUUAGCUUGGUUUUGAGUAAAACUUUGAAACACUAACAAGGUAGCCGUACACAAAGAACACACAUUUCUUUAAUUGUUUUGCAUUGGGUACCUAACCCCAGCUGCCAAGACUCGUUGCUGCUGUAUCUGCAGUGCCAUACAGAAGAAUAACCAAUGGUUUGGCUCAAGAUAGAUACGGUAUCAUCAAUAUUAAAGGAGCAGUUAGGUGGUAGGUUUAAUUAUGAUUACCUGGAAUAAUUCAUGUAGUUUGUUCUUAAGGUAACAAUAUUCAUGUUCCAGCAGCUCUAAGGCUCUCAAGCACCUGAAUAAUACAUAGGCAAUACGAUUCAUGUUUCUUUCCCAAAAUGUGGAACAUAAUAUAGCGAGAACAUGACGAGUACUAUUAUUUGUACCGUUUCAUAAAAUGAAUCCAAUACAAAUAAGGUCCACGUUUAUUAGAGAAAUUAUAAGACGGUUGAGAGUUGAGACGGUGAUUUAUUGAAGAAUAAAUGAAAUAUGUGAACGCGCGACUACUGAGGAGAGAAAAAUGAGGAAGAGAGUAACUGACUGACCCAGCACGGUUAUUGUGUUCAGAAGCAGCGCGAAAAGCGACGCAGACGUUUCUGAUUCUCUUGGCACCAAUGCUUGAGCUGCUUCCCAUAAACUGAUUCAAAUGUGUUCCCAUUUUCUUGUAGUCCGAGAACUCCCUAUCCAUCCUGUUGUUUACAUGUUCAUUUCAGUUCAGUUCAAUGUUUCACCAACCACCAAACCGACAACCAAAAAUUAACCAAUUAAAUCGCUCAGUGAGAGAGAGAAAUAGAGAGAGAGAGACUCACAACAAUCCUCUGAGAUUUCUCAACAGCUUCUCGGACUCAUGAAAAUAUAUGUUCACAACUUCAGAAACAAAGUUUGGGGAGCUCUCGUCCUGGAGUUGUUGAAGCUGCAAGAAUUGCUCAUCCAAUACUCCCUAUACAUUUAACAACAACAAAAUACCGAUAAACACCAAUUAACUGCGUUCAUAAACAUUAAUCUUCAAUAGUAAUGAAGAACAUUAAAAUAAAGCGAAACAAGUUAUUUUAUCAGCAGUUACCUGGUGAAAGAGCAUCGCGAGCAAACGAUUCAUGUCUGCUCGCAACUGAUCGACACCCAACCCCAACAUCCACACUGGCAGACCCGUCUUGGCUAAACACUUGGUUCACCCACAGAACAAGAAUUUGAUAAUAUUAAUAGUGAGAGGUUUUACCUGCUUCACACCAGCACCUCUAGGGUUUAGGUUCUGUGUUUACAAUUUUGUUGUGCUUCUGCUCUUUCACUUGUUCUAUAUAUAGAAGCGGGAAGGCCACCUGGGAUUCAAAGCAAUGUACCGAUUGAAUUGGACCCCACUGUUUGCCUAAAUUAAUUAAAUAAAGUUGUAUUAAUAUAAAUUAAUUUUCAAACCCUAAACCUCGAGCAUGCAUUGUGUAACAUAUCGAGGCGAAUGUGGGGUAUCAACCGGACCAGCCUAUACACCACAGGCCUCAGCUCUCAACAUCCCAACCCUAAUAUUUGAUAAAGGGUUAUUUGAUUGGCACCCCAUAUUUUGUUGAUUACAUCAUAUAUCUACUUUUUAAAUUAAAAAAAUAUCUUAAUACAUCCCAUAUUCUUUCUCAAGCUACCCUCACACCCUAAAUUCUUCACAUACACCCCACAUCAAACCCGCGUAUUCGUCUUCACAAACUUGUUUCCUCCAGAUUUCUUUUCAAUUUUCAUAUCAGUAACCUAUAUAAUUCUUCAAUCUUUCCUUUAGUCGAAAUGAGUUUUCAUUAAAGUAAAGAUAAAAGGACACAAACCUCACCCAAACUGACUCGAGGGCAAAAGGGUUUAAGUCUUGCAGUUGUAUGUAUAUAUAUUGAAGUGAUGGAGUUUCACAUUGAGUUUUCAAACUUCUACGGAAAACCUGUUCAUUCUUUUCUGGAAAAAUAGUCAUAUUGCUAAUGUGAGAGCAUAGAAGUAAAUUUUAGGCAUGCCUCAAAGAAAGAAUUUGGGGUGUAUUUAGAAUCUUCUUUUUUAUUUUUAGAACAUUUUAGGGCUUAAAUAGUCGUUUUAUGAACAAUUUAAUAUUAAGUUAUUAUAUGGGAUGUAAUCGACAAAAUAUGAGGUGUUAAUAAAAAAAACCCUUUGAUAAAAUAAAUUAAGAUUGAGUGACUGAUGAAUGAGUGAAAAAGUGAGGUGAGGGAGGUGGUGACCUGCUGUCCCCGUAGCCAGUGAGCUCGCGUGCUGUCUGUUAUGGCAGGUUGGUGCGGCGGUGAAGCCUCAUUUUCACCCGACAACUGCCUGCACCCGGUUACUUGUCAGUCACUCACUCCAAUAUUCCCCACACACAAACCCCCACAGUUUACUUAAACAAGAAAGAGAAGAAACUAAACCAUAUCAUUUGAAUGAACCUCCACUACACUUUAGAAUUUUCAACAUAUUUUAUGGUUUUGCUUCACUUUUUUCCCUACUUUUUCUUUGUCACUUUCUUGAAAAAAUGUUGGCUGGUUGUUGUUACCUUCUUUUUUGGCUCACUGAGUUGCAGAGAAUUGAAGCCUGCUGCUAAGAAAGAAAUAAGCAGACACUUUUGGUUCUGGGAAACUGGGAUCUGAGAAAGAGCUAUCUUUCUAGCACCCCUGAUAAACAAGGCUCGCAGAGCAAACACACCUGGACCUCACGGUGGUGACAAACACUGAUCUAGGUGGUCACGUCACAAAAUGGAUUUUCAUUGUUUAAUCUAUGUGUAGGUGUAUGUAUAAAGAAAAGGGGUUCGUUACAGGAUGAGGAUGAGGAGAAACAUUUUAUAAUGUCCGGUAUUUAAACAGAUAUUUAACGUGGUAUAAAAUAAGUAGAAAAAUACAAAAACAUAUAUCACAUCAUUCACUUAUAUUAUAUGUAGUGUAUUACUUGAAUACCGGCUAUUUAAAAAAAAAGGUCUCACAUAAACAUAUGAAUAUGAUGAAGGGACUUUUCAAAAGGGCGUGAUGGGCAUUGGAACCUGCUCAGUCAGGUUAACAUUUCAACAAAAACAAGCACACAAUUUUAUAGGCCAUCAUUUCAAUUUAUUCUUAGUUUCUUAUCGUUUGAGAAAAAGAGAAAAGAGAAGCAAACAUUUUCUAUAUUAUUAGAGUGGUGACGUUCAACCUUGAAGUUGUUGCCCUUUCCCAUUUCUCUUCUCUUCAUUAGCUACUAAUGAGUAAUGAAUUACAUAACUUUGUAGCAAAUUUUGGAUCAAAAAGGUUUAUAUGAUGGCUCUUUUCUUUUUUUGGACCCAUAUAUACAUAAUGACUGCAAAAGUUUAGUAAUAAUUAAUGUUAGAUAUGGUGGCUAUUUUAAUUUCAAAAUUUUGGAUCCCGCCCUAAGUAUAAUUUCAUGAACUUCAAAUUUUUUUUUCUUUCGAAACCUGUAUUGCACCAGGAAAAUUUUUACGAGGAGUUUAUCAUGAUGUUUUUGGAGUGUUGAUACCUUUUUAUGUAAAGAAACUAAAUAAACUCUCAAAUUCCAGGUUGUAACGUUUGUAGCAACUCAAAUUUUUUGUUUCCAGCUGAGAAGAGGUGGCCUCUCUUCUCUGCUGCUCCGGCAUGAAUUUCUGCCUAAGUAAUUACUAAAUUGAUUGAAUGAAAGAGGGUUUGUGAACUAAAACUAAAUUAAAAUUUUGAAUUACAAAUGAGUAACCAAGUAACAGAAAAUUGCAGCAAAGCCAUCUAUGUUCAUUGUUCACCCUUUUUCUUCCAUUGUGCAUUCUAAAGAGUGAAAUUUUUUUAGUGUGUCUGAAACACAAUCCGGUACCCCAAAUGUCCUUAUACAAUUUAUUGAAGAAAAAAAAUCAAUUUAAAACCAAUUAUAUUAUUACAUUUAGUAUACCGGACUAUGUUACGAAAAGAGUCUCCUAAAAAGCUAAUUGGUUCCGAUCAAAGUUACCUUAACACAAGAGCUUUAUUCAUUCAAUGAAAGAAUUAUCAAACUGAAAUGCUUGAAAAUGCAACUAUCACAAGGUAGCUCAGUGGUUAGAGUCGAAUUUUAGGCCCAUAUCCCACAUGAUAUGUAGUGGACUCAAAUUCUGACGUUAAUAAGUCACAUGAUAAUGACCACGGAUAAGCUGAAAAGCCUAAGUUAGUCUUCAUGAUCUCCGAAAGGAUGGACUGCUGCAUCUACAAUUUUUUUUUAAUAAAAAAAUUGCUUAAACAUGCAGUGAUAACAUUACUUUAUGUGGCAUAUGUGUCUCUGGAAAUGGAAGACAUAUUUUUUACUUUGACAGUAGUACAAAGUGCGCACGAACCAUCCUAGCCUAUGUGAUGGGUUUAAGUGUAGUAAAACUUAAUUUUAUAUGUGAAGCAUGUUACUUAAUUAAUUUGCUAAUAACUACCUCGACUUGCAUGCUCACAUAAAAAGCGUGCCUUGACGUAAGCAAACUCUUAUCAGUAUUGUUUAAUAUGAGAAAUUUUUCAAUGUGACCAGUACACGGAGUAGUACAUCACGUGUCAUUAUACAAAUGGUGGGAUAUGUGUGUUAAAAAGUUAAUAACUUAAAAAAUAAAAUUUUCCACCACUUAUAUAAAAACACGUGAUGUACCUUUCGUAUUCCGGUCACAAUGAAAAAUUUCUUAUUUAAUACAAUGAUUUUUCCUUUUGUUACAUAUAAUACAAACGGAAUUCAAUAAGAAAACCACUUAGUACUACGAUCUAGGACUCUAAUGGUAUUUUUUUCACUUGUAAAUGAAAGGUCAUAGAUUCGAUUCUCACCAAAAGCGAAUUUGAACCACAUUAUUAUAGCCCACUCAUUAUGAGGCUUAGUCCACUACCCAACCACCUAUUUGUAUUGAUAAUAUCGUUUGUUCAUAAAAAAAAUGGGGGGCAUCGAGUGGGUUGGUCUAGUAGGAUUUCAAUCCAUUGGCCAACCCAACAUGCUCGGGUUGGAAUUGUUCAGACCCAUUUCCGUCUAAGAAAAUAGGCAAACCAACUCACCCAAACCAUUCUUAAGAGGGUUGGAUUGGGCGAGUUUCAUUAGUUGUACUUAAUUAAUUUCUUUCUUAUUUCUAAUGAGUAUGAGCGACAAAAUAACCAAUGCUUACGUCAAAUUAUGCCUAAAUCAUGAGGAUUGUUUGAUGUUGUUAUAUCACUACAAAUUACUAAUACAUAAAUUUCAGUAUUCAAAUCAAUAAUUAAUAAACAAGUGCAUAAAUCAUGUGCGUUAGGAACAAAAAAUGUUUCUUUAUAGAAAUACUUUUUAUGGCAAUUAUUUUGAUGCUCCAUGAAAACAUGAGGUACUUUUGCAUAUAUAAAAUGCAAAAUUAUACCUAGACUUCCUAAAUCAUAACCAUGCUUCUUGAGCUCCCGUGCUUAUUCACUCUGAAUUUUAUCCAUUCAAGACACGUUCUUCUUUUUUGUCCUACUACUAAAACUUUUCACACUCGCAGCUUUGAAGUUCCAAAUUAUGGUACAAAGAUUCCUAAUUCUUUAGAGAUUAGACCCUAAAGUUAAUACGAAGCAACAUAUAACCUAGUGUGUAAAGAGCACCCAUGCACUCCAUCAGAAAGCUAUGGAAUGUGAUCAUUAAGGGACAUUUUUAUACUACAGUAGAGUUGGAAACUCAUUGCUCGAGAUAGUAAAAAAUUUCAAUCCAUUCAAUCCAUUUACUACCCAAAGUUGUGACAAAUGACAAGAAAAUAUGGACAAAAAGACAUCAAUGUAUGUAUCACUUAAAUAUAAAAAGUAGGGAACAUUUUUAAAAUAUCAUAUGAACUUAAGAAGCCUUUAAGGAAAGGGAUUUCUAUUUUUUUAUUAUAUAAAAAUAGGGAUUAGUUGUAGGCAAUAGCGGAUCCAUAAUUUCAACCUUGGGUGGUUCUAGUAUAAAAUGUUCAACAAUUUUGUAGAUGGAAAUAGUGCGAAAUGCAAAAAAGAUUCUUCUCUAUUUUUUAAAUGAAAGAUUUUGUCGAGCAUUUUUUGUAUAUAUGAGCGGCCUUGUUUUAUUCUUUGGAGAUUAAAAGUCUUGUUAAAAUUUUUAGUGUCAAUUUUUCUUGAUAUCUAAUAAUUUGAAAAGUCUUUCUUGAGAACAGAUAAAUUAAAGGUUUUUUUUUUUUUUUAAGAUACUCUCAACUUGAAAGGGGUUCUUUCUUUUGAGAUAUUAAUAAUUAAGAGGUGAAGUCAUACUAGUAAUUUAAAAGGUUAAAAAACAUAUUUAGCAUUCAAUACUUCUGCAGGGAUAGAAAAAAAGGGUGACUGGCAAAAUUGGGAUAGAAAAAAAAAAUAUUUAAAUAGAACAUGGUGGGUUCAAAUUAGAAAAAGGGGUGGAAAUUACGCAAAACGACAACGUUCUUAAAAGUAAAAAAGCACAUUCAAAAGCACCACCCUUCUUCUUCAUAUUGCGGGUUCUGCAACUCAAGCUUUUAUACUCCGGCGAAUAAAACCCAGCGACUGGUGGCUCUUAUAUAUCUACUAUGUUGUCCUAUUAAUUCACUAUAAUUUAUCCUAUCGAUUCCUUCAUAGAGCUCCGCCUAGGGUUUAGGGUGAUCCUCCGAGGUUCUUCACAAGCGUUUCUUUGAUAUUUGGAGGGUCCCGGGACCAUCCCGGUCCCUAUAUAGAUCUACCCCUAAUUGUGGGGUCCACACCACAUCGAACUUUAAUAAUCUGAAUAAUCCGUUUUUCAAGUUGUACCUCAUAGAUCAUCCUCACAAAAUAUUAGUCAAAUCAGAAAUAUUUAAGACAUCUUAUUGGGUUCAAAGAAAUGAACGAAUACUUUGUUAUGUAAGAAACAAUGAAAUUUGAUCUUGAUAAUUAAAUAGGCAAAUAGUUUCGAAUUGAAUUGAAUUUUUGCAAGGAUGAUCUAUGAAUCGAGACUAACAAAAUAGACCGUCCGGAUCGUUGAAAUUAGAUGUGGAGUGGGCCCCACACCUAAUUCUCAUUAUUUAAAAAAAAAAUAGGGAUCCCUUUGCAUAAAGGGCCUGAUAAACUUAUACACUUUAUCAAUUUGUCAUAUGAACAAAAAUUUUAAGCAAAUUGUCAUAUCAACUUUCUGAAAAUAUUAAUUUGUGAUUUCAUCCUAACACCAUUAGGUUUUCUAUCCAAAAUAAGUGAUGUGUCUUGCACAUGACUUGUGUUUAGGGCUAUAUAGAAAAUUCUCCACUCCCCUUCUAAAAAGUUAUCUUCGACAAAACAAAAAUCCAAGAUUUCCAUAAACAAAAAUGAAACUUAGUUCUCUUUAACAAUAUAGUCCUCAAAACAUACAUACACACAUAUAUAUAUAUAUAUAACAUAUUCUUUGAAGUAUAGUUGUCCUCUAAAAUAAUAGUAAAUAUCAAAUUUAACGGUGUUAGGAUGAAAUGACAAAUGAAUGAUUUCGGAAAGUUGAUAUGACAAAUCGUUUACAACUUUAGUUAUAUGACAAAUUGAAAAAAGUGUGUAAGCUCAUCUGACAUUUCAAAACUUUCCUAAACCCUAUACUAUUACGUGACUAAUGACGUUCACAAUGGGUAGAAAAAUUGAAUGUGAUACCCAUAAUAUAGGAAUCAAAUUUCUACUGUGGACAAAAAAUAUGAGUAAAAUGAGAGUGAUUCUUAUUUUUUUAGUUCAAUACAAUGAGCUUCGCAUCCGUAUUAUACAAAAUAAAGAUUCCGGUACAUAUAGAAGUUAUAAGGAACUCCUUUCUUUGUAUGUAUCAUACAUGGAGUUUACUUAACCAACACAAGUCUCUAGGAAAAAGACAACUCAAUACUCAAAGCCCCUUUGACCAUAGGAGAAAAAAAAACACUCAAAACGCCAUCUUGUAUUUUGAGAGGCAGUCAAAACACCAUGUUUUACAUGAAAUUCGGGUGAGUAAUAACUCUAUAUGCAUGGUUAUAACCAAAAGCACACCAUUUGAAAUAACGUGGUCAAAGCUUUCUUUAGUUCAAAGCCAUCUUUUGUUUGUGGGCCUCAGUUGGUAGCUUCACAUCAGUUGCCAAUCCAAUAGCUUGGAGAAAUCUUACGACGUACCAUGUCAUGUCAAGCUGCCACCAUUUCAGGCCAUGCCUAGCCGAGUACUCAAAUGCAUGGUGAUUGUUGUGCCAACCCUCUCCAAACGCUAGUAUUGCCACCCACCUGAACAAAUUCACAUUUCCCUUUGAAUUUUCCAUCUAAAACUGAACAAGGCAAUCAGCCCAAUAGUGCUUUAACCCAGCCCACAUUGUCAUACAGAAGUUUCUAACCAAUUUAGGUUGAGAAAUGUAAAAGAACUACCAGAGAAAAACUUGGUGGGAACUUCCUUACCAUGUGGCGUAUGUUGAGUAUGAGACAUUGUCUAGUUAAAAGUUAACACGUUCUAUAACUUUUAUAAAAUAUUAGAAUAAACGUGAUGCUUCAACUGAAUAGUGUCUAGCUCUCAAUUUGUUACGUGACACGGAAGUUCCACCCAAUUAUUUUCUCUAGAUGAUGGGGUUGUGGAGAAAUAGUAGUACCAAUUGUUCCUAGACAAGUCACCAGUAUUCCAUGCUCUGUUUCCCCAAACGUGGCAAGCUGAGUUAACAAGCCAAGUAAUGUGGUAUACCCAUAUAGUCCUCACACCCUGCAAUAUUAAAAUUGAAGCACAUUUAUGUCCAAGAAAUGGGAAUCGUCCCACUGCAUUUAGUAGGAGUUCAAGAGCAAAUAAUGAAAGGCCCUCAAUUCAUCUUACCAUUCCCCACACAAGGAAUGGGAAUCCUCCCAUUGCAUAUAGUACAAGUCCAAGAGCAAUAGGGUGAGCAAUGUAAGUUUUAUGCAGGAGCUGAUAGAAGGGCUGCUUCUCUAGAUCUCCAGCAUUAUUUGAUCCCCCACACUGCAAAUGUUAAAGGCAUAAAAUAUAUAUUUUCAUUAGAAGGAAGAAAAAACAAUGAAUAAGUUUUGAUAUGUAUACAAAAGGCUUUUUAGCCACAAUAGUCCUGAAUGUUCACUUAACUCCUCAUUUUAGUCAUUGACAAAGAAAAUCGAUAAAAGUGGCCAUGACUUUGUUCAUCAUAAACCAUUUUGGUCCUUUCGGGAAAAUCAUUCAAUAUUCUCAUUAAAUUGUCAUGUGACCACUUUUACAAGGGUAUUUUUGUCAAACAAACCCCUCCACUUAACAAGAGUAUUGACAGAUUUUUUAUGAAACAAUCAAAAUGAUUUACGCUGAACAAACUCAAAGACCACUUCUAUCGAUUCUUAGUAUCAAUGAUCAAAAUAAAGAGUUAUUAUAAUCUCAGAAAUCAUUUUAGUUAAAAAGUCCAUGUAGAACUAAAGGAAAAAGAAACUCAUACCCUUUCAUUCACAGAAUUGGUAUCAAAGAGCCAACUCAUGUGACUGUACCAGAAACCUUCAAUUGGGCUAUGUGGGUCUUUCUCAGAAUCACAGAACUGGUGGUGGUACCUAUGCACACUCACCCAAUCAAUUGGGCUCCCCUACAAACCCAAAAAAACACAAUCAAUUGAACGCACAAAAGAAAAAAAGAACCAUUAAAAAUAGGUAAAAAUAUUUGGAGGUAGGCAUUCCAAAAAAUCUAACUUUCCUGCUAAUAACAGUUUGACACAUAUAAUAAAAAAAAAAUGUUAUGGGUUAAUAGUGCAACCGUGUCAAACUGUAAAUUGUAGAAAAAAAGUGACCACCGAAAAUGUUUUGAAACACAACCAAAUUCAAAUUAGAAAUCCUCACCUGAAGUGCUUGGGAUCCACAAUAAGCAAAUAAGUACUCAAGAAACUUGGGGAGCUUGAAACUCUUGUGUGAGAGAUUCCUAUGAAAAGAAAGAGUGAUUCCAAAUAGACCAGUCACAACAUAAAGUGCCAUUGCCACCCAAAAAGCUCCCCAAUUGAAUUGAAAAGGUGCAAAAAGGCUGAGCAAAUGCAUUGCCACUACCACACCAGCUGUGGCCACGUCCAUUGGAAUCCACUUUCUCCCCAUAAACACAUUCUUCGGCCUCUUCACAAUCACAUCAGAAAGUAGAAUUCUCUUAAACUUGUACUCUCCUGUCUCUGUUAGUUCUGGUUCCAGGGCUUCAGACAAUUCUGCAUUGGUGCUUAUUGCUGAUGCUUUUCUAUUAGAAUUGGUAAGAAAAAGGCUGAAAAGCUUUCUGCUUGUUAAAAACUUAUUGGGUUGCGAUUGUUUUGAGUUGCAAUGAUCAAAAGUGAGGAGCUUGGAGCUCUGGGGCAAUGGCCUGAGACCCAAAACUGGUCUUCCCGGCCGGAGAAACGUGCGGCGGAGAUGAAAACAAUGGUGGGUUUUGGGAUUGGACUGUGGUGAUGUGAUCAAAUCCAUGGAAGAGGAGGAGGGAGGAGGGUGGAGGAUGAGGGCGUCUUAGAGUUUGAUACAAAAUUGGGUUUUUCACAAAACCAUAAAAAAGUUUAAAUAAUCCGCCGAAUUAGUUGGAGUGUUUUGGUGGGGCAGAGUGUUUGUGACUUUGUGGUGGAGUACUCAUUGCAAGAUUUGUUAGAUUUUUUUCAAGUUGUGGACUGAAAGGGAGAGAAGGAGACAAGAAAGAUGGAGAUAAGGCGGCGUUUGGGUUUUUGGGCCGUUUGGGUUGUAGAAACUAGAAUGUAUAGGAUCCAGUUAUAUUUUAUCCUAAUUUUUCAUUUUUUCUUAAAAUAAUUUUUGUGACAUUUGUUCUUAUUGGUUAAAAGGGCAGAGAGAUAUUUGUGUAAAAUUUGUGUCUGUGAUUGCUCGUCUGCUUAUUUGUCAUCAUCUCCCUCAAAGAAGUAUCUAUUUCUGGUCUUCUUCAUAGUACACUUGCCCCAUCUGAUGAGCUAGAAAGAAAGAAGGAAAGAGUCGUAAAUGGCUGCAGCAACAAAAUCUUCGAUCUUUGCGGCGUCCACACAACAUCUUCCUACCAUACCGUCCAUUUUUGGUAGCAAAGCAAGCCCACCUGUUUCAAACACUCUUGGUAUGCUUCUCCUUAAUCGGUUUCCUUUACUUGCAACCUGUGUGGGAUUCGAGAUUGAAAUAUAAGGAACUGGCUAUUGUACUUGCAAGUACCAUCACCGAUAGAUAGCACCUUGGAAUCUUGGAUGUCAUUACGGUAUAUCUAACCGUCAGAUGGUGAUAAUACUAAGUACUUGCAAGUAUUGUAGCCAAAUCCGAAAUAUAGAUGCAGAUGUGGAUUUUUUUCAGUUGGCCAGUGAGUCCGGCCCUUGCACUCAAGUUCGAAUCUCCAACCCUGUCUAUUAGAGGAAUUUAGAAUAUCUUGUUGUGAAAAGAGAAAACAAAUAUGGAUAUUAUAGUUACCAUAAUUGUUCAUUGGUUAGUUAUAAAAGCUUUUAAUAUGCCACAAAAAAAAGGGAAUUUUGGAAGAUUGUUUCUACUCAGUUGGAAAUUUGGAACUCAUACCUUAAAGGGCUGGCAAUUAGAACGGUUCUAUGAAGUGUGUCCAUGUCUAUGCUGUUUACGUGGCUUUUAAAUGAUAUUAUCUUAAUCACUUAGUUAGAUACCACUAUAAAUGUAUCCAACAUCAGCUAAAGCAGGCAAGGUGUAAUUCAAUAUGCUAAAAUGCUAAAGCCAUCAGAGAGUAUGGCUAAAUUUGAGCAGGUUUGAUUAUGCAUUCAUUUUUUUGGUGUUUGUGAAGAAAUAUUUUCAUAAUUUUGAAAGUGUUUCUGUGAUUACAUGUUCGAUUUUAACUUCCAUAGUUCGCCGCAAAGUAUCUAUGUUUUCUGCUCAUAACAUCGGAUCAUAAGACUUUUUAAGACCAAAUGGAUAACACUUGAGCAAUGUAAUGCAGCUAGCAGUUUUCGGGGUUCAUCGUUGGCGAGGUGUCCUUCGAUAAGGAAGAAAGUUGUGAAGGGCAAUGCGAAAGUCAGUGCUGCUGCAACGACUUUUGCACCAACUCCUGUAGAGGAAACCCAAAGAGUAUGAGCGUUCAACUCCCUCUUACUGCAAUUGCAUUAAUACAUUUACUUACUAUCGCUAAAUCUUUACUUUAGUAUCAUUUUUCGGGAUUUCUAGUCGUUCUUUGAGCAAAAAAUAAAAAAAACUAAUGAAAUUAAACAUCACCUCCAUGAAAGUGUCGUACAAGCAGAAUUCUUUCAUUGAAAUAAGAUUUGUCAACACUUAUUUUCUCCUCUUUGAAAAGCUAAAAUUAACCUUGGUAAAGUUAAAAUUGUAAAUUUCGUCUUUUCAGGUUCUCACUACCCUCAUGGGCUAUGUUUGAACUUGGGAGAGCUCCUGUGUAUUGGAAAACCAUGAACGGUCUUCCUCCUACCGCUGUAAGUAUGGCAUUGUGGUAAAACUAGUCGGGUUUUCUUAAUCGUCGUUUUCUUAAAAUAAACUCAUUCGCAAAAUCUGGCAGGGAGAAAAGCUAAGGAUUUUCUACAACCCAGCUGCAAAUAAAAUUGUCCCAAAUGAAGAAUAUGGGAUUGCAUUUAAUGGUACUUGAACAAAAUGUCCUAUUAUUUAUUGUUAACCUUGUGCGUUGUUGGCCUCUUCAUGUGCUAUGUGAUGCUACUUCGAAUGAGGGUGUUGGCUUGACAUACAUUGUUGUCGGGAUUCCUAACAACUUGAUUUUUUUUUUUGGUUAACCGCAACGGUAGUCUAAACUACUAACCCCUUCAUAAGUUUUUCUCCCCGACUUCCAGCAUUGACAAUCCUCUUGACUUUACUUAAUAGCCAUGAGGAAUUUGUAACAAUGCUCAAAUGAAUGAUCUGGAGAUUGUCUUGGUUCCUUGUGCUGCAUCUACCGGCUUUGGAGCUUCGAAAUUCUCCCCACAUUUUAUCUACUGAAUUCGUAUUUUCUCUAGAUUACUUAUAAGCAUGUGCAAGGUCCCUCCUCCCAUCAAUGUAGGAUUCAUUCUCAAAAUUACUCCUCCCAGAUUCCUUGAGAGCUAAAAUUUUUAUGUGCAAUGGUAGUUUCAUAACAUUUACAUAAGUCCCAUUAUAUUUCUAACAGCAUUGUUGUUUGCCUCUUGACUUCGCAUAUAAGCCAUUAGGGAUAUGGAACAAUGCUGAAACGAACAGUUUGGAGUAUGUCUUGGCUCCUUGUGCUACUUCUAUGCCAUUGGAGCUUCGAAAUCCUCCCACAUUUCAUUUACCUCAUUCAUUUUUCUCUUCUAGUUCCUCUCCCCUUCCCUUCAUAUAUUUCGUUUCGUAAAUCCAAAUUCCAGGAUUGCAUGCCUAUCCAAAUUCCAGGAUUGCAUGCCUAUGUUAUAACUCAUUGAUCGGAAAUGUCCUACUUUUGUGGCUGAAAAAUCAGCUGAAUAUGCCUUUGCCUUUUCAAUUCUUGGUCACGGUUGCAUUUUAUUUACUUGGUUGUAUUCUUGUCUUCACAGGAGGUUUUAAUCAGCCUAUAAUGUGUGGCGCUGAGCCAAGGGCAAUGCUUAGUAUUAGCCGAGGCAAAGCCGAUUCCCCAAUGUAUUCCAUCCAAAUAUGUAUUCCCCGGCACGGUUAGUAUCAUUCAGUUAAGUUCAUCUUUCAUUUCUUGGCCAUAUAACGUUGUUUUUCCUAACCAAAUGUUCUAAAUUCUCCAGCCCUGAACUUAAUCUUUUCGUUUACAAACGGAGUUGAUUGGGAUGGUCCUUACCGACUACAAUUUCAAGUUCCCAACGGUUUGAAGAACAAACCGAUUGAAUUCUUUAACGAGGUAAAACUCAUCUUGUCAAAGUUCAAAUCGGGACUAUAUAUGGUGCUCAAAGAAUCUAUGAAAUACUAAUGAUAUCAGCUAUCAGAAUUGUUGAAUCAGUUCUAACAAGUUUAUUCUGUACACCUGUAACCGAAAAUUUUGCAUCGUUGUAUUUGGAUGAUGCGUUCAUGGCAGGGACUAGCAGAAGAGUUGAGUAAAGACGGUGCGUGUGAGAGAGCAAUCUUUCCUGAUACGUUUGUUGUGGUAACAAGAUGCAAUAUAAUUGGGAAUUUGACGGUUGAAGGAGUAAGAAAAUUGUUCAAAUUCAUAACUUCAUUCUUUCUCAAGUGAAAGUGCCAAAAUGACUUGUAAAUCUAAUUGUCCCGCCCUUGCAGGGCGAUCGUUGCAACCUUAAUCUCGUACCAGGAUGCACAGAUCCCAGUUCACCCUCCUACGACCCGCUUGCCAAUGUGGAUGAUGGAUCAUGCCCAAUUGAGCUAGAGUAGCAUCGUGCAGUCAGUAAUACCUGCCCAUCUUACUCGUAAAUAUGUCACGGUGUGUAGUACAUACAUGGUAUCGGUCUAGAAAAUGCCUGUCGUAUUGAGGAAACUACACUGAGAUUGUUGGUUUCAUAGAGUUUAUACAAGUCAUAGUUGCAAUCUCAUCCAAAGUAUUCAAGCCACUUUUGCUGAUUUCCUUAAGAAAUUCGGGUAGUCGGUGCUUCCGAACAUUUUCUAGCUGCAUAGCUUAGACAUUUUUUGUGUCCUUUGAAAAAGGAAACUUAAACAGAUUCAUGCAAAUCACAUUGAACAUGUGGAUUUGAUGCCUUCCGUUUUUCAUGAUGGAUUCUUUGAAGACGGAAGAAUUCUUUACGAAAGGCCAACCGACGCGGAUUUUGAUCGCUUUACGGCAAGGAAUUAGGCAUGUGAAUGUCGUGGGGCCAUUUGUUUUGCGUUUUUGUUCCGAAAGGUAUGGGUGGGAAGGUAAAAUUCACAGGAGGAGAUUUGAAUGGGAAUAGGUCGGGGUGGGUUCGGUUCGGAACCUAACCGAAAUGCGCGGUCCAAAAACCAAAUCAGACCAAACAGUUGGAGAAGGUCAAAUCAACUUUCUUACAUGAGUAAAAAACCGAAACCGAAUUGAUUAUUUUGGUUUUCCGAUAUUCGGUAAUACUGAAAUGGUUUUUGUUUUUUCAAUUGUUGGGGCAUAGAUUACGGAUUGAAGUGAGAACAAUUACAAUUAAAAGACGUAAAAUCUAUAUUAUAUGUAGGGGUGCAAUUUUGGUUGGGUCAAUCCAAAUUCGUCCGAACCUAAUCUAACUUUGACCCCGAACAAGCGGGUAUUUUUUUUAGUUAUAACCAGUCCUAAUCCAACCCGAUUUGAACCCGUUUAUUAAUUGUGUUGAAUUGAGUUGAUUAUUUACCCGCCCGAACCCAACCCGAACCAAAACCCAUAUCCUUUCUAAUAUACAUUUUUUUUAAUAAAUUACCCCUCUAAACGGAGGCAUAUGCUUCUCAAUUGCCUCAUACCACCGCUCCGUUCCAGAUUGACAUGAUGUGGGUUCAUCUAUUGUAUUUUCUGAGUUCUCGGGUUCAUACAAUGGCGCCGAUGAAACUUUCUUCAUCCUUACGCAGUCCGAAAUAAAUGGAGCAUCAAGUAAUUUAUCAUCUAAAGGGUCUUGAGUUGGGUGUUAGCUUUGGACAAUGAAGUGUUCCUUUUUUUUUUUUUUUUUUUUUCUUUUUUGGUACUAGCUUUGGUAUUGUUUGUAUUUUAAUUCAAACUUUGCAUGAACCCGAUUAAAUCUUGAAAAAGUUGGGCAACCCAAAUCCAACCUAAGUAAAUUCGAACCUGAUUAAACCUAAGCCCGAAUGAACCCAAUCAAAACUCAACCCAAACUCGAACCCGAAUUGUAAAAGUUGGGUAGGGUUGGGUUGACCUUCCAACCCGCCCGAGUUGCAUCCCUAAUUAUAUGUACAGAUUUGGAUUCAUUUUUUAUGUAGGAAAGUUGACCAGGCCUUAACGAUCCCCGCAAUUAAUCCUUAAUUUUAUAAAAAAAAAUGAGGAUUCAUUCCCUUAACUGCUUCCUAUGUAUAUAUAUAUACACACACACUACGGUCUAGUGGUAUUCCUCUUAACUUGAAAGUGAGAGGUCUUAGGUUCGAAUCUCGUAGAUAGUGAAUUCGAUACCAAAUUAGGCUACUCAUUAUAUGGCUUAGCCAAACUCCGAAUUGCCCCUCCCCUUAGUGUAAAAAUAUUUGAUGUACUAAAAAAAAUUUCCAUUCAGUUCAGUCUUACCAAAGUAACCUAUGUGUUGAUAACCAAAUCAAAUGUGUAGGAGAAAUCACAGAUGUAUGAAGAAAAUCGCAAUGAUGAUGAACAAAGGAAGCAAGAAACUAAGAACUCUGGAGAGAGAAACGAGCGGAAUAUGAAAGAGUAAUUGUAUUGAAUGAAUCCAAAUGUAACAGAUUACAUCAGUUAUAUCCCAACAGUUCUAACUAACUUGCUUAUGUGGCAAUCCUCUACAUCUCUCCUUAUUUAUCCUUAUCAUGCUCUAACCAUUCAAUGAUUGCCACUUGAACAUUUCAGUUAUUUCCCCUCCCCCCCCCCCUUCAAUCUCAGCUAGGAUGUCCAAGAUUGAGAUUGAUACAAUGCUAUACAAAUGUUCGACUGUGUAAUCCUUUACUAACUUGCUUAUGUGGCAAUCCUCUACAUCUCUCCUUAUUUCUCCUUAUCAUGCUCUAACCAUUCAAUGAUUGCCACUUGUACAUUUCAAUUAUUAUGUGUCAUACCAAUACCUGACUAAAAUUUUCAAUUUCAAUUACCGAGUUUUUCAGUAUUUUCGGUUCAGUAUUGAUAUGGAUUAGGUCCGGUUUAAUUUUUUUCGAUUUUUCUUUUCCACAGGGGGAAUGGGUUUUGAAGGGAAUUAGGUUAACCCUCCACUAUGGAUUUGUUCACGAUAUCAAUAAGAAUUCAUGAGGCACCAAAUUAUUUAGAAUGCCCCAACCAUCAUAUCACUGCCAAGUACCUACUAAUUGACCACAAAUUGUUUUUAAACAAAAAUACUAUGAAACUAUUAAAAAACAUUGAUUGGAAGUGGUUAGUAGCCAAACCCCAUCAUCCCUUUUCCCAAAUCCUCACUUUGUUAGGUCUAAAACUCGUUUUCUCCUUUAUUCAUUGGCAAUUAGUCAUUAUAUUUUAACCAAAUCAAGGAUUUAGGAGUGUUAUUAAUUACCAUUUUAUUUCCUUUUGUGGUUGGAAGUCAACAAGAAGAAUCAUAUAAACUCACUUUUUGAAAAGAAAACAAAUUAAUUGUGAAAAAAUUACUUCUAAUUCUAACCCCAAAAAACACUCUUCGAUAUCUAACCUCAGACAAAAUUAUGGACCCGGCUUCUCUGCCCUAUACACUCUCAUCCCCUCUUAUUUUGUGCGGUCACGGUUAAGCCACGUCAACAUUUUAUAUUGAUUUUUUAUAGAGAUAAUAAGACAAAAAACAAUAAUGAUGUAAAAUGUUGACGUGGCUUAACCGUGACCGCACAAAUAUAAGAGGAUGAGAGUGUAUGAGAACUGGGAGGGCAGAGAAGCCAAGUCUCAAAAUUAUACCCACCCCCUAUCAGUUUUAAGUAUGUUAAAUACUUGCUCAUUUCUUUGGAAAAGGCAGAACUUUCUCCAUGUUUAUGAUGGAUUAUUUCUGCUUAUGCGUCAAACUGCGUUUUAUGGUGAAGAGCAAUGUGUUAAUGAUGGUUACGUUUGCACAUAUAUCAAACUGCGGUUUAAAAUUGGAGAGUUUUGUUAGAACCCAAAAAGAAAUACAUUCUAGAAGAAAUUAAACAACAAAUGGUCCCCAAACAAUUGAGCUCGUUAAGCUCUGUUUCUGACUCUAUACAAGUUCAUACACCUACUUUCAUUUUCUUACCCAAAAACAUACUCAAAUUCCUACCCCAAAACUACCUGCCUACAUUCCCAUCUGUUCAAGGAAACAGAGCCUCUUUGGUAGAAGUUGAUCUCUUGCUUUCCUCGUACUUUCCGGCCAGAGAAUCAAACAGAAAACCAGCUCCAACCCCCACGGCCAAGUCUAUCGUGUAGUGCCCUCUUGUCCCCAGCAGUCUCACCGAUUGCAGGACAUUGAGUGCAUCGAAUGUCCACGCCAUUUCCCACCUCUGCAUUCUUCUCAUAUCCAAGGAUGCAAUCACAGACCCGGCUACAUGCCCCGAGAAGAAGAGGAAAAACGACACAUUCCCGACUGGGAAGUCCGCUCCUGACCCCAAAAACCCCUGUCAAAACAUGGAUUAUUACACAAUGCGCAAAAUGUGAGGUUUAUUUAUGCGCGAUGCAUAACGAUUGUGUGGCUAUUACCUGAGGCAAUGGAAGUUGGGUGGCGUAGCCGAGGAUGCCCCGGCACGUGAACAUGAAGACGGCCGCGAUUGUGGGUCUUGGGCGGCCCUCUACUAGCCAUGCCCAUAGUAUAUACGUGGUCUGCAUUGCCACAAACACCUGGAGUACCAGGAACCAAUUCAACACUAAACAAGACAUAAAAAUGCCUUUCAAUUUUGAACUACUUGGUAGCACAUCAAAUGUCCCCAAAAACCCAAAACUUCAAUCACAUCAAUGACGGAUAAAUAAAUAAAUAAAUAAACAGAAAUAUUUUUUUGUCAGACUGUCAAUCUGGUCCACCGACGAAGUAAGAUUUUUCAUUUUCCCUAAAUGUGGUGUCUAAAUUCAAAAGGUGAUAAGCUUACCCAAAACAUAAGUGGAAAUGCACGCUCUGUCAGAAAUGCCAUUUUGUUCUUAAUAUGACAAAAUACCCCAAUUGCCCAAAAAAUGCCAAAUUUAUUCGAUUAAAUUCACAAAAAUAUACAACUGUAAACAUAUCAGGACAAAAUUAACCAAACCCAGAACAAAAAAACGACGGAGAAAAAUACAGACUACAACACAAACCCAGAAAAUUAAAACGCAAUUAGAGUUAGCAAUUUAGUACCGUGUUAAGACCAGCGAGCAAGGUGUUAAGCUUGGGCUUGGAAGCCAGGAGGAGGUGGAGGGAGCGGGUGGUGACGAACCCGAUAUCGAACGGCGGCGACGACGACGGCACCAUCCGGAGCGUGUACUCCACGCCCAUGAAGAAGAGGACCCCCAUUGCGAAGAGGCAGGGUAUCCAAUGGUGUUUGGCCACGUGGACGGCGUCAUGCAGCCUCCACGUCAUGAAGGAGGCCUUGCCACCGCCGUUGAGGUUGAUCUUCUUGGCCUUGGAAGAAGAAUACAUCGCCUCCUCCUUGUGGUCUGCGGGCGAAGGGGAAACGACGCGAAUGGGCUUGCCGUUUGGGACCCUUUUGCGCCUAGGCUUGAGGGAUGAAACGGCGCCGUUCAUUGUGAGUGGGGUUGGGGUUAAAGAGGCUUUUGGGGCAAGCGAGAUUGCGGGAUGUGGUGAUCUAUAUAUAACUAGAGGUUUAGAUAUUUCUCUAAACAGGAUUAGAAUUGUUAAUUGGAAAUUAGAUUAAUUUAAAUGGAUUGUUAAGUGACGGGGAGAGCGGAGCAUCCAAUGUGGAAAAGGGUUGGAACUUGGAAGUUGAGAGAAGGUGAGAUCUGAAAAUCUGUAGGUGGCAGACUAAAGGAAAGGGUACGAGCGUGUUGGUGAAGGGGACACGUGGUCAUCAAGCGUUGUAAUAUGCGACUCGUGACUUGUGAAAUAGGGAGACUAACAUGGUCCAGAACAUCGUCACCAUGAUAUUAUAUGUCAAUAAAGAAGUAUGUAUAAGUUUUUGUUCUUAUGUUUUUAUUUUAUUAGCAUGUACUAUCACGUGGUGGUAUAUUUGUAAUAAGCAAAUUGUUUUUGUGAAAAAAAAAAAAUUGUUUUUGUGAAAUAAGGAAUCAAUUUAUGUGAGACGAGUUAAUUAUCAUUGGACCUGAAAAUUUUACUCAUUGAACCUGAAAAUUUUACUCAUAAGGAAUCAAUUUAUUUGUCUCAUCUCUUUAAUAGAUAUGAGACCCUACAUGCAUUGACGAACCCUACCUUUAUUAGAGAGAUGAUAUAAAUUAUAAUAAAGUAGGUGGUAAGUGUAACAUUACUCCUUGAAAAAUGUAUUUUUCCUGUUGAUAAGCGUUGUGGCAUUGUUAAGGUGUUUUAGACUUUAGCAUUUAGGGAUGAUGAUGGUGUGUCAUGUGUUUUAGCCUUUUGUAAUAGUAAUUUAAAAAUAUUUUUGCGCACCAUUCUAAAGUGACGGUGAUGCUCAUCAAUUUAGUAAUUACUGUUAGAUAAAUUUGAUUUAUCAAAUCUACUAAACAAAUCUCGAAACUUAAACUUAUCAACUGGAAAAUUCAUCAUUGGUAAAGUCACCAAUCCAACCGAGUCCAUUAUGAUGAAAGAAAUACGGUUUCGGAAUAUGCGUGGAGAAAAGAAUAUGAAACCUUAAGUCUUUCAUCCCAAUUAAUACCACCUACCGUGGAGAAAAGAAUAUGAAACCUUAAUCCUUUCAUCCCAAUUAAUACCACUUGAUCCUUUCAUCCCAAUUAAUACCACCUACCGUGGAGAAAAGAAUAUGAAACCUGAAUUCUUUCAUCCCAAUUAAUACCACCUACCUAUCACCAUCCACCAGACCUUAGAGAAAAAGACUUUCCUUCAAAAGCAUUCGUCUAAAACAACAAAGCACUAACUACAGUUUAACAACGAAAACAAAAUAGAACACUGAAACACAUGCAAUCAAUUUCUUACGAUAAAGUCUCGCUGAUGAAGAUUACGGACUUAGUAGGUACGUAUAGCUUUCCCCGUCGUACUCUUCGGGCCGUUUAGUGGGUUGGAAAGGAUAAGCUCGCAUUUAAGAUUGGUUAGGCUAAGGUUGGAAACUGUUGUUUGGUGUAAAGUAACAACCCAUUGCUCCAACGGACCUACGACGCCCUUCCGAUGACCCCACGAGGCAAGGGCUUUUGACGACGAAUCUGGAGAAAGACGAGAUCGCUGCUCAUGACGAGUGAGGUCUGGAGAUCGCUGCUCGCGCAUAUGGGAUUUGCAUCCCGUGUGUGAAGUUGAAUUAGAUAAUCCACUUUAUUUUAGAUUCAUAACCUAUCAUGUCUCUUCCUGUUCAAAAUAUAUUUUGACAGAGCAAAUUACAGAGGCGUGGGGACGUAGUGUUUCUUAGCAUCUCAAUUUACCAGAUUUGUGCAUGGCGGUUUCACAAAGAUUGGUAAUUGAAAAACGUAGUGUUAUACCUGGGAAAGCUAAUUAAAGUACAGUAGCUAAUCAAAGCAUGUUAGUUUUGCAGGGACGGUGUAUGCUCUCACCAUAUUAUGAAGAAAUGAACACGCAUAACACUAAGUAAUGAUUAAUUAGUAAAGAGAACUGCACACAAUUCUAAUAUUGAUCAAUUAAUAAGUAAAUAAUAAAAAACUUCACACAUGAUGGGUUCCAUGCAGUGCAUGCACAUAAGAAAUUAAACUGAAACUGAAGACGACCAAUCCUGUAUGUUUUACAGCUGCCUCUCCUCUCGGUGAAACAAUUCACAGUUUACACAAAUUAUCAGGCUAAUAGUAAUUCAUAUACGGGAAAGCGUAGCGGAAUAUUCUAAAACCAACUUUGGUUGCCGUCAAUAAAAGUCGAAGCAGAUCAAGUUGUUUGACAAGCAAAGUAUUUGGAAAUAAUACCUCUAGCAAUCUUUUUCAAAAGAAAUAUUAUAGUGUCUUAAUCGCUAGAAAUGAGAAAUAGGGCAAUGAUUUCACCAUUGCUUUCUUCUUCUUAUUUCGCCUUAAAUUCCUUUGUGUCGUUUGGGUUCUUCUCCAUGUCGAUUGGAUUCAAUAAAUCAAACAAAAUUAUGAACAGAGUCUUAAAUUUGUUUCAUAAAAAAUAAAAGAAAUUUUUCCUAAGAAAUAAAUGAAAAUCAGAAUACACAAAGAUAUAAAGAUAUAAAAACUACAGACUGGUCAUUCACAAAGUACUUGAAAUUAACAUAUAUUCUUACAGGCAGACGUAAAGGAAAAGACAUUUGGAGCACGGACUGUAUAGGAUUGAAAGUUAACAGGAACAACUUGAAAACCAUGUAAAUAAGCACAACCUAUUUAUACCCCAACAUAUACAAAAACUCCAAAAUAUUACACAAAAUAUUAACCUCUCCAAAUGGCUAUAGAAUUAGUUAAUUCUUUCAGGGGUUUGGUUCAGCUACUAUUGCAAACCUCGUCACUCGGAUUAUGUCCGUAAGAGAAAUGAGGCCCUUGAGCAAGCCUUGUUGAUCCACAACCCAAACUCGGUGCACUUGUUUGGUGACCACCUUGUCAAUCACUUGACCUAAGGGCGUAUCGGAUUGACAUACCACCAGUUCCCUCGACGUUGGACCCGCUGUGUUCGAUGCUAUUGAUGCCAAUAGAGGGUUUGCAAAGACAGUCUCCGUAUAGUCCAGGGCACUCAUCGGCAGCCAUGUUUUCAGUGUCGCAAAGUGGCAACCCCUCAAAUCCGUUGCCGAAAAUGUUCCUAUAACCUCCCUACCAAAGCCCUGCGGUCAAAGGCAUAAGAAAAAUCAUUGCCACUAAACUUAUACUCCCACGUGUUAGUUGUAGACAUUUAAUGACCACGUUAUUGACAACUUCUCUAAUAGUGGUGACCCCAAGUAUUAGAGUAUACGUGGUCAAAUAUCCUCGACAAAACAUCAUUCGUACUUGUAUUACACCAAAGUAGGAUUAGCCACUUGCAAUAUGAACCAAUCAUUUCAAAUAGUACAUGUCGCAAACAGAAAAAGAGAAAAUUAAAGUUCAAUGAGACGUACAUUUACAAGCUGCUUGUGAUCUUCUUCAUUGUCGGCGUCUGAGGAUCUGACAAUCGGAACAGCAUUCAGCAAAGCUAUCCGCAUGCACUUGAUGGCAUCUAUAACCUUUGUGCGGUCAGUAAUGGCGAAAACUCGUUCAGUUACCACUCCCAAAUCAGACACCGUCCGUGAUAGAAUGCCAUCGAGUUCGGAUCCGGAGCUGGCAUGUUCCUUGAGGAACUUCAACACAUCCAUUUGGGUGAGCAUCCGGUAGCUGGAAGCGGAUUCCACAAGUUCAACUCCAGCGACGUUGUCCAUGUGGCUGUCUACGGGUACCAAAGCACGGUGUAUUCCCUUGCUAAACACUUCCAUACAGUCUACGAUGCUAAAGAUGGAAAGUGGUUAUAGUUAUAAUUCAGAGAUUGUGAGCAAUAUCCCACAAUUGCAUUAACCCCAAUUUUUUGUCAUUUCAAAAAUAACUCAUUGUGGCUGACCUAGUAGAACUGACUGUAAAUCUAAUCCACACAACUCUGAGCCUAGGAGAGAUGGUAACAUAACAUGUUUUACAAGAGAAAAAUUGAUGUAUAAUAACAUGCAUGCUCUUAAUGAAAUGGGUACAAAAGGAUCAUGUGACAUUUGCUAAAAUUCAAAAUUAAAAAGAAAUUAGUCACCUUGUGUUGGGGUUUAGUGUCCACAAGCUUAAACCCUCAAGGCAUUGCCCUAUGAUCGUAGACACCGGAACUGACAUCUUCUGAUCAAGAUCAAACCCAUCAUUAACUCCUUCAUCCAUCAGCUGAUCUUCAGUCCCUGCAAUAUGAGCCAAGAUAUCAAGCAUGGUCGCCAAUCCUAUAUAGUGCUUCCGCACAGUCCCGGUCUGCUUGUCAGCUUCCACGAUCAUAGAACCACCGGCUCCAAUCCACUGGCCCGGCGGUGCCGCCACAGGCACGGCCAGCACCUUGUUCGCCACCAAAGCGUUCAUGGUAUGGGCAAGAGUCGCCGUGUACGGCACCUCCACGAGCCUCCGCUUGUUAACCAUCAGGUCCCCGACCUUCUUGUCUCUUAGCCGCUGAGUUUUACUCUGAUCAGCCUCAUGAGAAGGUUGCUUGGCGGUGGCGGUGCCGGUGUUGUACUGCUCCUUUGUUUGCUGCAUUUUGUUUAUUUUUUGUACUGAAUUUUGUGCAAGGAAAGUGGAAGAUAAGGAGGUGGUGUUAUUGAUAUUUAUCUGUAAGAUGGGUGCUUCGGACAUGGUGGUACGUGUCGAAGUCAGAGCUGCGGCUGUUGCAUGGCUGUGUUUGUGUAGCCACGUUAAGGGAAAGUAUAGGACUCAGUGGCAUAACACCUGUCACGGUCACAAAUUAUAUAUGAUGCUAGAAAAGUGUAGAACAAGAUUAUACCUAUAUUUGGAAGCUCAAUGGUUGUCGGAGAUGGCCGGAAAAUAAUCUGAAAAGUGACUGGCUUGCGGGAAAACUAGAAAACUUGCCGAAAACUGGGUAAAAUUUAAACGUUCAUAACUUCUUCAAUACUCAAAGAUAUCGAGUGAUUCAAAAACGAAAAUCAUACUUCUUACCGAGACGAAGAGAAUGGUACAUUUCUAGAUGGCUAAUUCGCCGUGGUUUGGCCGGAAAACUGUUUGAAAGUGGCUAACUCGAGACCAAGAUAGCCACUUUCGAGCCGUUUUCCGGCCAAACCACGGCAAUUUAGCCAUCGAGAAAGAUACCAUUCUCUUUGUCUCGUCGAGAAGUAUGAUUUUCGUUUUGAAUCAAUCUAUUUCGUUGAGUAUUGAAGAAGUUAUGAACGUUUAAAGUUUACCCAGUUUCCAACGAGUUUUCCAGUUUUCCCGUGAACCAGUCACCUUUUAGGCUAUUUUCCGACCAUCUCUAGAAACCAUUGGGCUUCCGAAUAGGUAUAAUCUUGUUCUACAUUUUCCUAUCUUCAUUUUGAUAUAUUAUGGGUCAAAUUUGAUUAAGAAAUGAUUGAGUUACGAAGCUUUGAAAAUUGUCCAAACUUUCAGCUAAGAGCUCAAGGACACUUGAGUUUUUAAUAGAAGUACCAAAAUAAUGGAUGGUGGACAAUCUCAGGGACCAUUUAUAUUGAUUUUCAAUCUCAAGGACCAAAAUGAUGUGUUAUGCAAAUUUCAAGACCAUUUUGGCUAAAAAGCCUUUUAUUUUUACAUUAUGUAUCAUCUUAAUUUCUUGUUGUGGAUUACAAGUUGUAUUUUAUCAUCUUAGCUUCUGAUUCCGAGACAAAAUGUUUCAAAAUAUUCUGCCCAAUUUAAAUCCGAAAUCGAAAUUCGAAAACUUGCCUAACUCUAUAUAAGAAUUGGAAAAUGUCAAAUCCGAUAUGAAAAUUUUCCAAAACUUGCCUAUUACAUACACUCACUCAUGCAUUAUAGGAUAUGUUUCAAUUGUUAUUGCUAUACAACGUCCUUAAAUAUGAUUUUAUUUUCUCAUUUACAAUUCUCAUGAGUAUAUAACAUACCUGAAAUGAGAACAACAAAAAAGUAUAUUAUCAUAUGUAAAGAGAGUCAUGGAAAUGAAAUACUUUUGAGCUUGAUAUAUAGAUAAAGAGUAAUGCUAGAGAGAUUAUUUGUAAACAAAAUUUUGAAAACUAAAGGACGUGGAAGUUGAUGGUGGGUUGGAUAGGUUUUACUCCUCCUAGGAUAAUGGGCUACAAGUUUCAGGUGGUGGAGUCAGUCGCUACUAAGCAAUCUGCUGAGAAAAAAAAAUAGGGCCGCUAAAACCUAAGAAUUUUGCGUCCUUGCACCACUACAUGUGGUGGUUUAUUAAGGAGGUUCUUGGGUGAGUUUUGUAGAUAGAAGUAAGGAAUUUAAUUCUAGGUAAAUGGUGUCUAUCGAUUCCGCCAGACAUGGCUGGAAUUCAAGUCGAAAGUCCUGAAGGAAAUGGGCUAGUGAGAAAUUUAACCCUAAACCUUAAACACUCAAUUUUGACGCUCGAAACUUCUUCGUUCUAACUCGGAAUCAAGCACCGUUUAUGCCUAUGCACUCGUGGAAUCUAUCUAUUCAUUUUAAACCACUUCCAAAAUAAUAAAAUAAAUAAUAAAUUUCGGGAGGGGAUAUUUAGUUUCAAGUAGCUAUAUGUAGCAUGAAUAUGCAUGGACUUUGUUAUUAUCCUAGGGGCCAUUUGAUAACCCUUUUUUUUUUUUUUAAUUUUUGGUUUUCAUUUUUCACUUUUUUUGAAAAUUGAAAUCUUGUUUGAUAAUUACUUUCACUUUUCAAAAAAUAUGAAAAAUGACAAUAAAAAGGUGAAAACUCAAGGCCAAUUUUGAAAACUUAAGAAAACAGUUUUCAAUUUGUGGUUUUCAGUGAUAACCUUUUUUUUUUUUUUGAAAACUGAAAGUAGUUACCAAACAAGAUUUCAGUUUUCAAAAAAGUUUAAACAAAAACUAAAAAUAUAAUGGUUAUCAAACGCCUCCUUAGUUAACGUAGAGUAGAAUCUAGUGUAAUCAAACAGAUAGACUAAUUUAUCUGAACUUUCCCACAAACACAUAUAAGAAAAAGGAAAAAAAGGCCAUAGGGAUCAACUUAAAACUACAACUUGAGGAUACUACAAAUUCGGAGAAGAAAAUUGAGGGAUGCCUCAACAAUGUUUGACGAGUGGUUGGCCACUGAAGUGCCAAUUGCCCAUUCUUCAAACGUGUCUCAGAUGGCGUAACUGGGGUUGGCAAGGGCUAUAUAAUAGCUUGUUUGUGUGGCCCUGUGGUGCAUAACAAGUGCAAAAGAGAAUGCCCCAAGUGAAGUGUUUCGACAACACGACACUUUGGAAUGCCCGAAGUUGAUAGCAUGAGCAAAAGAGAAUGCGAAAGCGGAGUUGAUCUUGUUUAUCUAAUGACACAAUCCUGCUGAGCUGAGGAUUGGGAUGUAUGAAUGUUGCAACUGCUGUGUUGUUUAAGGAUGUCAUUUAAUGGCGGUUGUUUAAUUUCCUCUUUAUUUUCUUGAUUUUGACCACAUAUGUCAUGUCUGUCUUGGAAUAAGCUAGCAAGCUCCGUCGUCAUUCAUGGCUAGCGGUGGUGGAUAGAUACAAAUAUCCGAAGAGUUUAUAGUGGGGAUUUCUAAGCAUGUUGGGUUCACAAUUAUGUAAAAUAUAUGCCAAAGGUUGUUUGCAUAUAUCAGCUAGUGUUUAGUUAAUGGGGAAUAAGUAAAUGUCGCAAUGAUGUAAUUGUUUUGCAAAAAUCAAUGUUUUAAAGUAUGUUGAGGCAAAACUGACGACUGGGAAGAGAUGAUUGCUCCUGCUAAGUGGGGUAAGCCGGCGAUGGGAUUUGUGAAGCACUGAAGGACGGAGGUGAAUUGUGACGGCGCAUGGAUUUCUUCUUUAUAUCACAGGGAGGAUUUGGUUAGGUUGCACGAUCGCUGGUUAGCUGCUUCGUUGCUGUUGGUGGGCUAGAGGUUUCCCAUGUUGUUCUAGCAUUAUGGCGGAGAUGGACGCUAUUAGGGCUGGUCUUACAGAGUAGAGUGUGUGGAACAAGGAUGGCUAAAACUGGAGACAAAGACGAACGCGAAAGUAACUAUGGACGUUUACCAAAUAAAAAAAAAUGUAACUAUGGACAUGCCAAUGAUGGAUGAAAUCUUGGAUACGUCAAUGGAAGGAAUGGUCCAUAACAUCAAAUUCUUGGCUUCACAUUUAUAUACUAUAGUUUUUAAGUUUGCUUUUCAGCUGCGUUUGCUGUUUGAGAAAACGGUGGCAUUUCAUGCAAUAGGUCUAACCCUAUAUGGAUCUUUGCACUACCAGGAAAAAGGUCUACAGAUAUGGAAUAGGUCUACAGAUGUGGAAACGUCUCUACUUGUGUUUAUAGAGACUGUCUCCUUAAUCGAUAGAGAAAUGCAGAUACAAUUUGGUGAGACAACGUACGUUACCGCUGGGCUGGUAGCUAACUAGGUAUAAAGAACGUGCAUGUAUGAACUGUAAACCACGUACUACGAAUCCCUUCCUCUCAAUUCCGGCCUCUUCUCCCUCCCUCCCUCUCUCCCUCCCUCUCCUAUUGGAGUUCUCACUAAUUUUCUCUAAUAUUAUUGGUUGUCAAGUCAAAUAUAUUGAUCUUGAAACUGAGAAAAUAAAUAAAUAAAUAAAAAGAAGGCUACUUGCUAGACCAAAAACUUGAAAGAUAAAAUGAAAACAAGGUCAUCUUAUUAACUAGGCUUUUUAGCCAAAAUGGUCCCUGAGAUUUGCAUAACAUAUCACUUUGGUCCCUGAGAUUGAAAAUCAAUAGAAAUGGUCUCUGAGAUUGUCCACCAUCUAUUAUUUUGGUCCUUCCAUUAAAAACUAUGUUAAGUGUCCAGAGCUCUUGGUCGGAAGUUUAGGCAAUUUUUAAAACUUCGUAACUCAAUCGUUUCUUAACCAAAUUCGACCCAUAAUAUAUCAAAAUGAAGAUAGGAAGGUGUAAAACAAUAUUAUACCUAUUUGGAAGCCCAAUGGUUUCUAGAGAUGGCUAGAAAAUAGCCUGAAAGGAGACUGUUCCGCAGGAAAACUGGAAAACUCGCCGGAAACUGGGUAAACUUUAAACUUUCAUAACUUCUUCAAUACUCAACGAAAUUGAGUGAUUCAAAAAUAAAAAUCAUACUUCUCGACGAGAAAAAGAUAAUGGUGCCCUUAUCGAUGGCUAACUCGACGUGAUUUGGCCGGAAAACGGCUCGAAAGUGGCUAACUCAACGACCAAGACAGCCCCUUUCGAGCAGUUUUCUGGACAAAUCACAGCGAGUUAGCCUUCUAGAAAUGUACCAUUCUCUUUUUCUCAUCAAGAAGUAUGAUUUUUGUUUUUGAAUCACUCGAUUUUGUUGAGUAUUGAAGAAGUUAUGAACGUUUAAAGUUUACCUAGUUUCCGGCGAGUUUUCCAGUUUUACUGCUGACCAGUUACCUUUCAGGCUAUUUUCCGGCCAUCUCCGGCAACCAUUGGGCUUCCAAAUGGGCAUAAUAUUGUUCUACACUUUUCUAUCUUCAUUUUGAUAAAUUAUGGGUCGAAUUUGGUUUAUAAACGAUUGAGUUACGAAAUUUUGAAAAUUGUCCAAACUUCCGGCCAAGAGCUUUGGGAACUUAACGGAGUUUUUAACGGAAUGACCAAAAUAAUAGAUGGUGGACAAUCUCAUGGCCCAUUUCUAUUGAUUUUCAAUCUCAGGGACCAAAGUAAUCUGUUAUGCAAAUUUCAAAGACCAUUUUAGAUAAAAAGCCUAUUAAAUUACUCGCUGCAAAUCCUCUUUGGUCUUAUUUGGUAUAAAGGUUGGAUUAAAAUGGAAAACUUUCUAAAUUCAAGGCACAAUAGGUAGAAAAAAAUGACUUUUCUUUUUGAGAUGAUUAGAAAGGAUUAAACAUGAAGGAAACUUCUCAAUUUUUGUCCUACCAUUUUGAAAAUGAUUCGAACCAAUAAGUUUUAUUCAUAGUAAUCAUUCUUCUACCCCUAAGUUGGUCAAACAUUUUCAUUUCUUCUUCAAACAUAUCUUGAUUAAAUAGUCUCUUGUCGUUACAAUCUAGUGCUAUAUCCCAAACUUUGUCUUUGUUUGGUUCUCCGAAGCUCUUUUCCUUUUUAAUCUCCUGGUAUAUCUUCGUCUAAUCGCCUUCUCCGGCUUACACUAUGCAACAAGCUAGUGAGAGAGAGAGAGCUUGAAAAUUUUGGAGAAUAAGACCAUCUCUAAAGGAAAUGUCAAAUCCUAAGUGGAAUAUUAUGUAAUCAAAUUUGAAGGUAAAAGCAAGCUCCAAUAGAUAUGUCAAUUUUAUGUGGAUUGACAUAUGAGUUUUCAUAUGUCAAAUUUGACAUAUGAAAAAAGGUGAUGUUAAAUAAUUUUUAAUUAUUUUAUUAUGCAUGUCUCAUUAAUGCACCAAUUAUAGAUAUUGAAAAUAUAGUUUAAUUGAUUUCUUCUUAAAAUGGGUCCUAUAAAUAUAAUUUAUAAUAAAAAAAACAUAUCAGUUAGAAAAAGAAAAAAUCUAACAUUACCAUGACAGCCAUCAAAUUAACAUUUUAAAAUUUAUCUUUUGACAUCUCCUUUAUAAAUAUUCUAAAAAAAAUGGAGCUGAUUGGGCAUUUCUUUCUUUGCAACAUUGCUCUGCUCUGUGUGUCAGUAUACAAAGUGAAGCAUUUCCACAACAAUUAAUGUAACAAAUUUCAGUGUCUCCGCAACCCCAAAAAAAUACAAAUAAAAAUUUGGUAUAAAUCCCGUGAAGCACAUUAAUGCACAAAAUUUCAUGUAUUUAUUUCCACUUUGUCACACUAGAUCAGUAGAGCCCCAUUUCCCGUGAACCCAUAAAUACCUCAUUCACCAACCCGACCCAAAUAACAUUAACUCCCCCCAACGUACUCAAACCUUUAUAUAUACCUCCCGACUGCCACUCACACUCAUCCACUCCCAGACUUAGUCCAAACUUCUUCUUACAAUGGCUCCCAUCUUCUCACCCCUACUCCUAUUUCUAUCUUUCUUGUGUUUUUUCACAUUAGGGGCCAUGCCUUUCACCGUCAUCAUGUCGGAUUCCGGCGUGCCGUCCGACCUUGUGGACGGACCACAAAACGGGUUCUCCAUGAACAAAGACGGAGCCCGAACCGAUGCCCGUGAGCAAGAAGCGGUCUAUGACAUCAUGCGGGCAACAGGAAAUGAUUGGGCCACUGAAAUUCCUGACGUGUGUCGUGGCCGGUGGCACGGCAUUGAGUGCAAGCCCGACAAGGACAACGUCUACCACGUCGUUUCACUCUCUUUCGGGGCCCUAUCCGACGACACCGCAUUCCCGACAUGCGACCCGACCCGGUCUCAUAUUUCACCCUCCAUCACUAAACUUCCUUACCUCCGGACCUUAUUUUUCUACCGUUGUUUAACCUACAAUCCUCAGCCCAUCCCAUCGUUUUUGGGGCAUUUGGGUCCCACACUUCAGACAUUAGUUCUUAGAGAAAACGGGCAUAUGGGUCCUAUUCCUAUUGAGUUGGGCAAUCUCACCCGUUUAAGUGUCCUUGACCUCCACAAAAACAAUCUCAACGGUUCAAUUCCAGUGUCCUUGGGCCGGAUCACCGGUCUGAGGUCGUUAGACCUAAGUGGAAAUACGCUAACCGGUUCAAUACCCAAUUUUACCUUCCCAAUUUUGAGCAUCCUUGAUCUGAACCAAAAUCUUCUAAUGGGUUCAAUCCCAUCCAGCAUUGGAGCCUGUCAUGCCCUAAUCAAAAUGGAUUUGGGCCACAACCGCCUCGCAGGCCCACUUCCCGACUCCGUGGGCGGCCUGAAAAGCCUUAUGCUGAUGGAUUUAAGCUACAAUCGACUCAAGGGUCCACUUCCAAUGUGGAUUCGAAGCUUAAUCUCCCUUCAAACCUUGAUCCUCAAGGGAAACCAAAUGGGGCCCACCCCAAUUCCAAGUGACUUGUUUGAUGGUAUGAAGGGGCUAAUGACACUAAUUUUGUCAAACAUGAAUUUGCAUGGUCCUCUACCAGCAUCAUUAGGUCGGUUGCCGAGCCUCCGCGUGCUUCAUCUCGACGGGAACAACUUCAACGGCUCAAUCCCAGCUAGUUUUAGGGAGCUGAAAAAUGUGAGUGAAUUGAGAUUGAAUGACAAUGUGCUAAUGGGUCCAAUCCCAUUUGGAAGAGAAAUGGUUUGGAGGAUGAGGAGGAAGCUAAGGCUCUAUAACAAUUCUGGGCUAUGCUACAAGUCUAAUAGUGGGUUGGAAGACAAUUUAGACUCGUCAUUCAAUUCUGGCAUUGGUACAUGUGGUACACCGAGACCGUAAAAACUCUCUGCCUCGUUUGUUACAUCGAAGUGUUCUGACUCAACGUUUCAUUUAAUAUAGUUUAAAGAUCUUGAGCUCUAAUUUUAUCGUUGUAGUUAAUAAUAUAUAUUGUAUAGUUUAAGUGUGUAGUACUAUUUUUGUUUAUCCCAAUAAAUAAGUUUAAUUAAUAUUUUGGUUGGUGAAUUACCUACUUUUAAUUAUAUUUCAAGGUCUUUGCCUCUUUUGUGGUAUUAGCUGGGUUUGGUUGCGAAAGGAUCAUCUGAUAUGUAGUAUCUUUCUCCUUCAUCUCCCUUUAUUCUGUGUACAUUGGUAGGAAGAUGUCUAAUAAAGAGUCAAAAAUAACCUUUUACUCUAAAUUUUUCGGUGCAUUGAAAAUAACUUAGCAUAUUUUUUUUUAGAAUACAUCCAUAUUUUUACAUUAAGGGAAGAUAGGGUUUCGCUAAGCUAUACAAUGAACAACUUAAUUUGGUACCGAAUUCACCAUUCAUGAAAUUCAAACAUAAGACCUCUCACUUCCAAGUGAAGAGGAAUAUCACCAAACCGUAGUACUAAGUGGCAACUUAUCAUAUGUUACUAGGAAAUACAAUCUUUUUUUAUACAAGUGUAUUCUAAUUUAAAUUUAUUUGCAUUGUGAGGAGGGAAAUUCGAACUUAAGUGCAUAGAAAGAGCACAUUUGUUUUAACCAACAUGACUACGCCCACAUGUGCUAUGUUACAUGGAAUACAAUAAAAAACGAAAAUAGAAAAUAGAAAAGAAGGAGAAGGCGAAGAAAGUUGAGAUACGUUCUGACAUAAAACUAAUUGACAAUAUAAACACUUUAUUUGAUGUGGAAUUAAUACUCCCAAACAGAAUAUAUUCCAAUCAACGACAAGUUGAUCUACAAACUACCAAACAAAUGAAGAAGAAAUAAUGCAUUACAUAUAAUCCAAGAAUAGCAGUGCAUCCUUCUAGAACUGUCACUCCAUAUAAACCUUGAUCGACAACUGCCAAAUUUUAUGAAAGCUCCAAUCAGACAAAGGUUUGUCUUCUAGGACUAACAAAAAACACCGCCACUUUGGUACGGCAUCGACUUGUAGGUUACCAUUUUUGACUUUUAGUUUAGUAAAUUUUAAGUUAGAUUUGGAUAAGAGAUUUUUCAGUGUGCUCAGAACAAGAGACGAUAUAUCACAUUUAAUUAUAUAAUUUGAGAGAUACUUGAAAUAAAAAAAAAAAAAAAUUCCACCACUUAUAUAAUAAUAUGUGACAUAUUGCCCCGUAUUCUGAAUACAUCGAAAAUCUCUCAACUUAAGUAAGGCUAUUGUCCUCAACGUGUUAAGACUUAGAGCAGUUCCACCGGGGAACUGAUAGGCCAACACCCAGCCAAAAAACCAGUCCGGCACCCAGGCUAUCCACUCCAGCUUAGCAUUUUGACCAGCACCCAUCCCAAGCCAGGCAAGAGACCGGCCUAAAAUCGACAGACCCACAUGCCGGGCCAUCUGAUGUCAGCUGGGCCAUCAACCUCCUGCACGAUCAACGCGUCGCAUAGACAUCUUGGUGCAGAGCUCCUCGAGGCUGAGGUUGAAGAAGACCCAUUUGCAGGCGAAGCAAAGGGCGGCGAGGAUGGGGGUUUGGGGGCCUUCGACGCCUUCCUCGAGGCUAAGGUUCAGAGAGAGAGAGAGAUAGAUCCCUUCCACUGUGUUCUUCCCAUAUCCCUUCAUCUUGUUAAUGGGUUUCUUUCUUCUGCACAUUGGAGGGGAGCGGUGGGGGAGCUUCUGAGGCAAAGACAGGGGAGGGGAGUGGAGAUGCUUUUGUUAAAAAUUAAAUUAUUAUUUUAUAAUAAAAAUUAAUAAUAUUUUAAUAAAAUUGAGUAGGGUAUUUGGUUUUAGGGGUAGAGAUGCUUUGGCCUAUUACUGUUUACUGGAGUCUAUUACUGUUCGCUUAAGUGGAUAAAUGAACUGAAUGUUGACACAAAAUCUUUAGAAAUGAAAUUACUCUUACGUUUCACCUUACAAAAAAACAUAUUGCUUUUUGCACCGUAAGCGUAAUCACAUCACCAUGUUCAUAGUAUUUAAAUUUUUGUCGCUUUCUCGAAGAGAUUUUAUAUAAUUUUGGCUAAUUAUUAUUGUCAUCACUUGGGUUGUGGUACUUUUUAAAGUUUUUUUAUCAAUUAUUUAUAGGUAGAGAUGGAGAAUCAACUCGUUCCAGCCACUUUGGCAUAUCCUAUUACUUAUUUGAUGCUUCUUCUUGCAUUAGUAUUGUAGGGGAAUUUCGCAAACAACAAGAGUCAAUGAAGUAGUUCAAUUUUAAAAUGCAGCGUAAUAUGAACAAUUAAAAGUUAAAAAUCACUUUGAAAAAUAAUUACAGAAAAGUUAAAACCUUCUGGGGGCAGAUGAAAUGGUUGAUUCGUAUUGGUAAAUCAAUAAUUAUUCACCAACGAUCAUUUGGUUUAGUGAAAGUUGUUUUCACUUGGUUCAAGAAAGUUUUGACUUUUGAGAUCGACUGAACAAUAUUUCCACAAAAUAAGGUGUUAGCUGUUAGUAUUAUUUUGUCAUUAGUAUGUGAUAUUUCUCUUUAUUUAUAAAUGAAAAAUUUUAAAUUCGAUUCUCGUCAAAGACGAAUUUGAAUCACAAAUAUUGCUAUUUCAUUACUCACCCCAUUCCUUUUAGUGUAAAUAGUAUUAUUUGUUUUUUUUAAAGAAAAAAGGGUGUUAGUAUUAUUCCACUAGGGCAAGUAAAAGGUUUUGAACCAAUUCACCAUCUAUCAUAUAGUUUGAAGGAGAAUGUGAAAUCUCUUGCUUUUUGGAUAUUCUUCCUUCUUAUUGCAAUCAUGCAAUGUUAUCACAUCUUUUUUUUCUAGAUCAAUGACACAAAUGACACAUUCUUUAUAUACCAGUGAACUUGAUAAUUUCUUAUUUCUUGUGGAUGAAUAAGGUCAGAAGAGGAUCAUACAGAGAACAAAUAAAACAUUAGCACGUCAUUAACAUCUUAAAAUUUGUUGUCUCUAAUAUUACUCUUAUGAGAUAGCACCAUCUUUUUUGAAUUUAUCUAUAGAUAGUGAAAAUGAGACUAUUUCAAAACAUUUUGUACAACUUUUGGUUGAUUUUACAUACUAAACUAGAUACUAACUUUUGUAGACGUCAAAACAAAUCAAAUAUUUGGGUGAGUAUAGAUUAGCAUUCUAAAAUAGUUAACAUGUAUUCUCGUGAAAGAAUUUAAAAGAAAAAUAAAAAUAGAGAAAAGCUACACUUACCACAUUUUGUAAUGUAGGUUAUUUUUUUCCUUAAAAAAAAAGUAAAUCAGCUGGUGACUUUCUUACGUCAAUCCACCAUUGCCGAUGUCAGGAAGACUCACAGAGACAUCAGAGAAAAAUACAAAGUGCAUAAUGACAUUUUAAUCUUUUAAAUGUUAAAUUAUGACAUGUAUGCAAAACUAAUAGGCAAUGGAGUCAUCACUUGCAAAUAACAUCUACUUGUAUACUGUAGAGAAUGAAUCCUACGUUGAUGGGACGAUGGACUUUGCAUGAAUUUAUAAGUAAGUUGGGUUACUCCCCAUAUUGCCAAUUGGCUUUAUGAUAGAAUCUCAACUUUCUUCAUGGUAUCAAAGUAGGUUGCCUCACGUGUGAAGCCCAACGGCCACACGUGCUCCAUGUCAUCCUGUUUGUGUUGUCCACGUGUUAGGUUUGAAAUUUUUUCACACAUAAGGGGCAUGGUGAAAAUGAAUCUUACAUUGAUGGGAGGCAUGAAUUUAUAAAUAAGUUGAGUUACUCUUCAUAUUGCCAAUUAAUUUUAUGGUGCAACCUCAACCUUCUUUGUAUAUAUUUAAUUAGGCUUUUUAGCCAAAAUGGUUCCUGAAAUUUGAAUAACUCCUCAUUUUGAUCCCUAAGAUUUGAAAUAGAUAAAAUUGGUCCACGAGUU